UUAACAAUGAACAAACUUAAAUUUUAUAUAUCGGUUUCCAUAUAUGCUACGGAAACAUCUUGCAUGUCAAACAUAUUCAGAGAACGCAUGCCUAUUUUCACCAUUUGCAUUGAUAAUUUAACAGAGCAGACAUUGACCUAUUGCAACAACCUACUACCGCGCAUGCACAUCUUAUUACAAAGCUGACAGGACGAUCACCUAAAGAAAGAACAAAACAGCGGACACGGCGACCGCGCCGAGCAGACCAACUCCACCGGUGACGGCGUGACGGGAAGAGGAGCUUGCCGGACCAGGCGCUGGGGCGGGCGCGUGAUGAUGUGGUGACGGCGCAGGGGAGUGCUGAGUGGGCGCGUGAGCCGCCGCUGCAACUUGUGCGCUGCCAAGCCGCUCGGUAUGGUUGGGGCCGGAUGUCUUCGAGGACGGAGAGUGCGCCGGAGCGUGGUGGUGGUGAUGAUGAUGAUGGCGAUGGUGGUGGUGGUGAGCCGGCGCCGGUGCUGUAGCGUGGUGGCCGUGGUGAUGCGGGCUUGGUGCCUUGUGCAGCUCGUCGACAUCCGUGAUUGUAGCAGUGUCCAGCUCGUCGGCGUCGAUGUGGUGGGUCGGCNNNNNNNNNNNNNNNNNNNNNNNNNNNNNNNNNNNNNNNNNNNNNNNNNNNNNNNNNNNNNNNNNNNNNNNNNNNNNNNNNNNNNNNNNNNNNNNNNNNNNNNNNNNNNNNNNNNNNNNNNNNNNNNNNNNNNNNNNNNNNNNNNNNNNNNNNNNNNNNNNNNNNNNNNNNNNNNNNNNNNNNNNNNNNNNNNNNNNNNNNNNNNNNNNNNNNNNNNNNNNNNNNNNNNNNNNNNNNNNNNNNNNNNNNNNNNNNNNNNNNNNNNNNNNNNNNNNNNNNNNNNNNNNNNNNNNNNNNNNNNNNNNNNNNNNNNNNNNNNNNNNNNNNNNNNNNNNNNNNNNNNNNNNNNNNNNNNNNNNNNNNNNNNNNNNNNNNNNNNNNNNNNNNNNNNNNNNNNNNNNNNNNNNNNNNNNNNNNNNNNNNNNNNNNNNNNNNNNNNNNNNNNNNNNNNNNNNNNNNNNNNNNNNNNNNNNNNNNNNNNNNNNNNNNNNNNNNNNNNNNNNNNNUGGUGAUGGUGGUGGUGGCUCGGGGACGGGGCCGGAGCGUGGUGAUAGUGGUGGUGGCUCGGCGACGGGGCAGGAGCGUGAUGAUGAUGAGCGCUCGGCGCGGGGGCAAGAUGGUGAGCGGGGCUGGGCGCUUGAGCCGGCGCGUGGUGGUGGUCGUCGUGCGCCGAGGAGAGCGCGACCAGCGAGGCCAGCAGCAGUGCCAUCACCACGGCGGUUGGCGAGAGAGGAGUCGCCAUGGCAAGAAGCUUUGGGAGUGGUGGUGGUGGAAUUGUUGCUGUGGUUGUGACAGUCGGGGAGCGCGACUAUAUAUAGCGACGAUCACGCGUAUCUGGAGGAGGGGAGCGGGCCGUCGUCUCUACUAUGGAAAGUAUUCAAUCUUGCGCAUUAAUGCUUACUAUAGAAAUGCGAUUUCGAUUGAUUCGUUUCCGAUCGUCGAAUUCGCUACACUGGCAGGAAAUAAAUGGGUGCCAUUUAUUCGUAGAUACAGUAGCUGGCAGCAUUACGCUGGUAACAUACGGACAUUUGACUGUGAUCUGUCGAAUAUCGUGUGAACCGUUGAGUACAUAUACGAUAUUUACAUUGUUGCCCACGGAAAAUCUCGACCAUUUAUUAGAAAAUUCAUAAUUGCAUCAUGAUUAAUAAAUUUAUAUAAUAAAUCUUCCUAAAAAAAGAGAGGAAAAAUCUACGACGCUUACAGCAGAAGACUACUGUAAGCAUCACAGGAGGCGGCUAAGGCCCAAGGGGCCGUCUGAUCCGGCAAGGUGCUGGCUGGAGCCGGCCCAAAUGUGCGGCGCGCUGGAUCACCGACGGCUUUGGGGGGACCUCCUAUUUGCCGCGUUUUGCGGCAAAAACACGCUGCGUCGCACAGGGGGCGCCAACUGGGCUGGCCCAUUCAGGGCGCUGCGAGUGAGAAAAAUCGCAAAAAAUAAAAGUAGAACGCGAUCGCUAGGAAUUGAACACGCGACUGUUUGCUUGCGCGACCUCGUUGUCAGCCACUGCGAUAGAACGGACAUUACGACUGAAGUACACCGGAACUCUAAAUGAAACUAAGUACAGUUCCGGAUUUAACAUUGUUUGACAAAACCCAAUUUUAUUCCAAAUUUUGAACGUACGUUUUUUUUUCAAAAAUGCGAAUAAAAUUUAUGAAAACUACUUUUUUAAAAUUUAUCAACAAACAAAUCGAAAAAAUGUACAAUUUUGGAAUUUGUGAACAAUUUUUUAAAGCACGAACAUUUUUGAAAUAUUGAGAUUUUUUUUGAAAUGUAGUACAAUUUUGAAAAAUUCCAAACAAAUUUGGAAGCGCGAACAAUUUUUUAAAGCACGGACAUUUUUUAAUCUUGAGAACAAAUUUGAAAUGGAGAACAAUUUUGAAAAACCUGAACAAAUUUGCAAGCGCAAACAUUUUUUGAAUAUGUGAACAAAAAAUUGAAAUCCGGUACAUAUUCUGAAUUUCGCAAGUUUUGAACUUUUUCGUGCAAUGAGAACAAUUUUUGAAUUUUGAGAACAUUUUUUUCAAAAAAUGAACUUUUUUCGAAACAUGAACAAAAUUUUAAAAAAAUAUGAUUUUUUCGAAAAAAAGAGAAGAAAAGAAAAGGAAAUAAAAAACCAAAGAAAGAAAAGAACCAGUAAAAGGAACAAAAGAUUUUUGGAAAAUUCCGUGAACUGGUUUUAAGUUUUGUCGUUGCUGUGUGUUUUUCUAGGUUGCCCGUUGUUGCUCGUCAACUUGAUUGAGUCAAUCGGGGUGGCUAGCGCGGCGUGUACAUGAGGUCGAGGCAGUGAAGCUCUUCCUCACCUGCGAUGAUGAAAGUAGCGGCGGCGCUAGGGUUUGAGAGCUCGAGCGAGGGAGUGAGGUCGAGCGGAGUAAAAACGAAGUGAGGAAGGGAGGGAGUUAUUUAUAGCCGAAGUGAAAAACUACUUGCCCGAGGAAAUUGGACGAACGUGCCCCUGACUCUUCUCAUUCGCGUGACAUGUGUCACCCAUGUACAGAGAGGUGACGAUCGUGUGCGAUCGUGGGUGAAUAGAAUAAUAUAUCACGAAAAGGUAGAACGGUUUGAGCGGCAAAAGCCAAAAAUUCAGGUAAGAUAAGUUUAAGAUUCCGUUCGCAAAUUCUUCAGCUGACAAGGACACAGUGAAGAUUUUGAACGAGUUUCAAAUAGAAUGCAUAUGAAGAAUUUGUGAAUAGAUUGUGUUAAGUUUAUCAUAGAGGGGGAAGGGUCCGAUCACAUUCACUUAGCAGAACAAGCAACUUGAAGAAAUAGCAAUAAAUGAAUACUAUAGAGGACAUAAACUCAUAUAUAUCUAUAUUGCCAAUGAAGAACAACAACGGAGAGAGUGAAGACAUGCAAAGUUGAAGAAAAUGAAUAACUGAGGAAUUUCAAAAGCUCAAAUUGAAGAUUUUCAACUUUUGGUGGUGGCGUGACCCAUCGUAUAAGAAUAAUGAUUUCAGACACCAUGUGUAAUUGUCGUAGGGUUCUGAGAAUCAAAUUCUUCGUUAAUUUCUUCACACUUAGAGGGUUAGUCUUCAUUGAUUGAAGAAAAACGUUACUUCGUGUGUUGCACAUCUAAGUCAUCAAUUUUGAAUAAGUGUUAGGAUGUGUGUCCUUUUCAAAGGACAAUCGAAGAUUCUAAAAUAUUUAGCUCACACCUCAACUUGCUAAAUCUCUUCUCAUCCAAGGGCUUUGUGAAGAUAUCGGCUAGCUGUUCUUCAGUCUUCACAUGCUCAAUAGUGAUGUCGCCUUUCAACACAUGAUCACAAAGAAAAUGAUAACGAAUUUGAAUGUGCUUUGUCUUCGAGUGCUGAACUGGGUUAUGAGCAAUCUUGAUGGCACUCUCAUUGUCACAGUAGAGAGGAACAUUAUUCAUGUUGAUGCCGUAGUCCUUGAGGGUUUGCUUCAUCCACAUAAAUUGAGCACAACAAGAACCAACAGCAAUGUACUCAGCUUCAACAGUAGACAGUGAUACGCAGUUCUUUUUCUUCGAGGACCAACAGACCAAGGAUCGUCCGAGGAAAUGGCAUGUGCCUGAUGUUGACUUGUGGUCCACACGAUCACCAACAUAGUCAGAAUCUGAAUAUCCAAUGAGAUCAAAAGCCGAACCCUUGGGAUACCAUAAUCCAAGUGUUGGUGUGUGAGCUAGAUAUCGAAGAAUAUGCUUCAUAGCCUUAUGGUGUGAUUCCUUCGGUGUAGCUUGAAAUCGGGCACACAUUCAAACACUAAGCAUAAUAUCUGGCCUAAAUGCACAUAAAUACAAUAAAGAACCAAUCAUGGAGCGGUAUACCUUUUGAUUGAAGUCAAUACCAUUUUCAUCAGUGCAUAGAUGGCCAUUUCUGGACAUAGGGAUUUUGACUCCUUUGCAAUCUUGCAUGCCAAAUUUCCCCAGUACAUCCUUGAGGUAUUUCUCCUGAGAUAUGAAUAUGCCAUUGCACUGUUGACGAAUCUGAAGACCUAAGAAGAAUUUCAAUUCUCCCAUCAUAGACAUUUGAUAUUCUUUACUCAUCAUAUAGGCAAAUUCAUCACUAUAACGUUGGUCAGUACAGCUGAAAAUGAUAUCGUUAACAUAUAUUUGGCAUACAGACAAUUCAUCAUCAUAAGAUUUAGUGAAAAGAGUUGGGUCAAGUGAACCGGGUUUGAAGCCUUUCUUCAUGAGGAAUUCCUUCAAAGUAUCAUACCACGCCCGAGGGGCCUGCUUGAGGCCAUAGAGGGCCUUAUUGAGUCUGAAGACUUUGUCAGGAUGCUUUGGAUCUUCAAAACCUGGGGGUUGAGCAACAUAUACUUCUUCCUCAAGCUUACCAUUGAGGAAUGAACUUUUCACAUCCAUUUGAUAUAAGAUGAUAUCAUGAUGCUUAGCAUAAGCAAGUAAUAUGCGAAUAGCCUCAAGUCUAGGAAUAGGUGCAAAAGUUUCAUCGAAAUCUAUUCUUCAACCUGUGUGUAGCCUUGAGCUACAAGUCGUGCCUUAUUCCUCACCACAAGGCCAUUUUCAUCUUGCUUGUUGCGGUAGAUCCAAUUUGUGCCAAUGAUAUUGUGCUUGCGAGGAUCUGGAUGUUUGACCAAUUUUCAGACGUUGUUGAGCUCAAAUUGAUGUAAUUUCUCUUGCAUAGCUUGAAUCCACUCAGAUUCCAGAAAUGCUUCAUCUACCUUAGUGGGCUCUGUGAUAGAAACGAAAGCAAAGUGCCCACAAAAGUUAGAUAAAUUUGAAACUCUUGAGCGUGUGAGAGGACCUAGAAUGUUGAUGUCGCUGAUGAUUUUCUCAAUCUGCACUUCAUUUACAAUGCGAGGAUGAGCUGGUUGUCGUUCAGGAAUUUGAUCAGCAUUUUCCUCAGGUGCAUCAGCAUGACGUUCUUCACGUUUUGGAACGACUUCUUCAGCAGAUUCUUUGGUAGGAAUGACAUCCUUAGUAGCCUUGAACUUAAUAGAUUCCUCAGGAGGUAUUUCAUCUGUCACAGGAGGUAGGUGCUCUUUUUGUGAGCCAUUAGUUUCAUCGAAUCACACAUCUAUAGUUUGAACAACCUUGUGGUGAUAGGUGUUGAAGACUCUGUAGGUGUGCGAGUCCUUACCAUAACCAAGCAUAAAACCUUCAUGUGCUUUCGGUGCAAAUUUAGAACUGUGAUGAGGAUCUCUAAUCCAGCAUUUAGCACCGAAGACUUUGAAAUGACUCACAUUGGGUUUCUUGUCAGUGAGGAGUUCAUAUGAAUUCUUCUUGAAGAAUUUAUGAAGAUAUACCCUGUUGAUGAUGUGGCACGCAGUAUCAAUUGCCUCAGGCCAGAAGCGAGUAGGUGUCUUGUACUGAUCAAGCAUAAUGCAAGCCAUCUCAACAAGAGUCUUGUUCUUGUGCUCCACAAGGCCAUUCUGCUGAGGAGUAUAUGGAGCAGAUAACUCAUGAGUGAUACCAAGUUCAUCAAGAUAGUCAUCAAGACCAGUGUUCUUGAACUUAGUUCCAUUGUCACUUCUGAUGUGCUUGAUCUUCACACCAAAGUUGGUUGAAGCCCUCGAGGAAAAUCGUUUGAAGACUUUGUGCACUUCAGUUUUGUAAGUGAUGAUAUGCACCCAUGUAUAUCGAGAAUAAUCAUCAACAAUGACAAAGCCAUAUAAAGAUGCAACAUUAGUAAAUAUGGCAUAGUGAGUAGGGACAAAGAGAUCCAUGUGAAGCAAUUCAAAUGGACGAGUGGUAGUCAUGAUGGUCUUUGAGGGAUGCUUGGCCUUGGUCAUCUUUCCGUCUUCACAAGCUCCACACAAAUGGUCCUUGAGAAAUUUGACACCCUCGAUGCCAAUGACAUGCUUCUUCUUCGCGAGCGUGUGCAAGUUCCUCAUCCCAGCAUGACCAAGUCGUCGAUGCCAUAGCCAGCCUUCAGAAGUUUUUGCAAGUAGACAUGUAGCAGGUUGUGGUCCUGUAGAGAAAUCAACAAUAUACAAAUCUCCUCUCCUAAAGCCUUUGAAGACUUUGGAAUUGUCAGCUUCCAUGAUCACAAUACAACGAUACUUGCCAAAGACAAUAACCAUAUCAAGAUCACAAAGCAUUGAGACAGACAUGAGGUUGAACCCUAAGGACUCGACAAGCAUGACUUUGUCCAUGUGUCGAUCCUCUGAGAUUGCAACCUUACCUAGACCCAAUACCUUGCUUUUGCCUUUGUCAGUGUAGGUGAUAUGCUUCAGAUGCGAUGGAGAUAAGGGAGCGUCCAUCAAUAGAUUCUUGUCACCAGUCAUGUGAUUUGUACAUCCACUAUCGAGGACCCACUCAGUGGCUUUGGGUUGAUCAUCCUACAGAUGAAUCAGUGCAGCUUAUGAACUCAUAUACUUCAUUAGUGAAGAAUAUGAUAUCAAUUUCAUCAAGCAAUAGAACAGAUAAAGCAGUAUGAGGAUGUGAGAAUGAGAAUUCAUUUCUUCAUGAUUAUCUUGCGUCCUUUCAAGCAUAUUCAGGUCUCCAGCAAAAUCUUCAGACGUUUAAGUUUGUUUGGAGACCUGACCCUGCAUAUGAGAUCAAUUCUUUUUCUUCACCACCCACAUCUGAAGGGGUGGCAAAGAGUUCAUCAUUCUGCAAGCUCCAUAAGAGAAAGGUGGUAUAGAUGCCAAUCCACUUCGUUUCACAUAAGAAGGGUUAGGGUAAGCAUAAGAGUAAGCAGAUAAAUUCUUUGAGGACUUAUGAACAUAAUGAUUUGAAGAAUAAUGCACAUAUCCAUAAUCCUUAGAUCUUCCCCGUAAAAUAGAAGGGUUAGCACAAUGAUGUUCAUAUGAGGACUUUGAUCCUUUUGAGGAAUUUGAUCCUCGUGAGGAAUUUGGUCCAUAUGAGGACUUGGAUCCAUAUGAAGAAACCAGUACUCAAAAUGCAUCUCCACGCGUCUACUUGGCGCUUUUAUUAGCCGCCUUGCAUGCAAGAGAAGCGCUAUUGGCGGCAAUUAAUAGCUCACUGAGCGAUGAUUGAUGCAGUCAGUCAGUGCCCUCGAUUAUUCUAUUCCUGAUAGAAGGAUCAUGGCGCCCCGGAAGCAUUCCAUCCAGCAGCAACAUCUCCUUCAACCACGCGAGGACAAAACUGAUGUUAGCUACAUUCGAGCGUUCACCACACAGAGGGAAGCUGAACGACAAGAGCUGAUGAAGUCCAGUCAAACUGAGGCCUGGAAAGAGUUAAGAAAAAACAGCUCCUCGAGCUUGCACCCGCUCGACGCCUUUUUCGCUAUAUUCCUAUCUAUCAUUUUAGAAAUUUAUAAUUCUUCCGUUUUACUGAGGCUCAACUUCUUAGGUUUCUAAAUAUCUUGUAGUAGCCGAAGGUAGUCCAGUCCGCUUGUUAGAUUGAAUUGAAUCUUAUAUAACCUACGUAGCUAAAGAGAAAAUCAUAAUAGUCUAAGUGGACCUCGGCAAGGAGAAGGCUGAACCCUGGUGCUACACUACAGCAGAAGCUUUGGCAGGGAUCAGAUCAUUCAACUAAAGCUGUCAGGCUGGGUAGGCUUUGAGGAACAUUUGGGGUUCCUUAUGUUGUGACUGAGCAGAAAUGUCUAUUGUGCCCGGCAAAAAUAGAUUUGCAAGGAGUUUGCCAAACGAAUUAGGCACUCCUCUUCCUUUAGAGGAGGGUGAGUCUGCGUGAUCGGCUAUGACCUUCUCCAUUACAAUGUUCUCAUAUGCAGGAAUACCCCCGUUAGCCGGCUUUUGUAGCGGGGCGCGUACUAUUACCACUACGUUCCAUACCAUUUUCUGGCCUUCAUGCCGAGUCUUCCUCCGCCGCCAACUCGACGUCGUCGUAACCAAUUUCAACCAAACCUCCAUGCUCACUGGUACUUUGACGUCACCUGUUCAGGUAGGCCGUCUAAUUCUCCGGAAAGGAUUAGUUGAAAUCCCCUAAUAGUUUCCGCAAGAGCAACAUACUUUCCUGGAGAACCAGUAAAAACUUCUGCCCAAAAGCGGUUAGCAGUGACCAUUGAAUAAGUUUCUUCAGCUUGAGUUGGGUUAAAAGCACGGAAGGUAUUUGCACCAUCACCGUCCUCAAAUAGAGUGUUUUCUACGGUCGCUCCAUGAAUAACAUUGCCAACUGGUCUUCUCCGCAAUCAGUCAAAGAAGUCCGCAGCUUCUUAGGUUUGGCCGGCUAUUACAGGCGCUUCGUUAGCAUAAAAAAAGUAAAAAUGGAUAAAUAACACAUAAAUCGAGGGCUAUGCGGAUCCUCAGACAUAUAUGAAAUGGAAUAAAGAUGGACCAAGCUACUUAUGAAUGUAACCACAAUUAACAUCACUACGGUCAGGCAGCGAGUGGAGUGCCACAAUCCCAUUCAUCAUUUUUGAUCUACAUAACCCAAAGCCCAUAGCACUGGCGACAUCUCCGGCAUAAAUGCAAGGAGGAUGUAUAGCUGAUAUAGGAUCUUGUGGAACUGGAUUUGAUUCUGCAAGCGGUCUUUUUUCUUCUUCUGGCGAAAGCACAUUUUAUUAUUUUACGGAAGCAGACAUGAGAGCCAGCUACAGAGAAAGCUAAUGAUAUCAAAGUUGACGAAACAAGAGAGUUUCAUUCAAUUCUUUUCAGAGUGUACGCCUCGAAGGGGACCGACCAUAUGCAUACUUCUUUUUGUACAACUUUGCUCUGUUGGAGCCACUCGGUUUCAGACUUGGUACAACCCAAAAACACCAUUCCUUUUGGUUCGCACAACCAAAAAAUUAUUCUGAAGGUCUACAGGAAGAUAAAAAAAUUGCUUUUGACGGUGAUGAAAGAAAGAGAACCCCUCCUAUCUUUUGAUCAUGGUCAAAAUCCUAUCCAAGUCCCCUUUUUUCAGAUCUUUCUCCUGGUUUUGAUCAUCACCGUUCACCUACUUGUUACGGAGAUCCCGACCAAUGCACAAUCCAGAUUUUUUAGCUUUUUUUCUCCCAUCCCAUCUUGGACGGGCCCAGAAGCUUUUCUCAUGUUUGAAUGGAGGUCUUCCGCAAAUGAAUUUCCAUAUAGGAAUUCUAUACACGCUAGCUAAAGAUCCACCGGGUGCUACAUCAUAAGCACAUUGGGAGCGUAAAUAAUUGUAACCAUAUACAUAUAAAAUGACAGCAAUGGAAUCCCAAUCCCCUGCUUUUAUUUGUAAAGUCUCUAUUCCUCGGUGAUCAAAGCCCAAAGAUCAACUGCUGAGGUCAUUAGCGAACUAGAAAAGAGCUAAGGAACUAUUUCCAUAUACCUAAUCGGGUGCUGAAUGAACUACUACUUCAAUUCGAUGAGAAUUUCUUGACUUUCCAUAUAUAGAAAGAGAUAGACUAUAAAUGACAUCUCUUAUGUCAAUAAGACCAAAGGGAUGGAUAUUAAAUGAUAGGAAGUGCUAGGAAGUGAGCUACAAAAGGAUUCGUUUUUUUCGUGUCACAACUGAUUACUCCUUUUUUCCUUUUUAAAGAGUGGCAUUCUAUGUCCAAUAUCUCGAUCGAAGUACGGAGGUCAGAAUAAAUAGAAUAAUGAUAGUUGUCACACACAAACCUACGCAACGGCUUUGGAGUAAAAGAAUCUCCUGCCCGGUUACACACAUCAUCUCGAGCGCGGAAUCUACUACUCUAACAAGAUACUCGGCUCGGGAGUGGCAUAACCCCUUUAAUAAGAAGCAUAAGACCUAAAGCGAGGAGAUAGAAUCAAAAGAAUGAUAGCAAGUUCUUUGAAAGUGGGAAGAAAGCCAAGGAUACGGUGGUGUGUAGGGUCUUUCAAAUCAAUCAGGAAAGCGUGAGCUGAGAAGGAACACGGCUUUCCGCGCCUUGACAAGUGGAUCUACCAAGAAUAGCUUUUUCAGCCGUUACUUAUUAUAUAAUAGCUCGAUCCGCUCACGCGUGAACUGAACUGAGCACUCCACAAGUAUGGAUUGUAUUGUUUCAUUCUGAUACCAACUUUCAUGCUGGAAGAUAAGGUUGCCAUACUGGGAAAGGGGGAAAGGAAAUAGGAUCCCCUCUCUUCUCUAUAGGAAUGAACUUCUCCUCGCCCCUCUUCCUCCCUUUUUCCGAAUCUGGGAGAGAGGCAAAAGAGAAGUCCAGAGAGACCUCGACUCUUUCAGGGAAAGGAGGGAGAUCGAAUGCGAGAUGGAGUCCCUGCCGAAUGGAAUGGACAUCCUUGGGGACAGCUGUGUAAGAGCUGUCUUUCUUUGAUGGUAGUGUCCUUUCUUCACACUCACCAUCUUCGCAGAGCUUAACAAGAUAAUCCACGCCAACAACCAAAGCCAACAAGCCUUCGCUCAGAAGCUCUUUCUUCAUCUAAGCUUUUCGUCUUUAUGCCACCUCAAAGAAGACAUUUGAUCAUGGGCUUUUUUUGUGAUGAGGCUAGUUUGAACUAUGCUUUUUCUCCUUUCUACACCCCUCUUGACACAAGUUUCACUCCAAUAAUACUAUUGUCAAGUAUCUUUAGGGAUGAAGAUCUCGGCAAGAUAUGAAGUUCUUGAAGAAUGAAAAAAACCGAUCUACUUCUUUUUUCCAGUUGUUGUUCCCCUCCCAAGGGCAGGUUCUUACGCGUUACUCACCCGUUCGCCACUGGAAACACCACUUCCCGUUCGAAGUCAAGGGCUACUGGCAGUUUCCUAUCAAUAACGAUCCUUUGGAUCUAUAAUCAUUGAAAGAGCCGGAUCUAAGUGUUGGCUAGGUAAACGCCCCGUAGUAAGAGGGGUAGUUAUGAACCCUGUGGACCACCCCCAUCCCGGGUUGGGGGACUACUCCUUUUAUGGGGAUCGCAAUGGCUUUAUUCGCUAUAUUCCUAUCUAUCAUUUUAGAAAUUUAUAAUUCUUCCGUUUUACUGGACGGUAGCCUCUUCCUAUUUAGGGAGAGGAAAACACUCUACUGUACCAGUAGGCCAAAGACCCGCAAGCUCAACCUGAUGCCUUUGUUAUUGUUCCUUGUUGCUAAAAUAUCGAUAUUAAGCCCGAAACUGCCAGUGGAACUAUUUUCCAUUUCCAGACAGACCCCGAGCCGAGGUUGGAACAAUUCUUUAUUUUCUUGUUGGUUCCUUCUUUAUUAUUUAUUCCAAGUUUUUCUCUUCCAUUCGGUUCAUUAGCUUUAGGAAAAAUAGAAGCUGCGGAAAUGCUCGCUUCUAAAAGGCAUGGGAUCUGCCUUGUGGAAACAAAAGCUAUUUGUUCGAGUCAAGCAAGCAGACAGUCAGCUAAGAAUCCUUGAAGAGAACUCUCUAGCCCUGCACUUAAACUAGACUAGAAAUCCGAAAAAACACUAGUUUUGGCCCAUAGCGAAAUAGAGCGGUAAGAGCAGUUAGAGAGCAAGCAGCGGCUCAUCAAACCUUUCUGUUUUGGUUACAGCUCAAGCGGUUUGUUUUCAAGUAAGGUACUCAAGCAAGCUUUCCUCGAAUUGGUAGGUUUCUCGAAGUAGUUUUAGUAGGUUUCUCAGGAAAUAGAGAUGCCGAGGCCCCUACUUACCUUAUGGGUAGGUAGGGGGAAGGAAGAGUGGGUUAGAUUGCUGCUCCCCGCCUAAUGCGGAUCAUUGUGCAAUGCUUAUGUGAAAUCUCAAUCCAAAACGGAUUCGUUUCGUUGGUAGAACCCACACCGACGUCAAGAUCAGUCUCCUUUCCUUUCAAAAGUGAGCGAGCAGAGCUGAAAAAGAUGGAGUUACCUGGAGAUGAGAUUUCUUUCUACGGAUAUGAAGGAUAGAAAUAUGCUAUUUGCUGCUAUUCCAUCUAUUUGUGCACGGGAAUCGCUUUUGCUUUCUUUUCCUCUGGCUACUAAGAUGUUUCAGUUCGCCAGGUUGUCUCUUGCCUGCUCAUGGAUUCAGCAGGCAGUUUAAAAGGUUGACCUAUUUGGGAAUCUCCGGAUCUAUGCUACCUAGUAUCAAAUUCACAAAGCAGCACAUUUAGUAGUUAACAUCUUUCUUUCUCGUUUUCAUCAGAAAGGAGAGUUUUCACGUUAAGCAAGAAGAGCUACGAGUUGGAGGGCUAUUUCACCGACCGUCACUUCUCCUUUGUAUCUGCCGAAGACGCAAGUAGCCCAACGACAGGCUUGUGUGGAGUUGAAUGACAACACGCAGAGGUCUUUUGGCGAAACUGGGGGCUCUUUGUCUACUCGGUCUUAUAACGAAGAGGUUGCCUAGUUUGAACCGAACACUAUACUUGAUCCCUCGUCCUAUCACAAACAAGUCUCUUCCCCCGAGUCCUAGUAGACUAGUCCAAGUAGUCCGGGACAAUAGAGUCCCGUCUCUUCGCUGACCCCUAGCACACAAUCACUAUAAGACAAAGCAAGACAAACCUCUCUUAUCCUUCUCGGCUAGAAGUUACAAGUUUCCUGUUCCGGUUUCGGCUUGAGGGAAGUGCCUGAAAUCGAUUCAAUUCUUAUCUCCGAUUUCGAACUCUGGCUGGAUUCUUUUGACCAAGAGCUAUUUUAUUGGUCAGAAGAAUGGAAGGACAACGAGAAGAUGGUUCGGUUGCUCCUGCUGGAAUAUUCCAUUUAUUUAAUACUCCGACUCGCGUAACCCCGAAUGGCAAUGUUGUUAUUGCGCCGGUCCCGUACUCAAACCAAAUCAGAAGGGCGGUACUCACUCGGAUGGAAGAAUCCCAGGUCGGUCCCAUACCCGAACAAAGUCUAGACUGAAGGUCCCGUCCCACGGACGACAAUUGCUUCUCUUCCGGGACUACAUACAUCUUUUCUUUAACAACUACCAUACAAGCUAUUCGCUUAAUACAUGCUAGUAGGUAGGCUGGGGGUGGAGUAGUGCUUCUCGUUGUGACUGAAGGAAGGUUCAUUCUGUGCAAGGUAUAUGCUAGUUUACAAGCAUGAGACCCUCCUUUCGGGCCGGUAGACAGAGGCCUCUGUUCCAACGAAAUGGGGAGCAAAAAGCUAUGGUUGUUGAUCCUGCGGAGCCUACCCAAAGGUUCAGAUCGGAUUGUAAGAAGUGGGUGAUAUGGUUUCAAAAGUGAGUUCUAGGGCAGAUUCGUCUAAUGAAACAGGGCUUGUCCCAAAGCCAACUCAUAACAGGCUCCCUGACCCACGGAAUCAAGAUCGAUUUCCUUGCAUCGGGACUUGCUUCUCUUUUCAUUUCACAUCCGAGGAUCGAUUUCAAGAACAUGGUCAACUUCCAUUCGAUUCGCACUCUUGAUGAAACGCAUCGCUCCGCACUCUUGUUCGAAACUCUACUCUGGAGAAGGGCCCCAUCCGUAGCGCUUCGGAAGUCACUCUGGCGUGGCGUGUUCCUUUUCCAUUUGCUUCCAAUAGUUCGACCUAUCCAGAAAAAUUGUCGGCCUAUGAAUGUGGUUCUGAUCCCUCCGGUGAUGCCAGAAGUAUUCGUAGUUUUCGAAUCUAUCGAGUUUCUCCGGAUCAGUGCAUGCAAUGACGGGCUCGGAUAGGAUAGGAUUGUGCAUGCCGGGCCCUUCGGGGGGUCGACCCCAGUAACAAAAAAGGAAUCCAUAAAAACUUGGGAUCCAACACCAUGAUAAAAUUGUUAGCGGCCUUAUGCCUAUUUCAGUAUACGCCCGUGUCAAUAUGUCUAGACUUACCUAUACCCAUGCUUCCUUCUUCUUUGACUAGCUUGCUUCCCCUAUCAAAUAGAACGGGAAUGACUGCGUGCUUGGCCAUCGUUAGUAAGACCGCGUAGGGUAGGACCAUCAUCGAGCAAAUGUUCCUUCAAAGGCGCGGAGUGUGCUAUGGCAGAUUUUCAUCCCGCAAGAGGAUGCGCCGCUUUCCUCUGCUCGUAUAGACUCCGUUCGUGUUAGGACAUCCAUAGCCAAUAGUAAUAGUAGCUAGUAGCUUCGCCCCCCCUUGCCCCCGGAAAGGUUCUCAUUCCUCACUGGAUCUAGUUGACUUGCUGCUACAACAAUCAAUCUAUCUAUAUGUUCCGGGCGGAAGAGAGAGUUUCCUACAUUCCCAUUCCCAUGAACUGAACAUCGGGUACCAAUGAUCUGGAAUCCCGUGCUGAAACCUACAGAUAUGCACCUGUGCGGACCAACCUGGCAAUCCGCUGAGUUAUAUCCCUUCCCCGUCCCAUCAAGAAAGAGAAUUAACGAAUCCUAAGGCAAAGGGGCGAGAAACUCAAGGCCACUCUUCCUCCGGUAACCGCUCUUUGGAAUGGAAUGCAUAGUAUUGUGCAUUGGAAUGGAAAAGUCGAAUAAUCAAGACAUGGAUCUAGUAUCAACAUGACCCAACUUCCAUUCUCAUGGCCCAACUUAUUCAAUCACUUCCAUUAUCUUUCUAUUGCUACAAAUCGACAACAAAAAACAUCCCUCGGAAUUCCUGUUCGAUAGGAAAAAAUAGCUCUUCAACCAAAAAUAGCAAGCAACAUGUUUUUCUUCUCUCUUGAUGGUUCUAGUUCCACUAAUGAUGGAACGAAUCCAAAUGUGAAAACUAGUGCACCUAAGCACGACGAUCAUGGUAUAAUCCACCAUUUUAUAUGGGGUGGUGGUAGUUCAAACGGUGGAGAUAGUUCCAACAGUGGUUGGACUUCCUAAGCUAGUUGAUCCCACCCAAGAGCUCUAGCGAUUCGUAUAAGUGUUGGUUUGUCUUCUAUUAUAUCUUGCCUUGGUAGAGCGAAACUUUGAACCCAACACAAGCAACUCUCCCGGUUUAGCGAUAUUGAUGGGUUCCAGCCUCAUUCCACUAGCCCUAAAAGCAUUCUAAAUAUAUAAAAGAGGGGGAAUGGUCGGGGGCCUCGUCUUACUCACUCACCUUCUACUAAUCGGACCGUGCAAAGAAGGUAUUUAGCGCAAAGAACUUCUUCCGCUUUUGGGGAUUCCACUAAUUGAUAGAAGGAAGUGGAUGCGGCCCAAUAGUAUUCCUUAACUCAUGAAUUGAUACACUUGUUCAUUCUCUUUCUAUUUCCACUGGUUUCUUUUGUUCACUUGCAAUGCGGCAUUUGAAUCCAUUUUACUCCACUUCUCUCUCUUUUCUUCCUGAUGAGGGUGAUGUACUCCGGGUACCUGAUCAUCAUGACUGGAAUUCCAGAGGAUUCCUUGAGUACGAGAGUAACAAAUGAGAUGGAGAUCUUGGCUAUCAUCAAACCAUCCUCCCUCCGCUUAUCUCUUUCCUUUCUAUAUGACAAGUCUACUCGCACUUCAUGAUUAUUUCUUCCUUAUCUUCAUGUAAUGCAUGUAUGCAGUAUGACUUGGGAGCCAAAAAGAUUCCCUCUUUUACAUAGUGCUCCUUGAUUCUAUAUAUUAUUUAUGGAUUAUUAUAGAAUCUAUCUUUUUCUGCAAAUCAUAGUGGGAAUCCUAUUACCGAUACCUAAAUUUUUGGUUCUUUUUUGGGGGCGAUAUGGAAGCAGCUAGCUCCCUUUCCCUUAUUACAUUACCAUUUCUCUCCGCUAUUCUUCGCUUAGAAGGGCUUGAGAACGAAAUAAAAGUCAAUCCUCUCACCAAUGAAGCGCAUAGGGAUAGGAUGCUCAAGCUCCUUGAUGAGAUUAUUAUCAAUCCGAACGAUCCACAGAAUGCAGGGGUAAUCCUUGCUUCCAGGAUACGCGUCGAGAUUAAUAAAAUCGUGGAUUCUCACUUGUUUUAUCGAGAGCAGAGGCGAAUUGUGCAAAGGCUUGUAACUCUGCGAAUUGCGCUAGUUCCAAUUUUCAUUUGCCAGACGAUAUGGACCUCAUUACUGUCUCAUUUUCUUAUAUUUAUAUAAGUUCUUUUUUUGGAUUCGACAUAACAAGAACAGAAUCAUGCUCUGUAGGAUUUGAACCUACGACAUUGGGUUUUGGAGACACACGUUGUACCGAACUAGCGCGCCUCAAGCCUCCUUCCUCGGGGUAGGUCCCGCGUAUGACCCAACCCAUCUCCCCGAAGGCAGGCAGGUUCGGAAAUAGCUUGCGCAGAAGUGCCUUCUGUAUAAAGUUUGAAGUGGUGAAUUGAGGUAGAGUAGACCGAUGAUUCGGUAGUCAUUUGGCCGGCUAUGGAAAGAAAAAGCUUGCAUCUGCGGUUAUAAGUAACGUAGCCAGCCUAAUUUCUAGAAUAGGGCUGCGGGCCGUAUUGAUGACCAAGAAAAGUAUGGAAAAGAAGCAAGCUUCAACGCUCCCCAAGACAACAAAGCCCUCUAGUGUUCAGUCAUAAACCUAUUGCCCGCUCCGCUUUCCCAUUCCUAUUGCUUUCGGACUUAGAGUUAACCAUCUAGUGCGAAAGUGCUAGUUUCCCCCUCCUAGAGGUGAGAAGGGAGAUAUGAGCAACGAAAAGACCUGGAAAUAAUGAAUAAUGAGAAAAUUCAUUUAUAGACAUUUCGUGCUCAUUUCCAAAUUUAUGCUGCUCUUACUUUCUACCUGAAUCCGGGCAUUGAAGCAAGCUCUUUAUCGCGCCAUAACCGUUCUUUUAAGAUAAAGGAGCAUAAGCCUUUUUCUUUUUAUUACUAUUUCCUCCGCUACUCUUUCACAAAGGAAUGCGAAGAGAACUCAACGGAUCUUAUCCUAUUCAUUCCUAAAAUGAUUUUUGAGAUAGAACAACUUGUUUAUGGAAUUAGCCCCCAGUGGAGAAGCAAGGCUUCCAGGCUAUACUACCUAAUAUCGUCAUGAUAUCAACCAAUUUCAUUUUUUUAACUAGCUGAGGAAGAAUUUGCAAAUUAAUAAACCCGGGUGGGUGGUGACAUGAUCCAGUUCUCUAUUUAUUACACUUACCUUUUUAUUAUAGUAUGGAAAUGCAUUCAUUUUAUUUGCAUCAAUUGUGAUCCGCAAUACUAUCGGAGUAAAAGAAGGGAUCUAAGGAAGAAUGUAGGCUAAACUUUUUGAUUUUUUAUUAGUAACAAGUAAAUAUUUUGUUUGGAGGUAAGAAACUUGCGAUAUUGAGGGCCUUCAAAGAACUCGUCUUUGAGCCUCUAAAAAGAAGGGCAUAGUAUCCCAGCCACCUAGACCACCUAAAAGGAAGGAAUUGGUCUUUAGCUCCUGUUGUCCAUUUGUUUCAGCACCACAAUCUUUGUUCGUUCCUACAACAUCUAAAUCAGCACUGGGAGCGGUUCCAGAUGCACUUUCUAUUACGCACGCUACGCAGAUGAUAUGGUCUUCGGCUUACCGAGAGGGGAUAAGUCCAUGCGAGUCACCCAGGGUCUCAAAAAGGUCUUAGCUAGAGUCCUUAGGGAGCUCCUACAGGGCUUCACUUCUACUGAAAUUUCCAGAAAACAACCAGAGUCUUUCAUGUCAAGGUGAACAUAGACAAACAAGGUUAGUUUGUUUUCCUUAAUUCUCAGAGAAAAGAACAAGUAAAAAAGCGUGGUCCCCGGGGAUAGGUACUUCGUCCGGCGCGGUAUCAUUGCUCAUGAGAGCCAGCUACAGAGACAUCUAAUGAUAUCAAAGUUGACGAAACAAGAGAGUUUCAUUCAAUUCUUUUCAGAGUGCAGCCAUGGGCAAGCUUUAAUUAAUAGAAAUAAGUAGGAGUUACAGCCUUUAAAUUCGAGUGAAACGAGCCUUUGACGUAGUCACAAAUUCGACUGCUCGGAAGACCGUGCUCCGAAGUGUGCACUUCGAGUUUUGUUUUAAGAACACUUGGCCUUACCCCUUCAUUUUGAGCCAUGUCUAGGUAGAAUCGGCACCCGGGGUUAUGCCUAAAACCGGUAUCUUAUUAUGCGUGUUCGACUAGUUCCAUUUCUGAUUCUCCUUCUUCGCUGGGGUCUACAUACGAAAGAAUGGAACACUCGACAGCUUCGAUACUCAAAUAACCAGCUCAUUAUGCUUAGGUUGGGUUAGGAAAACGAAGCUUUCCCGAGGCUUUGAUCUUUCCAUGUAUUGGCGCAUAGAGAUUUGACUGAGCAGUUGUAUUUCUUUUAUGCACAUUUACUUAUGUUAAAAAGAUUUAUUAGCCUCUAGAAAGAUAUCAGAUACAAGUUCCUUUUCGAUAUAUCUCUGUAUACUGUAUACACGGAUACAGGAGUGCACUAGAUUUUUUUUUCAUUAUUUCCUUCCUCUAUCCAUAUUCAUGCAGAAUUGCUCAGAGUCAAGUUAGGCGCAAAAGAGGGGUUGACAUCAUUCGUUGUGAUUGGAUCAAUUAGACUCCCCCACAGGAAAUGCCAAGGGGCGCCCUUUCUCAUUAUCAUCUGCCGCCCAUUUCUUCAUCAUCUGCUGCUGCCUUAAGUGCGUAAAGUAGGCUCAGCUUCUUAGGUUUCUAAAUAUCUUGUAGUAGCCGAAGGUAGUCCAGUCCGCUUGUUAGAUUGAAUUGAAUCUUAUAUAACCUACGUAGCUAAAGAGAAAAUCAUAAUAGUCUAAGUGGACCUCUCAAAGGUAUAAAUAAGUCGGAAUAGCCGCCUCCAUGGCGUCCUUCAUUCUGCUUGGCUAAGUCGCUAAGUCAUUGCGGACACUUGCCAUCCUCUCAUAUCGAAAGACGAACAACGACUUCCGGGGUAAAACGGAGGGCUAAAACCUGAGCCUCUUCUUUUAUUAGCCGCCUUGCAUGCAAGCGAAGCGCUAUUGGUGGCAAUUAAUAGCUAACUGAGCGAUGAUUGAUGCAGUCAGUCAGUGCCCUCGAAGGGAGGCUGGCCUGCACGCCAUACCUAUACCCAUACAGUGCCAGGCAGGCGGUGGACUCAUUUUUGGAUUAGGGAAGGGAAGAAGGGGCCUAAGCACGGCAGAUCAGCAUGCAUUACGAGUUACGCCCAUAUAUAUAUGGACCAAUUUGUGUCACAGGAUGACUGCCUCUAUACGGACACAGACUCUGUAGUUUUAGAGAAUCCUCUUCCCGAAUCUAUGAUAUCAGAUAGAGAGCUUGGUAAGUUUAAGCUAGAACACGACCUUAUUAGGCGUGCGAUUUUUACUGCUCCUAAAAGCUACUUCUUGGAGGUCAAAGGGGGUAAAGAUGUCAAAAAGUAUAAGGGUGCACCGUCUGGUGUGGUUGAAAAAAGUCACUUCGUGAACUUGUUAAAUAAUGUUCACUCUGAAAAGAGAUUUCCUUAUCUGCAUGCCAGCUUUCAUUCCUACUUUUGAUGAAAGAAAGGUCAGUUGCUGCCGACAAGUCGACUAAACUUUCACAACUGUCACCUAUCUUUAAGCACCUUCUAGGCCGCUUCCCAACCUAAUGCAUUCAAGUCUGCCUUCGGUACUGGUACUUCGGAAUCAAGGGCCCAACAAGCGAUAUCAGGAGUCUUUGGCCGAAGAAGACAAUUCUGCAUUUUUUCAGCCGAUUCUCCGAAAUUUAAGACAAUUAUCCUCACUCAAACUUCAAAAAGUCCUUUUUUUCUGAUGUAAAUUCUGUCUGUCUCCUUUGUCCUUCCUAACGCUAGUCUUGGCAAAGUCAGAUGAAAGGCUAGGAGUGUAAACCACGUACGAGCGUGGCGCAGAAAGCGAAAUGUUUUGCAGCGAGUCAAGCGUAAUAUGAUCAAAAGGAAAUGGGGUCGAUGCUAAAACUCAAACAGUUCCCCAGAGGGGGCCCCGGGUUCACGAAAGAAAAUGCAAGUGAAAGAGAGUUGUCAAAAUUUCCUAAAAGCGAUGGUUCUUUUCUUUAUGGAUCGGGUAGAUCCAUAUGUUCUGAGGGGGAAGAUCUUUCUUUUCUAUCAAUAGAUAGGAAUGAGUGUUCGUUAUCUUUACACCCAUUAGUGUGUAAGGGUUUCAAUGGGGACUUUGAUGGAGAUCAAAUGGCUGUUCAUCUACCUUUAUCCUUGGAAGCUCAGGCAGACCGGGGAAGUUGAGGAGAGAUAGGGAGACCCAACUGCUGCCGGUCGGGACGGACAGGAAAGGGGGCGGGGAUAAGCUUGUGAAGAAGCAAGCUUAUUGCCCCACCCCCCAAAAACAAACCGACCCAGCAAGAAAACGUUUUUAGAAGAUAUAUCUAAUGUAGAUGGUGAUUGAUAGAGCAAUUCUUGCUCAUAAGUUGCGGGGGUCGACGAAGCGGAAGCGAGAAUGUCGGCUUGAGUAACGAAAACAUUGGUGAGAAUCCAAUGCCCCGAAAACCCAAGGUUUCCUCCGCAAGGUUCGUCCAUGGAGGGUGAGUCAGGGCCUAAGAUUAGGCCGAAAGGCGUAGUCGAUGGACAACAGGAGGAAGGGUUAAGGAUUUACCCGGUGUGAGAUAUCGCAUUAUUCGAGGAACCCUAGAUGUUGUCGCAGUAAAGAAUCGUCAACAAGGGCGUUCUUUAACAACUCAGUUAAAGGCCUGCUGAUAGCUCCAUACCCCGGUACAAACCUCCUGUAAUAACCCCUGCAACCCUCGGAGUUCUCUGACAAUCCAAUUGCAUUUUUCUUAGUUUAGAAUAUCAAAAGACAUCCCACAACCCGGUCUUAGGUGCUGAUAAAAACUCUCAAUUUCACGGGCAUCGCUCUUCUUCACGCGCUUGACUCGGUCUAAGGGCGAGCUUGAAUACAACUCACAUUUGAUAUGGGGUUCCUAUUCUUCACAUGUGGUGUCAUGAUGACAUUCACCUGAAGAUUUUCAAGGCACUUUUUGGGAACCCAUAUUUUCUUCAUAGGAGGACCGUUCCUGCAGUUAGUGCCAACAUAUCUAGCAAAUACUUCACCAUUCUGAUUUUUGAACAGUUUAUAGUUGGAGUCAAAUGACUCAUUAGAAGGGAUAUGAAGAUUCACAUGUAAAGCGAGAUAAAGUAAAUGGAUCCACUGAAGGUCCCUUUGCAGCAACCCAUGAGGUUUUGGGAUACUGCUCAGGUUUCCAGUAGGUCCCAUCAGCAUUGAGUUUCCUCUCAAAGGCAAUACCCUCUUUCCUAGGGUUCCUGUUGAGGAUCUGCUUUUUAAGCACAUCACAAACAGCCUGAUGCCCUUUGAGGCUUUUGUACAUGCCUGUCAUAUACAAUUCCUUCAGCCCUGCAUCGAUACUAGCAAUGUCCUCAGAUGAGAAAUUAGUGAUAGCAGAGACAGUUGAAGAACUUGCAGCAAUGGAAGCAUUUGAGCAUUCAGGUGAAGAAUUAGCAGAUUCAUGUUCAAUGCACUUCAAACAUGGAGGAAUAAAUUCUUCCUGAGUAGCGCUGAUUUGUUGAGCAAGUAAUGAAUCAUGCUCCUUCUAAAGAUCUUCAUAACUCACUCUUAACUGCUCAAGAUCUUUCUUUCUUUGAAGAAAUUCAUAAGAAAGCUUCUCAUGAUCAGACAAGAGAGUGUUAUGAUGACUCUAAAGAUUAUCAAACUUGGAUUAGAGUCCCUGAAGACUUUCAGCCAAAGCUUUAGAACGACCCAUUUCUUCACCCAACAUAUCGUCGCUCUCAUCUAGCAUGUUUUGAACUUUUUCCAAAGCUCUUUGUUGUUUAGUGGCAAGGGAAGCAAGUUUGACGUAACUGGGUCCAAAUUCAUCACCAGAUUCAUCAUCACUAGACUCAGAUAAGUAGCAUUCAGUUACCUUGGCACCUGUUGCCAUAAGGCAGGGUGCAGAGGAUGAUGAUUCUGGAUUGAAAGUCAUAGCCUUGCGUGAUUCCAUGAGGUCCUCGAACCAGGGUUCAUGGUGAGAUAUAUGACUUUCAUAGACCUCAGAGAGUCGGUCCCAGAUGAGCUUCACAUGGCUGAGAUGCAUAACAUUCCUGAACUGAUUUGGUGACAAGCCGGAGCAAAUGAUAUCCUUCGCCAUGAGGUUGAGUAGCGUGUACUUGCGAAUAUCAUCAGCCUCCGCCAUCUUGCAUAGGUCAGUAAGACCAAUCUCGGUGACGGUCCAGAGUUCGCUGUUCAUCGCCAUGAGGCGCUUCUUCAUCAUGGCCUUCCACUUGGGAUAAUCAUGACCGUCAAAGAUGGGGCAUGUCACAGUCUUCAUUCCCGUGGUUGACAUAACUAAAACUCCGGUUAAACCAAAAUCACAUAGAACAAGGGAGUACCUUGCUCUGAUACCAAUUGAAAGUGCAUUAAGUCGACUAGAGGGGGUGAAUAGGCGAUUUUUAUAAAUUCUUCACUGAGGAAUUUCAGGGUGAGAAAAUUCCUAAGCGAAGAACUACUUGCAGCGGAGUAAGUACUCAGAUGCAUACAUGACAUAACAUAAACAUGGAUAUCAUGAUGAAAUGAAAACAAACACAGAGUACAGAAAGCAUAAACAUAGGAUAAAACGGACUGAAGACAAACGGACUGAAGAAAUUGAACUGAGGAAAUUGAGAAAGUCUUUAGUCAAAGUCUUCGAACAGAUAUGAACAAGCACACAACACAGAAAUGAGGAAAUGGAAGGGUUGAGGAAAUAGAACCAGUAGGCUUGGUGAAGACAAUGAUUUGGUAGACCAGUUCCAACUGCUGUGACAGUCAUAUGUCUGGUUAGGGCGGCUAGGUAUUCAAACUUGAGGACACACAAUCCUGGACACCCAGUCCUGAAGACGCAGUUCAGGACACUUAGUCCUCACCGUAUUCCCCUUGAGCUAAGGUCACACAGACCUCGCCCAAUCACUCGUGGUAAGUCUUCAAGUGACUUCCAAACCUUCACAAACUCGGUCACUCGGCGAUCCACAAUUUCCUCUUGGAUGCUCUAGACCAUGACGCCUAACCAUCUGGAAGAUGCACAAACUUAAAAGGUAACAAGCGUCGGAUCCACAUAGGAUCAAUCUCUUCAGUGAUGCUCAAUCACUUUGGGUUUGUAGGUGUUUGGGUUUGGGUUUUCCUCACUUGAUGAUUUUCGCUCAAAGCCCUCGGAGGAUGGGAUGCUCUCAAAUGACAAGUGUCAGUUUCUCUCGGAGCAGCCAACCAGCUAGUGGUUGUAGGGGGCGGCUAUUUAUAGCCUAGGGAGCAACCCGUCAUGAUAAGACAUAAAUGCCCUUCAAUGAUAUGACUGUUAGGUGGGAAGAUAUUUUGGGACAAGUGGCGGGUAGCACAGCAACGAUCGGAAAUUUGACUAUCAAAUUCCUCAGGGCUAUCAUGUUCCUCACUUGUAGGCAAUCCACACUGGCGAAUUCCUAACUCCUCAGUCAGAACAAAUUCCUCAGAGACCAGAAGAGCUCUAUCUCUGUCACUGAAGAAAUUGACUGAACUACAUGAUAUUUCCAAUGGCUUCACUCGAAGGGAUUCGUAGGUGUAGGAUUUUGAGUUGAGCAUCACUUGGAAAAUUUUCCUUGGUAUUUCCCCGACCCCCGUUAACAGUAUGGUGUUUCCUAUGACUCAAGAAAGAGAAAAAGAAACUAAGAAAACAAAAGUCUUCACACUUCAUGUUCCUCGAAUGAAUACCAAGACUUCAUGGUCACACCAAUUUCUUCACUUUCAAAGUCUUCAGAAAUCCAAAGUAUUCAGUCGAAGAACUUCAUUUUUAGGGGUCGACUUUCUCUGUAAAUAUCAAACUCCUCAUAGACUUAUAGACCUAUGUACACUCACAAACGCAUCAGUCCCUUAACCUAUAAGUCUUCAAUACACCAAAAUCACUAAGGGGCACUAGAUGCACUUACAGAGUCUUUGAGCUAGAUAAUUUUGCUCUAGUGCUUCACUUAUAUUUUCUUUUUAGAGCAUGGUGGUGGUUUUAUUUUGUAGAAAUUAUUGAUCUCUCAUGCUUCACUUAUAUUAUUUUGAGAGUCUUUUAGAACAUCAUGGUAAUUUGCUUUGGUUAUGAAAUUAGUCCUAAUAUGAUAGGAAUUCAAGAUGGGUAUGAUAAAACACUUUCAUAAAAAGUGCAUUGAAUACUAUGAGAAUUUUGAUUCUUUAUGAUUGUUUUGAGAUAUGAAGAUGGUGAUAUUAGAGUCAUGCUAGUUGAGUAGUUGUGAAUUUGAGAGAUACUUGUGUUAAAGUUUGUGAUUCCCAUAGCAUGUACGUAUGGUGAACCAUUAUGUGAUGAAGUCGGAGCAUGAUUUAUUUUUUGAUUGUCUUCCUUAUGAGUGGCGGUCGGGGAUGAGCGAUGGUGUUUUCCUACCAAUCUAUCCCCCUAGGAGCAUGCACGUAGUACUCCGUUUCGAUAACUAAUAGAUUUUUGCAAUAAGUAUGUGAGUUCUUUAUGACUAAUGUUGAGUCCAUGGAUUAUACGCACUCUCACCCUUCCACCGUUGCUAGCCUCUCUAGUACCGCGCAACUUUCGCCGGUACCGUAAACCCACCAUUUACCUUCCUCAAAACAGCCACCAUACCUACCUAUUAUGGCAUUUCCAUAGCCAUUCUGAGAUAUAUUGCCAUGCAACUUUCCACCGUUCCGUUUAUUAUGACAUGCUUCAUCAUUGUCAUAUUGCUUUGCAUGAUCAUGUAGUUGACAUCGUAUUUGUGGCAAAGCCACUGUUCAUAAUUUUUCAUACAUGUCACUCUUGAUUCAUUGCACAUCCCGGUACACCACCGAAGGCAUUCACAUAGAGUCAUAUUUUGUUCUAAGUAUCGAGUUGUAAUUCUUGAGUUGUAAGUAGAUAAAAGUGUGAUGAUCUUCAUUAGAGCAUUGUCCUAGUGAGGAAAGGAUGAUGGAUACUAUGAUUCCCCCACAAGUCGGGAUGAGACUCCAGAUGAAAAUAAAAAAUAAAAAAUGGAGAAAAAAGAGGCCAUAAAAAUGGAGAAAGGCCCAAAUAAAAAAAUGAGAGAAAAAGAGAGAAGGGACAAUGCUACUAUCCUUUUUCCACACUUGUGCUGCAAAGUAGCACCAUGAUUUUCAUGAUAGAGAGUCUCCUAUUUUUUCACUUUCAUAUACUAGUGGGAUUUUUCAUUAUAGAACUUGGCUUGUAUAUUCCAAUGAUGGGCUUCCUCAAAAUGCCCUAGGUCUUCGUGAGCAAGUGAGUUGGAUGCACACACACUUAGUUUCUUUUUGAGCUUUCAUACACUUAUAGCUCUAGUGCAUCCAUUGCAUGGCAAUCCCUACUCACUCACAUUGAUAUCUAUUUAUGGGCAUCUCCAUAGCCCGUUGAUACGUCUAGUUGAUGUGAGACUAUCUUCUCCUUUUUGUCUUCUCCACAACCACCAUUCUAUUCCACCUAUAGUGCUAUGUCCAUGGCUCAUGCUCAUGUAUUGCGUGAAGAUUGAAAAAGUUUGGGAACAUCAAAAGUAUGAAACAAUUGCUUGGCUUGUCAUCGGGGUUGUGCAUGAUUUAAAUAUUUUGUGUGAUGAAGAUAGACCAUAGCCAGAUUAUAUGAUUUUGUAGGGAUGGCUUUCUUUGGCCAUGUUAUUUUGAGAAGACAUGAUUACUUUAUUAGUAUGCUUGAAGUAUUAUUAUUUUUAUGUCAAUAUUAAACUUUUGUCUUGAAUCUUUCGAAUCUGAAUAUUCAUGCCACAAUAAAGAAAAUUACAUUGAUAAUUAUGUUAGGUAGCAUUCCACAUCAAAAAUUCUGUUUUUAUCAUUUCCUACUCGAGGAUGAGCAGGAAUUAAGCUUGGGGAUGCUUGAUACGUCUCCAACGUAUCUAUAAUUUUUGAUUGUUUCAUGCUAUUAUAGUAUCUGUUUUGGAUGUUUAAUGGGAUUUAAUAUGCUCUUUUAUAUUAUUUUUGGGACUAACCUAUUAACCGAAGGCCCAGUGUCAGUUUCUGUUUUUUUUGCCUAUUUUAGAGUUUCGUAGAAAAGGAAUACCAAACGGAAUCCAAAUGGAAUGAAACCUUCAUGAUGAUCUUCUUGGACCGAAAGCAACCAGAAGACUUGGAGUUGAUGUUUGGAACGCCACGAGGCGGCCACGAGGCAGGAGGGCACGCCUAGGGGGGUAGGCGCGCCCCCACCCUCAUGGGCCCCUCGUAGCUCCACUGACGUACUUCUUCCGCCUAUAUAUACUCUUAUACCCUAGAUCGAUCCCAGGGAGCCACGAAACCACUUUUCCACCGCCGCAACCUUUUGUAUCCCUGAGAUCCCAUCUUGGGGCCUUUUCCGGCGAUCUUCCGGAGGGGGAUCUAUCACGGAGGGCUUCUACAUCAACACCAUAGCCUCUCUGAUGAAGCGUGAGUAGUUUACCACAGACCUUCGAGUCCAUAGCUAUUAGCUAGAUGGCUUCUUCUCUCUCUUUGAUUCUCAAUACAAAGUUCUCCUCGAUGUUCUUGGAGAUGUAUUCAAUGUAAUACUCUUUUGCGGUGUGUUUGCCGAGAUCCGAUGAAUUGUGGGUUUAUGAACAAGAUUAUCUAUGAAUAUUAUUUGGUUCUUCUCUGAAUUCUUAUAUGCAUGAUUUGAUAUCUUUGCAAGUCUCUUUGAAUUAUCGGUUUAGUUUGGCCUACUAGAUUGAUAUUUCUUGCAAUGGGAGAAGUGCUUAGCUUUGGGGUCAAUCUUGCGGUGUCCUUUCCCAGUGACAGUAGGGGCAGCAAGGCACAUAUUGUAUUAUUGCCAUCGAGGAUAAAAAUAUGGGGUUUAUAUCAUAUUGCUUGAAUUUAUCCCUCUACAUCAUGUCAUCUUGCUUAAAGCAUUACUCUGUUCUUAUGAACUUAAAACUCUAGAUGCAUGCUAGAUAGCGGUCGAUGUGUGGAGUAAUAGUAGUAGAUGCAGAAUCGUUUCGAUCUACUUGACAUGGACGUGAAGCCUAUAUUCAUGAUCAUUGCCUAGAUAUUCUCAUAACUAUGUGCUUUUCUAUCAAUUGCUCGGCAGUAAUUUUUUCACCCACCGUAAUACAUGCUAUCUUGAGAGAAGCCACUAGUGAAACCUAUGGCCCCCGGAUCUCUUUCUUAUUAUAUUGCAUCUCUUUUAUUUACAUCGCAUCUUGUUUACUAUUUUGCAAUCUUUACUUUCCAAUCUAUACAACAAAAAUAUUUACUUUACUAUCUUUAUCACAUCUCACUUUUGUGAGUGACCGUGAAGGGAUUGGCAACCCCUUUAUCACGUUGGUUGCAAGAAUCUUGAUUGUUUGUGCAGAUACUAGGUGACUUGUGCGUUGUCUCCUACUGGAUUGAUACCUUGGUUCUCAAAACUGAGGGAAAUACUUACGCUACUUUGCUGCAUCACCCUUUCCUCUUCAAGGGAAAACCAACGCAUGCGCAAGACGUAGUAUCAUUUGAUGAACGGGAUCACAUCAUUAGAGAAUGAUGUGAUGGACAAGACCCAUUUGUUAGCUUAGCACUAUGAUCAUUUAGUUUAUUGCUAUUGCUUUCUUCAUGACUUAUACAUGUUCCUAUGACUAUGAGAUUAUGCAACUCCCGAAUACCGGAGGAACACUUUGUGUGCUAUCAAACAUCACAACGUAAUUGGGUGAUUAUAAAGAUGCUCUAUAGGUGUCUGCAAUGGUGUUUGUUGAGUUGGCAUAGAUCGAGAUUAGGAUUUGUCACUCCGUGUAUCGGAGAGGUAUCUCUGGGACCUCUCGGUAAUGCACAUCACUAUGAGCCUUGCAAGCAAUGUGACCAAUGAGUUAGUCACGGGAUGCAUGAUGCAUUACAGAACGAGUGAAGAGACUUGCCGGUGACGAGAUUGAACUAGGUAUGAUGAUACCGACGAUCGAAUCUCGGGCAAGUAACAUACCGAUGACAAAGGGAACAGCAUAUGUUGUUAUGCGGUUUGACCGAUAAAGAUCUUCGUAGAAUAUGUAGGAAACAAUAUGAGCAUCCAGGUUCCGCUAUUGUUUAUUGAACAGAGAUAUGUCUUGGUCAUGUCUACAUAGUUCUCGAACCCGUAGGGUCCGCACGCUUAACGUUCGAUGAUGAUAUGUAUUAUGAGUUAUGUGAUUUGAUGUACCGAAAGGUUGUUCGGAUUCCCGGAUGAGAUCACGAACAUGCUGAGGAGUCUCUCAAUGGUCGAGACAUAAAGAUUGAUAUAUUGGAAGGUUAUAUUCGGACACCGGAAUGGUUCCGAGUGUAUCGGGUAUUUUCCGGAGUACCGGGAGGUUACCGGAACCCCCCGGGGGAUUAUGGGCCACAAUGGGCCUUAGUGAAGAAGAGAGAGGGCCGGCCAGAGGUGGCACCCCCCUUACCCAGUCCGAAUCAGACAAGGGGAAGGGGGGUGCCCCCCUCCCUUCUCUUCUCUCCUCUUUCCCUUCUUCUCCUUCUUGGACUAGGAAAGGGGGAAACCUACUCCUACUAGGAGUAGGAUUCCUCCCCCCUUGGCACGCCCCUUGUGGCCGGCCGGCCUCCUCCUCCCCUCCUUUAUAUAUGGGGGAGGGGGCACCCCAUAGACACACAAGUUGAUCUUUAGCCGUGUGCGGUGCCCCUCCAUAGUUUUCCACCUCAGUCAUAUUUUCGUAGUGCUUAGGCGAAGCCCUGCAUCGGUAACUUCAUCAUCACCAUCAACACACCGUUGUGCUGACGAAACUCACCCUCGGCCUCAGCUAGAUCAAGAGUACGAGGGACGUCACCGAGCUGAACGUCUGCAGAUCGCGGUGGUGCCGUGCGUUCGGUACUUGAUCGGUUGUAUCUUGAAGACGUUCGACUACAUCAACCGCGUUACUUAACGCUUCCGCUUUCGGUCUACGAGGGUACGUAGAUACACUCUCCCCUCUCAUUGCUAUGCAUCUCCUAGAUAGAUCUUGCGUGAUCAUAGGAAAAUUUUGAAAUACUGCGUUCCCCAAUAGCAACCCCAUCCUUUUAUCCUUAAUGGCUAUGAUACAUGCAUGUCAUUUCUCCUUCUUUCACUGAGAUUGAGCACCGCAAGAUCGAAGCCAUCACAAAGCACCUAUUCCCAUUGCAAGAAAAAACAAUCGUGUUGGCCAAACCAAACCAACAUUUCGAAGAAGAGAUACAAGGCUAUAAUAAUCAUGCAUAUAAGAGAUCAAAGAAGACUCAAAUAAUAUUCAUAGAUAGAUUUGAUCAUAAACUCUCAAUUCAUCGGAUCCCAACAAACACACCGCAAAAAGUCAUUACAUCAAAUAGAUCUCAAGAACAUCGAGGAGAACAUUCUAUUAAGAAUCAAAAAAAGAGAAGAAGCCAUCUAGCUACUGCCUACGGACCCGUAGGUCUGUGGUAAACUACUCACGCAUCAUCGGAGGAGCAUCAAUUGAAGGAAAUAUGCCCUAGAGGCAGUAAUAAAGUUGUUAUUUAUAUUUCCUUAUAUCAUGAUCAAUGUUUAUUAUUCAUGCUAGAAUUGUAUUAACCGAAAACUUAGUACAUGUGUGAAUACAUAGACAAACAGAGUGUCACUAGUUUGCCUCUACUUGACUAGAUCGUUGAAUCAAUGAUGGUUAUAUUUCCUAACCAUAGACAUGAGUUGUCAUUUGAUUAACGGGAUCACAUCAUUAGAGAAUGAUGUGAUUGACUUGACCCAUCCGUUAGCUUAGCAUGUUGAUCGUUUAGUUUGUUGCUAUUGCUUUCUCCAUAACUAUACAUGUUCCUAUGGCUAUGAGAUCAUGCAACUCUCGAAUACCGGAGGAACACUUUGUGUGCUACCAAACGUCACAAUGUAACUGGGUGAUUAUAAAGGUGAUCUACAGGUGUCUCCGAUGGUGUUUGUUGAGUUGGCAUGGAUCAAGAUUAGGAUUUGUCACUCCGAUUGUCGGAGAGGUAUCUCUGGGCCCUCUCAGUAAUGUACAUCACAAUAAGCCUUGCAAGCAAUGUAGCUAAUGAGUUAGCUAUGGGAUGUAGCAUUACGGAACGAGUAAAGAGACUUGCCAGUAACGAGAUUGAACUAGGUAUUGAGAUACCGACGAUCGAAUCUCGGGCAAGUAACAUACCGAUGACAAAGGGAACAACGUAUAUCGUUGUGCGGGUUGACCGAUAAAGAUCUUCGUAGAAUAUGUAGGAGCCAAUAUGAGCAUCCAGGUUCCGCUAUUGGUUAUUGACCAGAGACAUGUCUCGGUCAUGUCUACAUAGUUCUCGAACCCGUAGGGUCCGCACGCUUAACGUUCGGUGACGAUCAGUAUUACAAGUUUAUGUGUUUUGAUGUACCGAAGAUAGUUCGGAGUCCCGGAUUUUAUCACGGGCAUGACGACGAGUCUCGAAAUGGUUGAGACAUAAAGAUUGACAUAAAGAAUGAUGUGAUUUUAUCACUUUGUGUGCUACCAAACGUCAUAAUGUAACUGGGUGAUUAUAAAGGUGAUCCCCCUUUUUCCUUCCCCCUCUCUUCUCCUUCCUUCCCUCCUACUCCUACUCAUGGAAGGGGUGGAAUCCUACUCCCGGUGGGAGUAGGACUCCCCUUUGGGCACGCCUAGGAGGUCGGACUCCUCCCCCUCCUCCACUCCUUUAUAUACGGGGGAGGGGUGUUGGGGAACGUAGUAAUUUCAAAAAAAUUCCUACGCACGCACAGGAUCAUGGUGAUGCAUAACAACACGAGGGGAGAGUGUGUCCACGUACCCUCGUAGACCGAAUGCGGAAGCGUUAGCACAACACGGUUGAUGUAGUCGUACGUCUUCACGAUCCGACCGAUCCAAGUACCAAACGCACGGCACCUCCGAGUUCUGCACACGUUCAACUCGAUGACGUCCCGCGAGCUCCGAUCCAACAAAGCUUCACAUGAGAGUUUCGUCAGCACGACGGUGUGGUGGCGGUGAUGAUGAUGCUACCGACGCAGGGCUUCGCCUAAGCACCGCUACGAUAUGAUCGAGGUGGAUUAUGGUGGAGGGGGGCACCGCACACAGCUAAGAGAUCAAUGAUCAAUUGUUGUGUCUAUGGGGUGCCCCCUCCCCCCGUAUAUAAAGGAGCAAGGGGGAGGAGGCGGCCGGCCAGGGAGAGGCGCACCAAGAGGGGGAGUCCUACUCCCACUAGGAGUAGGACUCCUCCUUUUCCUAGUAGGAGUAGGAGAGGGGGAAGGAAAGGGAGAGGAGGAGAAGGAAAGAGGGGGAUGGCCCCCUUGCCCUAAACCAAUUCGGUUUGGGCCUUGGGGGGCGUGCCCCACACUCCCCUUGCUGCCCUCUAUUUCCACUAAGGCCCAUGUAGGCCCAUUAAGCCCCCCCGGGGGUUCCGGUAACCCCCGGUACUCCGAUAUAUGUCCAAAACCUUUUGGAACCUUUCCGGUGUCCGAACAUAGUCAUCCAAUAUAACGAUCUUUACAUCUCGACCAUUUUGAGACUCCUCGUCAUGUCUGUGAUCAUAUCCGGGACUCCAAACUACCUUCGGUACAUCAAAACAUAAAAACCCAUAAUACCGAUCGUCACUGAACUUUAAGCGUGCGGACCCUACGGGUUCGAGAACUAUGUAGACAUGACCGAGACACGUCUCCGGUCAAUAACCAAUAGCGGAACCUGGAUGCUCAUAUUGGCUUCCACAUAUUCUACGAAGAUCUUUAUCGGUCAAACCGCAUAACAACAUAUGUUGUUCCCUUUGUCAUUUGUAUGUUACUUGCCUGAGAUUUGAUCGUCGGUAUCUCAAUACCUAGUUCAAUCUCCUUACCGGCAAGUCUCUUUACUCGUUCCGUAAUACAUCAUCCCGCAACUAACUCAUUAGUCGCAAUGCUUGCAAGGCUUAUAGUGAUGUGCAUUACUGAGUGGACCCAGAGAUACCUCUCUGACAUUCGGAGUGACAAAUCCUAAUCUCGAAAUACGCCAACUCAACAAGUACCUUCAGGGACACCUGUAGAGCACCUUUAUAAUCACCCAGUUACGUUGUGACAUUUGAUAGCACACAAAGUGUUCCUCUGGUAAACGGGAGUUGCAUAAUCUCAUAGUCAUGGGAACAUGUAUAAGUUAUGAAGAAAGCAAUAGCAACAUACUAAACGAUCAAGUGCUAAGCUAACGGAAUGAGUCAAGUCAAUCACAUCAUUCUCCUAUUGAUGUGAUCCCGUUAAUCAAAUGACAACUCAUGUCUAUGGUUAGGAAACAUAACCAUAUUUGAUCAACGAGCUAGUCAAGUAGAGGCAUACUAGUGACACUCUGUUUGUCUAUGUAUUCACACAUGUAUUAUGUUUCCAGUUAAUACAAUUCUAGCAUGAAUAAUAAACAUUUAUCAUGAUAUAAGGAAAUAAAUAAUAACUUUAUUAUUGCCUCUAGGGCAUGUUUCCUUCAGUCUCCCACUUGCACUAGAGCCAAUAAUCUAGAUUACACAGUAAUGAUUCUAACACCCAUGGAGCCUUGGUGCUGAUCAUGUUUUGCUCGUGGAAGAGGCUUAGUCAACAGGUCUGCAACAUUCAGAUCCGUAUGUAUCUUGCAAAUCUCUAUGUCUCCCACCUGGACUUGAUACCGGAUGGAGUUGAAGCGUCUCUUGAUGUGCUUGGUUCUCUCGUGAAAUCUGGAUUCCUUUGCCAAGGCAAUUGCACCAGUAUUGUCACAAAAGAUUUUCAUUGGACCCGAUGCACUAGGUAUGACACCUAGAUCGGAUAUGAACUCCUUCAUCCAGACUCCUUCAUUUGCUACUUCUGAAGCAGCAAUGUACUCUGCUUCACAUGUAGAUCCCGCCACGAAGCUCUGUUUAGGACUGCUCCAACUGAGAGCUCCACUGUUCAAUAUAAACAUGUAUCCAGUUUGCGAUUUAGAAUCGACCGGAUCAGUGUCAAAGCUUGCAUCAACGUAACCAUUUACAAUGAGCUCUUUGUCACCUCCAUAAAUGAGAAACAUAUCCUUAGUCCUUUUCAGGUACUUCAGGAUGUUCUUGACCGCUGUCCAGUGAUCCACUCCUGGAUUACUUUGGUACCUCCCUGCUAAACUAAUAGCAAGGCACACAUCAGGUUUGGUACACAACAUUGCAUACAUGAUAGAGCCUAUGGCUGAAGCAUAGGGAACAUCUUUAAUUUUCUCUCUAUCUUCUACAGUGGUCGGGCAUUGAGUCUUACUCAACUUCACACCUUGUAACACAGGCAAGAACCCUUUCUUUGCCUGAUCCAUUUUGAACUUCUUUAAAACUUUGUCAAGGUAUGUGCUUUGUGAAAGUCCAAUUAAAUGUCUUGAUCUAUCUCUAUAGAUCUUGAUGCCCAAUAUGUAAGCAGCUUCACCGAGGUCUUUCAUUGAAAAACUCUUAUUCAAGUAUCCUUUUAUGCUAUCCAAAAAUUCUAUAACAUUUCCAAUCAACAAUAUGUCAUCCACAUAUAAUAUUAGAAAUGCUAUAGAGCUCCCACUCACUUUCUUGUAAAUACAGGCUUCUCCAAAAGUCUGUAUAAAACCAUAUGCUUUGAUCACACUAUCAAAAUGUUUAUUCCAACUCCAAGAGGCUUGCACCAGUCCAUAAAUGGAUCGCUGGAGCUUGCACACUUUGUUAGCACCUUUUGGAUUGAUAAAACCUUCAGGUUGCAUCAUAUACAACUCUUCUUCCAAAAAUCCAUUCAGGAAUGCAGUCUUUACAUCCAUUUGCCAAUUUUCAUAAUCAUAAAAUGCGGCAAUAGCUAACAUGGUUUGGACGGACUUAAGCAUCGCUACGGGUGAGAAGGUCUCAUCGUAGUCAACUCCUUGAACUUGUCAAAAACCUUUCGCAACAAGUCGAGCUUUGUAGACAGUAACAUUACCAUCAACGCCUGUCUUCUUCUUGAAGAUCCAUUUAUUCUUGAUGGCUUGCCGAUCAUCGGGCAAGUCAACCAAAGUCCACACUUUGUUCUCAUACAUGGAUCCCAUCUCAGAUUUCAUGGCCUCAAGCCAUUUUGCGGAAUCUGGGCUCAUCAUCACUUCCUCAUAGUUCAUAGGUUCGUCAUGGUCAAGUAACAUGACUUCCAGAAUAGGAUUGCCGUACCACUCUGGUGCGGAUCUUACUCUGGUUGACCUACGAGGUUCAGUAGUAACUUGGUCAAAAGUUUCAUGAUCAUCAUCAUUAGCUUCCUCACUAUUGGUGUAGGUGUCACAGGAACCGGUUUCUGUGAUGAACUACUUUCCAAUAAGGGAGCAGGUACUAUUACCUCAUCAAGUUCUACUUUCCUCCCACUCACUUAUUUCUAGAGAAACUCCUUCUCUAGAAAGGAUCCAUUCUUAGCAACAAAAGUCUUGCCUUCGGAUCUAUGAUAGAAGGUGUACCCAACUGUUUCUUUUGGGUAUCCUAUGAAGACACAUUUUUUUGACUUGGGUUCGAGCUUAUCAGGUUGAAGCUUUUUCACAUAAGCAUCGUAGCCCCAAACUUUAAGAAAUGACAACUUUGGUUUCUUGCCAAACCACGGUUCAUAAGGAGUCGUCUCAACGGAUUUAGAUGGUGCCCAAUUUAACGUGAAUGCAGCCGUCUCUAAAGCAUAACCCCAAAACGAUAGCGGUAAAUCAGUAAGAGACAUCAUAGAUCACACCAUAUCUAGUAAAGUACGAUUACGAAGUUUGGACACACCAUUACGUAGUGGUGUUCCGGGUGGCGUGAGUUGCGAAACUAUUCCGCAUUGUUUCAAAUGUAGACCAAACUCGUAACUCAAAUAUUCUCCUCCACGAUCAGAUCGUAGAAACUUUAUUUUCUUGUUACGAUGAUUUUCCACUUCACUCUGAAAUUCUUCGAACUUUUCAAAUGUUUCAGACUUAUGUUUCAUUAAGUAGAUAUACCCAUGUCUGCUCAAAUCAUCUGUGAAGGUGAGAAAAUAACGAUACUCGCCGCGAGCCUCAAUAUUCAUCGGACCACAUACAUCAGUAUGUAUGAUUUCCAACAAGUCUGUUGCUCGCUCCAUUGUUCCGGAGAACGGCGUUUUAGUCAUCUUGCCCAUGAGGCAUGGUUUGCAAGUACCAAGUGAUUCAUAAUCAAGUGAUUCCAAAAGUCCAUCAGUAUGGAGUUUCUUCAUGCGCUUUACACCAAUAUGACCUAAACGGCAGUCCCACAAAUAAGUUGCACUAUCAUUAUCAACUCAGCAUCUUUUGUCUUCAACAUUAUGAAUAUGUGUGUCACUACUAUCGAGACUUAACACAAAUAGACCACUCUUCAAGGGUGCAUGACCAUAAAAGAUAUUACUCAUAUAAAUAGAACAACCAUUUUUCUCAGAUUUAAAUGAAUAACCGUCUCGCAUCAAACAAGAUCCAGAUAUAAUGUUCAUGCUCAACGCUGGCACCAAAUAACAAUUAUUCAGGUCUAAAACUAAUCCCGAAGGUAGAUGCAGAGGUAGCGUGCCGACGGUGAUCACAUCGACUUUGGAAUCAUUUCCCACGCACAUCGUCACCUCAUCCUUAGCCAGUUUUCGCUUAAUCUGUAGUCCCUGUUUCGAGUUGCAAAUAUUAGCAACAAAACCAGUAUCAAAUACCCAGGUGCUACUGCGAGCUCUGGUAAGGUACACAUCAAUAACAUGUAUAUCACAUAUACCUUUGUUCACCUUGCCAUCCUUCUUAUCCGCCAAAUACUUGGGGUAGUUCCGCUUCCAGUGACUAGUCUGUUUGCAGUAGAAGCACUCAGUCUCAGACUUAGGUCCAGACUUGGGUUUCUUCUCCUGAGCAACAACUUGUUUGCUAUUCUUCUUGAAGUUCCCCUUCUUCUUCCCUUUACCCUUUUUCUUGAAACUGGUGGUCUUGUUGACCAUCAACACUUGAUGCUCCUUCUUGAUUUCUACCUCCGCUACCUUUAGCAUAGCGAAGAGCUCGGGAAUUGUCUUAUUCAUCCCUUGCAUAUUAUAGUUCAUCAUGAAGCUCUUGUAGCUUGGUGGCAGUGAUUGAAGAACUCUGUCAAUGACACUAUCAACAGGAAGAUUAACUCCCAGUUGAGUCAACUGAUUAUGAUACCCAGACAUUUUGAGUAUAUGUUCACUGACAGAACUAUUCUCCUCCAUCUUGCAGCUAUAGAACUUAUUGGAGACUUCAUAUCUCUCAAUCCGGGCAUUUGCUUGAAAUAUAAACUUCAACUCCUCGAAUAUCUCAUAUGCUCCAUGACAUUCAAAACAUCGUUGAAGUCACGGUUCUAAGCCGUAAAGCAUGGCACACUGAACUAUCGAGUAGUCAUUAGCUUUACUCUGCCAGGCGUUCUUAACGUCAUCAGCAACAUCUGCAGCAGGCCUAGCACCCAGCGGUGCUUCCAGGAUGUAAUUCUUCUGUGCAGCAAUGAGGAUAAUCCUCAAGUUACGGACCCAGUUGUGACGCCCGGGUAAUCAAGCUACAUUAACCCUCUGGUAAUGGUGCCACGUACCUCGAUUUAUUGUUGAUAAUCUCGUGUUAGCUCGAAACCAAACCAAAUUCAAAUUUGAAUUAAAGUCAAAACAAUAAAAGUUUUCAAAAUUGAAACAAAAAUGUUCGGUGGACGCCAAAUAUUACAAAGGUAAUUAUGGGGCAACAAACACCUUUUUAUAAAAUGGCUAAAUGAUUUAAAAUGAUUUAAACAGAAAAGAAAGAAAUAAUAAAAGAAAACAGAAAACAAACAAACAAAAAAAAGGAAAAGGAAAAGAACCCCCCCCGGCCCAGCCGACCCAACUGGCCGGCCCAUUCGACCACCGGCCCAACUGGACAAAGGCCCAGCCGGCCACCCCACUCCCCCCCAUAACCCCCCACCCCUGGUCAAACCCUAACCCAACCACNNNNNNNNNNNNNNNNNNNNNNNNNNNNNNNNNNNNNNNNNNNNNNNNNNNNNNNNNNNNNNNNNNNNNNNNNNNNNNNNNNNNNNNNNNNNNNNNNNNNNNNNNNNNNNNNNNNNNNNNNNNNNNNNNNNNNNNNNNNNNNNNNNNNNNNNNNNNNNNNNNNNNNNNNNNNNNNNNNNNNNNNNNNNNNNNNNNNNNNNNNNNNNNNNNNNNNNNNNNNNNNNNNNNNNNNNNNNNNNNNNNNNNNNNNNNNNNNNNNNNNNNNNNNNNNNNNNNNNNNNNNNNNNNNNNNNNNNNNNNNNNNNNNNNNNNNNNNNNNNNNNNNNNNNNNNNNNNNNNNNNNNNNNNNNNNNNNNNNNNNNNNNNNNNNNNNNNNNNNNNNNNNNNNNNNNNNNNNNNNNNNNNNNNNNNNNNNNNNNNNNNNNNNNNNNNNNNNNNNNNNNNNNNNNNNNNNNNNNNNNNNNNNNNNNNNNNNNNNNNNNNNNNNNNNNNNNNNNNNNNNNNNNNNNNNNNNNNNNNNNNNNNNNNNNNNNNNNNNNNNNNNNNNNNNNNNNNNNNNNNNNNNNNNNNNNNNNNNNNNNNNNNNNNNNNNNNNNNNNNNNNNNNNNNNNNNNNNNNNNNNNNNNNNNNNNNNNNNNNNNNNNNNNNNNNNNNNNNNNNNNNNNNNNNNNNNNNNNNNNNNNNNNNNNNNNNNNNNNNNNNNNNNNNNNNNNNNNNNNNNNNNNNNNNNNNNNNNNNNNNNNNNNNNNNNNNNNNNNNNNNNNNNNNNNNNNNNNNNNNNNNNNNNNNNNNNNNNNNNNNNNNNNNNNNNNNNNNNNNNNNNNNNNNNNNNNNNNNNNNNNNNNNNNNNNNNNNNNNNNNNNNNNNNNNNNNNNNNNNNNNNNNNNNNNNNNNNNNNNNNNNNNNNNNNNNNNNNNNNNNNNNNNNNNNNNNNNNNNCAGGCCGCGCCCACCCCCGCGGCCGCUCUCCCCGCCGUUCGGCGCGCACAUGCGCCGUCCUCCCACGUCCGGCCACCGCCUCAGCUCGCCGCUGCAGGGCGCAGCACCGGCCGGCCGGCCACUCCGCGGUCGCGCCCGUGGUUGGACUCGGGCACGGGCACCACACUUGUGCGCCCGCACGCCCGUUUGCCCGAUUGGCCCCUGGGGCCUAUGACAGAUGGGCCCCGUGCCCAGAACGUUUUAACAAAAAUUAAUUAAUUAAUUAAAUAAAUAAAAUUAAUAAUUAAUUAAUUAAUUAAUUGACUUAACUAAACUUAAUUAAUUAAUUAAAGAAUUAAUUAAACUAUUUAAUCCUGAUUAGAUUAACCUAACCACUAAUUAAACUAAUUGACCCUGUUUAAUUAACCUGUUAAUUAAAUGUGUCAAUGACGAAUGGGACCCACCUGUCAGGUUGACUAGGUCAACUGCUGACCUCGUGCUGUCAUCAUGCUGACGUCAGCAAACACUGUUCUGGAUAAUGUUGAUUUAAAUAAUUAAAUAAAUCCUAAAAUUGAUUUAAAUCUUCUAAAAUUAAUAUAAAAUAAAUCGUAACUCGGAUGGAAAAACUUUGUACAUGAAAGUUGCUCAGAACGACGAGACGAAUCCGGAUACACAGUCCGUUCGUCCGCCACACACCCCUAACCUAUCGAACUCGCAACUUUCCCCCUCCGGCUCCUCUGCCCGAAAACGCGAAACACUGGGAAUACUUUCCCGGAUGUUUUCCCCCUUAACCGGUACCACCUCAUACCACGUUAGGGCACACCUAGCACCGCUCAUUGUCACGUCAUGCAUCGUCAUGUUUAUGUUCGCAUUGUAUUCAUUGUUUCUUCCCCCUCUUAUCUCCGGUAGACUACGAGACCGACGCUGAUGCCACCGAGUACGACUAUGUCACCGACGACCCCUCUCUCUCUUGCCAGAGCAACCAGGCAAGCCCCCCCUUUGAUCACCAGAUAUCGCCUACUCUUCUCUAUACUGCUUGCAUUAGAGUAGUGUAGCAUGUUACUGCUUUCCGUUAAUCCUAUUCUGAUGCAUAGCCUGUCAUUGCUGCUACAGUCAUUGAUACCUUACCCGCAAUCCUAAAUGCUUAGUAUAGGAUGCUAGUGUUCCAUCAGUGACCCUACACUCUUGUCCGUCUGCCAUGCUAUACUACUGGGCUGUGAUCACUUCGGGAGGUGAUCACGGGCAUAUACUAUAUACUUUACACUGUUACGUUACCGGUGAUACUGUUUGGAGAUGGGGGCUGAAGGGGCAGGUGGCUCCAUCCAGGUAGUGGUGGGCCUGAGUUCCCGACGGCCCCCGACUGUUACUUUGUGGCGGAGCGACAGGGCAGGCUGAGACCACCUAGGAGACAGGUGGGCCUGGCCUUGUUCGGCAUUCGCGGAUACUUAACACGCUUAACGAGAUCUUGGUAUUUGAUCUGAGUCUGGCUACGAGCCUAUACGCACUAACCAUCUACGUGGGAGUAGUUAUGGGUAUCCCGACGUCGUGGUAUCAGCCGAAGCACUUCAGACGCCAGCGACGGAGCGGCGCGCGCCGAAUUGGACUGGAACGCCACUAGGCUAGGUCUGCUUUCGGCUGCGUACGCAACGUGUAGGUGUGCUAUGGGCGAUGGGCCCAGACCCCUGUGCGCUUAGGUUUAGACCGGCGUGCUGGCCUCUCUGUUGAGCCUAGGUGGGGCUGCGACGUGUUGAUCUUCCGAGGCCGGGCAUGACCCAGGAAAGUGUGUCCGGCCAAAUGGGAUCGAGCGUGUUGGGCUAUGUGGUGCACCCCUGCAGGGAAGUUAAUCUAUUCGAAUAGCCGUGAUCUUCGGUAACAGGACGACUUGGAGUUGUACCUUGACCUUAUGACAACUAGAACCGGAUACUUAAUAAAACACACCCUUCCAAGUGCCAGAUACAACCGGUGGUCGCUCUCUCUCAGGGAUACGAGGAGGGGAUCGCCGGGUAGGAUUAUGCUACUGCGAUGCUGCUGGAGAUGCUACUGGAGUUGUUACUUGGAGUUGCUAUUUGGAGAUUCUACAGUGGAGAUGCUACUUGGAGGACUUCAAGCUACUCUCUUCUACAUGCUGCAAGACGGAGGCUGCCAGAAGUGUAGUCUUCGAUAAGACUAGCUAUCCCCCUCUUAUUCUGGCAUUCUGCAGUUCAGUCCACUGAUAUGGCCCUUUACACAUAUACCCAUGCAUUUGUGGUGUAGUUCCUUGCUUGCGAGUACUUUGGAUGAGUAAUCACGGUUGCUUUCUCCCCCCUUUUUCCCCCUUUCCUUUCUUUCUGGUUGUCGCAACCAGAUGCUGGAGUCCAGGAGCCAGACGCCACCGUCGACGACGACCCCUACUACACCGGAGGUGCCUACUACUACGUGCAGGCUGCUGACGACGACCAGGAGUAGUUUAGGAGGAUCCCAGGCAGGAGGCUUGCGCCUCUUUCGAUCUGUAUCCCAGUUUGUGAUAGCCAUCUUAUGGCAACUUGUUUAACUUAUGUCUGUACUCAGAUAUUGUUGCUUCCGCUGACUCGUCUAUGAUCGAGCACUUGUAUUCGAGCCCUCGAGGCCCCUGGCUUGUAUUAUGAUGCUUGUAUGACUUAUUUUAUUUGUAGAGUUGAGUUGUGAUAUCUUCCCGUGAGUCCCUGAUCUUGAUCGUACACAUUUGCGUGCAUGAUUAGUGUAUGAUUGAAUCGGGGGCGUCACAAGUUGGUAUCAGAGCCGACUGCCUGUAGGAAUCCCCCUUCCAACUCCUUGGCCGAAGUCGAGUCUAGACUUUACAAAACUUUUACUAACAUGGCUGUGCGGCCCAUGGGCCCACGUCGCCAUUGGGUGGUACUAGGAUCUUUUACUCCUCGACCUUUACUCUGGGACUCUGAUCUCUCCUCUAUUCGGGUUAAAUGAAGUUUACUAAAUCUAACAUUAGGAUCUCGUUAUCACUUUCACCCGGAGAGCCCCUUAUUACUAAUGAUCGUCUGCUGCACCAGAAGACCCUGAAGAUACUCUCCACUGUUAACCCGAGAACUUGUGUUCAUCGCGUUUGCAAUUCACCUUCCACCGCAAACCCUUAUGGAUAACUACUUGCAUUUGUUAUUCUUACAUUCAUCCCCAGUGGUCUUGUUAUUACAAGAUACCCUGAAAAACUCGUCGUUGUUUCAAUAAUCCCUUGAGCUUGCUGCCUUGGUGUUCUUUGUCACUUGAAUACCCUUCAAAUAAAUCGCCGCACUUGUCAAGUAUCCGCUCAUCCCCAGUUGUUCAUGAGUUUCACAAAAGUCUUCAAAAUACUAUUCGAUCUUCCGAAAAUCCUCUGGAGCCUUUGGCUCUUGAAAUUCUUGUUUGCUCGCAUUAUGGUUAAUCCCAUAAGUCUCGUAGUCUUAAUGACAUUCCUUGUCAUUAUCAUUUUGAGUCUGUUGACUCAAUAUGUUUGCGAAUGCACGCAAUCAUCAUUGAUCCUUAUAAAUUACUUCUCUGGCUAAGCUGCCAUUCUUUUAACUGGAAUUGGUUCUCGACCAAUCCAAUUGUCAUUGAUUGUACCCUAAGGCUAUUCAACUUAUCCAUCCCUACUCAGAGCAUUGCUUCUGAUCCCUUGAUUUGGAAAUCAUAAUUCCUUUGCAUUUGACAAUUGAGUUAGUCAGUUGUUUCUAUAAUCUGAUCUCCUUGCAAUCUUCUUCCUCUAGUUGAAUACCGAUGCUCACGUCAGAUCCCUUGUGGACCACCAGAUCCUUUGUUGGAUUUUAUCUGACAACGCCCUUCAUAUUCAAUAACCUUGUGAGCCUUUCCUCUGAUACAUAAUGCCUUUGGUAAAUUGUAUCCUCUGCUUUCUCAACCAUGCUCUGCCUUCGAGCUUGAGUUAAUUACUUCUGAAGAUUUGGUAUAUGAUUCUAAGAUGCCCCAAUGGGUUGAACCUAUGCCUUCCUUAAUAGGUGUGAACUCGAAAGUUUUCACGAGUCGUACUCUUCUGGUAUUUUGCCAGAUAAAAUUUCAAAACUACAAUUUCAUUGAGCGCGAGAAGUGAAUGAAAGGUUGUGCAUUGGAGAAGUGGGAGUCGACCUUGAACUUGCGUUCAUGCCCAUGGACACGAUGUACAUCUUCUCAUCGAAGCUUCUUUUAAAAUCAAUUAUUCCCUUGGUAUAAGUUCAUCUUAUAUCUGAGAUCUGGCCUUUUUGCAAUCGUGGUUCUGACCAUGUUCUCCUUUAAAUAUCAUGUCCUGUGCAAGUUUAAGCACUUGUCUUCUAUAGAGCAAUACCCCAGUUCAACUUCUAGUUUGAUCUGUCGUCGAGUAUUACCACCUGGUAUCUCGAGAUUAUCUUGGAACUGCAUAAUUUCUUAUGAGUUCUUCAUCAAGUACUACAUACUCACCGAUUACAAUUUUUCAUGGGCUCGGAGUUAUUAUACACUCAAAGACACCGAAAACUGAACCGAGUCCGCUCUUCGGUUCAAAAACUCUUCAGUAAGCUUCUAUAAGUACGAGUUUGUACCCGAUCACGCCAUUCCUAGCCUGUUUGGCUAUAUCAUUGUGGUGACGAUUCUAAUGGUGCUACCUGGUCCUUAUUCUCGGAGCACCAAUUUUCGACGAAGAACUAACCUUACGUCGAUUUUCCUCGUCAUACCCUUUCACCUUAAACAACAAGUUUGAGUUCGAGUUCGUGUCGUAACUGUGGUUCCAAUAACCUCUUGCUUCAUCAUUCCUUUGACUUGAUGUCGUCGCUGAUUGACUACAUCUGCAUGAAAUCUCUCGACAAUUGUGUUGUGAUCAUCAUCAACCUUAUGAGCUCUUCCAGGAAUUCAAUUGAAUUCAUGAUGGGUAAUACCAUCUUUGCCCCUCGAUGAUUCCUGUUCUCAUCGACCACUUUAUUGCCUUCCAUUCAACACAACUUGUUCGUGUUUUGUGUAAAUCUUGAGAUCACUGCUACCCAGCAGUUGAUCUUCCUUACCUCGGAAGUAUUACCAUCUCUUUUGUCAAGAAUGUGGUGAGAAUUUCACCACCUCUUAAUAAUUCUUGAUAUCAUAAUACUUCUUGCCAUCUUCGUUCAUUCCUUGGUCCCCGUAUUGUUUUCAACCGGAAUACCGACAAUGGAGCUAUGACGUGUGAAUUCAAAACUUCUAACAACCCUAUUGCUUUGAAGUAAAUGGGCGAUAGUUCAUUCUAAGUCCUUUGCUAAUUGAAUCACCAUUCUGACAUUGGUCGUGCAACCCAACCCAUAUUCGGGUGCACCUUUCAACCAAUGUUUAAUUGUGUAUGUGUUCCUCAAGCAUACAUCAUUAUACCAUUUGAUCUGACUAAUGUUGUCUCCUUGUUCACAUAAUUGUGGAAAUCCAUCUUUUGGGAAAUUCUUGAAGAAUUGUCGCUGAGUCCAUCCGCCAUCUCCUCAUCCUAUCCUUGGUUAAAUGACGAACUCAUGAUUCAGAACUUGCUUCCAUAGUUCAUUUCCUAAGGAUUUUACGAUGUCACCUCGUCAAUUGUGUUGCACCUUUUCUUCUCAGGCAUCCUGAGUCUGAGGUAUCCUGUCCCCAAUCAGAUCUGAAUCUCAGUCACAUAUGAUGGUUGGAACAUAUUUUCAAGAGUUAUAACAUUGGUCUUUAUGUGACCCGGUAAGGUGAGGUCGUGCCUAGCACACCUGGCCGGAGGCCCUAUUGUUAUAGAUUCCUUUUCAGCAAGGUUAGCCAUUCUUCCACGAGGAAAUUGUAAGACUUAUUCUAUAAGUUGUUCCUGAUGGAUCCUUUGCAUAUCCAAAGUCCGAUCUUUGCUUGAAGACCAUGUCGAUGCUAUCUCGAAGCAUGUCUGUGGUACUUCGAUUUUCAAUAAAAACUUUUGAAGCAUAAUGCUAAAUGUUACCUGCUCAAUUAUCCAAACACUGUUGCAUGGGUAAUGUCAUGAAAUUUCUUUCCCCUUUCCUAAAGAGUUUUUAUUAUAUCCUGCCAAGGAUAUCAUGCUCUGCUUGUCCUUGGGGAGGAUAUACCCCUGAUAUAUGUAUUUAAACACAUUUUCCUUUCCAUUAUUUGGUUUAACCUUUCUUGUGAUCUAUAUGAUCUAAGCAGUAAUAUUCUCCUGCUUAUGUAUAUACCUCGGUGUACUUCUGUCAGCAAGACCCUGUUACUGUUGUUGAUGACAUUUCGGUAGCCACCGAUGGACGGGAACCUUGCCUAUUGGCCCGCCUCGUUCAACGAGCAGGAAAAUGGUUCUCUUCGUCCCUCGCCCUUGGUACCAACGUUGUUGCCGACAUAGCUGACAUGGUACUCCCUGACAUGCCUUGCUAUCAUGACCGUGCAAGAUGUCACUGCUCCUAUUAAAAAAAAAGAACCACAUGGUGGGCCCAUAAGCCACAGUUUCACAGGAUCGAAACCUGACACUCCUGUACACCACCUGUUCCCAAGGUUGUUCCUUGCACUUGACUUCGUAUGUAAUUCACGGACCACCUGUCUAGUGAUCUAUUCUGGUAUGUGGCGCAAUACCUAUUCUCGUUGCCCUGAAACCCUUUCACCUUCUGAUUAGGCAUCGAACGAUUGCCUAUCCGUUUGAAACUUCUCAUGGUACCUUCUUACUUUGCUCUCGAUAUCUUCUUAAGUUUCAAUUCGAGAGAUACUUAUGCUUCUUCCCUGAGUUAACCGUCUGAUGCUCGAUCUUGUUAGAAUCCAUCCAUAUAGAGUUUUCCCUUCUUACCCUUUUGUAAGUACGAUGGAGUUCCCGAAGAAAGGACGACAACUUCAUCAUGAUGCAUUGAUGCAUAGGAAUGAAGACAUCGACGCUAUGGAUCGACCUGUUCGAGAAGAGCAACCAAGACCGAGAAGAUCCGUUAGAUUUUUCGUAACCCAAUCCCUCCCCCUUACUCCCUCCUAAAUCUCGGGACGAGAUUUCUUGUAGUGGAGGAGAAUUGUGACGCCCGGGUAAUCAAGCUACAUUAACCCUCUGGUAAUGGUGCCACGUACCUCGAUUUAUUGUUGAUAAUCUCGUGUUAGCUUGAAACCAAACCAAAUUCAAAUUUGAAUUAAAGUCAAAACAAUAAAAGUUUUCAAAAUUGAAACAAAAAUGUUCGGUGGACGCCAAAUAUUACAAAGGUAAUUAUGGGGCAACAAACACCUUUUUAUAAAAUGGCUAAAUGAUUUAAAAUGAUUUAAACAGAAAAGAAAGAAAUAAUAAAAGAAAACAGAAAACAAACAAACAAAAAAAAGGAAAAGGAAAAGAACCCCCNNNNNNNNNNNNNNNNNNNNNNNNNNNNNNNNNNNNNNNNNNNNNNNNNNNNNNNNNNNNNNNNNNNNNNNNNNNNNNNNNNNNNNNNNNNNNNNNNNNNNNNNNNNNNNNNNNNNNNNNNNNNNNNNNNNNNNNNNNNNNNNNNNNNNNNNNNNNNNNNNNNNNNNNNNNNNNNNNNNNNNNNNNNNNNNNNNNNNNNNNNNNNNNNNNNNNNNNNNNNNNNNNNNNNNNNNNNNNNNNNNNNNNNNNNNNNNNNNNNNNNNNNNNNNNNNNNNNNNNNNNNNNNNNNNNNNNNNNNNNNNNNNNNNNNNNNNNNNNNNNNNNNNNNNNNNNNNNNNNNNNNNNNNNNNNNNNNNNNNNNNNNNNNNNNNNNNNNNNNNNNNNNNNNNNNNNNNNNNNNNNNNNNNNNNNNNNNNNNNNNNNNNNNNNNNNNNNNNNNNNNNNNNNNNNNNNNNNNNNNNNNNNNNNNNNNNNNNNNNNNNNNNNNNNNNNNNNNNNNNNNNNNNNNNNNNNNNNNNNNNNNNNNNNNNNNNNNNNNNNNNNNNNNNNNNNNNNNNNNNNNNNNNNNNNNNNNNNNNNNNNNNNNNNNNNNNNNNNNNNNNNNNNNNNNNNNNNNNNNNNNNNNNNNNNNNNNNNNNNNNNNNNNNNNNNNNNNNNNNNNNNNNNNNNNNNNNNNNNNNNNNNNNNNNNNNNNNNNNNNNNNNNNNNNNNNNNNNNNNNNNNNNNNNNNNNNNNNNNNNNNNNNNNNNNNNNNNNNNNNNNNNNNNNNNNNNNNNNNNNNNNNNNNNNNNNNNNNNNNNNNNNNNNNNNNNNNNNNNNNNNNNNNNNNNNNNNNNNNNNNNNNNNNNNNNNNNNNNNNNNNNNNNNNNNNNNNNNNNNNNNNNNNNNNNNNNNNNNNNNNNNNNNNNNNNNNNNNNNNNNNNNNNNNNNNNNNNNNNNNNNNNNNNNNUAAUUAAUUAAUUAAUUAAUUGACUUAACUAAACUUAAUUAAUUAAUUAAAGAAUUAAUUAAACUAUUUAAUCCUGAUUAGAUUAACCUAACCACUAAUUAAACUAAUUGACCCUGUUUAAUUAACCUGUUAAUUAAAUGUGUCAAUGACGAAUGGGACCCACCUGUCAGGUUGACUAGGUCAACUGCUGACCUCGUGCUGUCAUCAUGCUGACGUCAGCAAACACUGUUCUGGAUAAUGUUGAUUUAAAUAAUUAAAUAAAUCCUAAAAUUGAUUUAAAUCUUCUAAAAUUAAUAUAAAAUAAACCGUAACUCGGAUGGAAAAACUUUGUACAUGAAAGUUGCUCAGAACGACGAGACGAAUCCGGAUACGCAGUCUGUUCGUCCGCCACACACCCCUAACCUAUCGAACUCGCAACUUUCCCCCUCCGGCUCCUCUGCCCGAAAACGCGAAACACUAGGAAUACUUUCCCGGAUGUUUUCCCCCUUAACCGGUACCACCUCAUACCACGUUAGGGCACACCUAGCACCGCUCAUUGUCACGUCAUGCAUCGUCGUGUUUAUGUUUGCAUUGUAUUCAUUGUUUCUUCCCCCUCUUAUCUCCGGUAGACUACGAGACCGACGCUGAUGCCACCGAGUACGACUACGUCACCGACGACCCCUCUCUCUCUUGCCAGAGCAACCAGGCAAGCCCCCCCUUUGAUCACCAGAUAUCGCCUACUCUUCUCUAUACUGCUUGCAUUAGAGUAGUGUAGCAUGUUACUGCUUUCCGUUAAUCCUAUUCUGAUGCAUAGCCUGUCAUUGCUGCUACAGUCAUUGAUACCUUACCCGCAAUCCUAAAUGCUUAGUAUAGGAUGCUAGUGUUCCAUCAGUGACCCUACACUCUUGUCCGUCUGCCAUGCUAUACUACUGGGCUGUGAUCACUUCGGGAGGUGAUCACGGGCAUAUACUAUAUACUUUACACUGUUACAUUACUGGUGAUACUGUUUGGAGAUGGGGGCUGAAGGGGCAGGUGGCUCCAUCCAGGUAGUGGUGGGCCUGAGUUCCCGACGGCCCCCGACUGUUACUUUGUGGCGGAGCGACAGGGCAGGUUGAGACCACCUAGGAGACAGGUGGGCCUGGCCUUGUUCGGCAUUCGCGGAUACUUAACACGCUUAACAAGAUCUUGGUAUUUGAUCUGAGUCUGGCUACGAGCCUAUAUGCACUAACCAUCUACGUGGGAGUAGUUAUGGGUAUCCCGACGUCGUGGUAUCAGCCGAAGCACUUUAGACGCCAGCGACGGAGCGGCGCGCGCCGAAUUGGACUGGAACGCCACUAGGCUAGGUCUGCUUUCGGCCGCGUACGCAACGUGCAGGUGUGCUAUGGGCGAUGGGCCCAGACCCCUGUGCGCUUAGGUUUAGACCGGCGUGCUGGCCUCUCUGUUGAGCCUAGGUGGGGCUGCGACGUGUUGAUCUUCCGAGGCCGGGCAUGACCCAGGAAAGUGUGUCCGGCUAAAUGGGAUCGAGCGUGUUGGGCUAUGUGGUGCACCCCUGCAGGGAAGUUAAUCUAUUCGAAUAGCCGUGAUCUUCGGUAACAGGACGACUUGGAGUUGUACCUUGACCUUAUGACAACUAGAACCGGAUACUUAAUAAAACACACCCUUCCAAGUGCCAGAUACAACCGGUGGUCGCUCUCUCUCAGGGAUACGAGGAGGGGAUCGCCGGGUAGGAUUAUGCUACUGCGAUGCUGCUGGAGAUGCUACUGGAGUUGUUACUUGGAGUUGCUAUUUGGAGAUUCUACAGUGGAGAUGCUACUUGGAGGACUUCAAUCUACUCUCUUCUACAUGCUGCAAGAAGGAGGCUGCCAGAAGCGUAGUCUUCGAUAAGACUAGCUAUCCCCCUCUUAUUCUGGCAUUCUGCAGUUCAAUCCACUGAUAUGGCCCUUUACACAUAUACCCAUGCAUUUGUAGUGUAGUUCCUUGCUUGCGAGUACUUUGGAUGAGUACUCACGGUUGCUUUCUCCCCCCUUUUUCCCCCUUUCCUUUCUUUCUGGUUGUCGCAACCAGAUGCUGGAGUCCAGGAGCCAGACGCCACCGUCAACGACGACCCCUACUACACCGGAGGUGCCUACUACUACGUGCAGGCUGCUGACGACGACCAGGAGUAGUUUAGGAGGAUCCCAGGCAGGAGGCUUGCGCCUCUUUCGAUCUGUAUCCCAGUUUGUGCUAGCCAUCUUAUGGCAACUUGUUUAACUUAUGUCUGUACUCAGAUAUUGUUGCUUCCGCUGACUCGUCUAUGAUCGAGCACUUGUAUUCGAGCCCUCGAGGCCCCUGGCUUGUAUUAUGAUGCUUGUAUGACUUAUUUUAUUUGUAGAGUUGAGUUGUGAUAUCUUCCCGUGAGUCCCUGAUCUUGAUCAUACACAUUUGCGUGCAUGAUUAGUGUACGAUUGAAUCGGGGGCGUCACACCAGUCCGUGUAAUUGCUACCAUCAUAUUUCAACUUUGCUUUCUCAAGGAAUGCAUUAAAAUGUUGGGGAACGUAGUAAUUUCAAAAAAAAUCCUACGCACAUGCAAGAUCAUGGUGAUGCAUAGCAACGAGAGGGGAGAGUGUUGUCUACGUACCCUCGUACACCGAAAGCGGAAGCAUUAGCACAACGCGGUUGAUGUAGUCGUAUGUCUUCACGGUCCGACCGAUCAAGCACCGAACGUACGUCACCUCCGAGUUCAGCACAUGUUCAGCCCGAUGACGUCACUCGAACUCCGAUCCAGCCGAGUGUUGAGGGAGAGUUUCGUCAGCACGACGGCGUGGUGACGAUGUUGAUGUUCUACCGAUGCAGGGCUUCGCCUAAGCACCGCUACAGUAUUAUCGAGGUGGAUUAUGGUGGAGGGGGCCACCGCACACGGCUAAGUGAUCAAUGAUCUAAUGUUGUGUCUCUAGGGUGCCCCCCUGCCCCUGUAUAUAAAGGAGCAAGGGGGGGGGGUGCGGCCGGCCAGGGCUAGGCGCGCCAGGAGGAGUCCUACUCCCACCGGGAGUAGGACUCCCCCCUUUCCUAUUUGGAUUAGGACUUGGGAGGGGGAAGAAGGAAAGAGGGGGCCCGCCCCCCUUGCCCUAAACCAAUUCGGUUUGGGCCUAGGGGGACGCGCCCCAUACUCCUCUUGCUGCCCUCCUUUUCCACUAAGGCCCAUGUAGGCCCAUUAAGCUCCCGGGGGGUUCCGGUAACUUCCCGGUAGUCCGGUAAAAUCCCGAUUUCACCCGGAACACUUCCGAUAUCCAAUUAUAGGCUUCCAAUAUAUCAAUCUUCAUGUCUCGACCAUUUCGAGACUCCUCGUCAUGUCUGUGAUCACAUCCGGGACUCCGAACAACCUUCGAUACAUCAAAACAUAUAAACUCAUAAUAAAACUGUCAUCGUAACAUUAAGCGUGCGGACCCUACGGGUUUGAGAACUAUGUAGACAUGACCGAGACACAUCUCCGGUCAAUAACCAAUAGCAGAACCUGGAUGCUCAUAUUGGCUCCUACAUAUUCUACGAAGAUCUUUAUCGGUCAAACCACAUAACAACAUACAUUGUUCCCUUUGUCAUCAGUAUGUUACUUGCCCGAGAUUCGAUCGUCGGUAUCUCAAUACCUAGUUCAAUCUUGUUACCGGCAAGUCUCUUUACUCGUUCCGUAAUACAUCAUCCCGCAACUAACUCAUUAGUUGCAAUGCUUGCAAGGCUUAAGUGAUGUGCAUUACCGAGAGGGCCCAGAGAUACCUCUCCGACAAUCGGAGUGACAAAUCCUAAUCUCUAAAUACGCCAACCCAACAAGUACCUUCAGAGACACCUGUAGAGCACCUUUAUAAUCACCCAGUUACAUUGUGACAUUUUGUAGCACACAAAGUGUUCCUCCGGUAAAUGGGAGUCGCAUAAUCUCAUAGUCAUAGGAACAUGUAUAAGUCAUAUGAAGAAAGCAAUAUCAACAUACUAAAUGAUCGAGUGCUAAGCUAAUGGAAUGGGUCAAGUCAAUCACAUCAUUCUCCUAAUGAUGUGAUCCCGUUAAUCAAAUGACAACUCAUGUCUAUGGUUAGGAAACAUAAUCAUCUUUGAUCAACGAGCUAGUCAAGUAGAGGCAUACUAGUGACACUCUGUUUGUCUAUGUAUUCACACAUGUAUUAUGUUUCCGGUUAAUACAAUUCUAGCAUGAAUAAUAAACAUUUAUCAUGAUAUAAGGAAAUAAAUAAUAACUUUAUUAUUGCCUAUAGGGCAUAUUUCCUUCAGUCUCCCACUUGCACUAGAGUCAAUAAUCUAGUUCACACCGCCAUGUGAUUUAAUACCAAUAGUUCACAUCAUCAUGUGAUUAACACCCAUAGUUCACAUCGACAUGUGACCAAUACCCAAAAGGUUUACUAGAGUCAAUAAUCUAGUUCACAUUGCUAUGUGAUUAAUACCCAAAGAGUACUAAGGUGUGAUCAUGUUUUGCUUGUGAGAGAAGUUUAGUCAACGGGUCUGCCACAUUCAGAUCCGUAAGUAUUUUGCAAAUUUCUAUGUCAACAAUGCUCUGCAUGGAGCUACUCUAGCUAAUUGCUCCCACUUUUAGUAUUUAUCCAGAUUGAGACUUUGAGUCAUCUGGAUCAGUGUCAAAACUUGCAUCGACGUAACCCUUUACGAAGAAUCUUUUGUCACCUCCAUAAUCAAGAAACAUAUCCUUAUUCCACUAAGGAUAAUUUUGACCAAUGUCCAGUGAUCUACUCCUAGAUCACUAUUGUACUCUCUUGUCAAACUCAGGGUAGAGUAUACAAUAGGUCUGGUACACCGCAUGGCAUACUUUAUAGAACCUAUGGCUGAGGCAUAGGGAAUGACUUUCAUUCUCUCUCUAUCUUCUACCGUGGUCGGGUUUUGAGUCUUACUCAACUUCACACCUUGUAACACAUGCAAGAACCCCUUCUUUGACCGUUCCAUUUUGAACUACUUAAAAAUCUUGUCAAGGUAUGUACUCAUUGAAAAAACUUACCAAGCGUCUUGAUCUAUCUCUACAGAUCUUGAUGCUCAAUAUGUAAGCAGCUUCACCGAGGUCUUUCUUUGAAAAACUCCUUUCAAACACUCCUUUAUGCUUUGCAGAAUAGUUCGACAUUAUUUCCGAUCAACAAUAUGUCAUUCACAUAUACUUAUCAGAAAUGCUGUAGUGCUCCCACUCACUUUCUUGUAAAUACAGGCUUCACCGCAAGUCUGUAUAAAACUAUAUGCUUUGAUGUAACACCCCGGAUGUGAUUUACCCAAUAUGUAAUCCAACUCUUGCCGUUUUCGGCGUUAAGUUAUUUUAUUUUCCCGGGUUUGGGUUUUUGUCUCCGUGUGUUGUUCCCGUUUUCAUGCAUCUCAUUUCAUGUCAUCAUGUGCAUUGCAUUUGCAUACGUGUUCAUCUCAUGCAUUCGAGCAUUUUCCCCGUUGUCCGUUUUGCAUUCCGGCGCUUCGUUCUCCUCCGAUGGUCAAUUCUACCUUUCUUUCAUGUGUGGGGUUCAAACAUUUCCGGAUUGGACCGAGACUUGCCAAGCAGCCUUGGUUUACUACCGGUAGACCGCCUGUCAAGUUUCGUACAAUUUGGACUUCGUUUGAUACUCCAAUGGUUAACCGAGGGACCGAAAAGGCCUCAUGUGUGUUGCAGCCCAAUACCCCUCCAAGUUGACCCAAAACCCAUCAAAACCCUCUCCAUCAUCUAGAGUGUUCGAUCACGAUCGCGUGGCCGAAAACCGCACCUCAUUUGGACACUCCUAGCUCCCUCUACCUCUAUUUAAAGACCCCCUCCGAAAUCUUCUUCUCCUUCCUCUUGAAAACCCUAGAUCCGAUCCUCCGCGCGCCGGACAUUGUCUGCCGGUGCUGGACACGCCGCCGCCUGCCACCCCGUGCCGCCACGUGUCAGCGCCACCGCCACUCCCGCCGAGGCCCGCUNNNNNNNNNNNNNNNNNNNNNNNNNNNNNNNNNNNNNNNNNNNNNNNNNNNNNNNNNNNNNNNNNNNNNNNNNNNNNNNNNNNNNNNNNNNNNNNNNNNNNNNNNNNNNNNNNNNNNNNNNNNNNNNNNNNNNNNNNNNNNNNNNNNNNNNNNNNNNNNNNNNNNNNNNNNNNNNNNNNNNNNNNNNNNNNNNNNNNNNNNNNNNNNNNNNNNNNNNNNNNNNNNNNNNNNNNNNNNNNNNNNNNNNNNNNNNNNNNNNNNNNNNNNNNNNNNNNNNNNNNNNNNNNNNNNNNNNNNNNNNNNNNNNNNNNNNNNNNNNNNNNNNNNNNNNNNNNNNNNNNNNNNNNNNNNNNNNNNNNNNNNNNNNNNNNNNNNNNNNNNNNNNNNNNNNNNNNNNNNNNNNNNNNNNNNNNNNNNNNNNNNNNNNNNNNNNNNNNNNNNNNNNNNNNNNNNNNNNNNNNNNNNNNNNNNNNNNNNNNNNNNNNNNNNNNNNNNNNNNNNNNNNNNNNNNNNNNNNNNNNNNNNNNNNNNNNNNNNNNNNNNNNNNNNNNNNNNNNNNNCCGGCGACCGCGCCCGAGGCUCCGGCCACCACCAACUCCGGCCCGCGCCUCCUCGCUCCGCCCCGGGUUCUUCUCCUUCCCCGGCGACCCCAACUCCGGCGAACAGUGUUUCCGGCGAGCGCCUCGAAGUCCGUGCAGAUCUGGAUCCAAAAAUCUCGAGGGUUGACUUUUUGCCCGAAACCAUAGUUCAUAUUGCCAUGUUCAUCGCAUCGUAACUUUGCAUCCGUAGCUCCAUUUUGGGCAUAUAGCAUAUCAGAAUGUUCGUCUCAGAGAGGACACCAUUUUAUUCCAUUGCAUCAUUUUCAUUGAGUUCAUCUUGAUUCCCGAAAUGCUGUUAGAAGAGUGCUACUUGAGAUAAUUGUCAGAUCUGCUACUCCAUUUAGAUAUUUGUCAUUUUUGCCAUGAUUAUUGUGUGCAUGAUAUGCCCAUGAGUUCUACAUAUGUUUUAUUAAGGGUUUUGCCAUCUUUCCAGAGGUGCAACCCAUGUAUUUUUGUGAUGUGUGUGGUGACUAGCACAAGCUUUCAAAGUGAGGCACUUGGUAAUGCUGAUUUCAGGGACUUAGCGUUUCCACUAAGUCCUUAAUCUGUUUAUCUCAUAUGGCCAUAUGUUCAUGUUGUUUCCUAGUGAUCCGUGCCUCUUUUGAGGAUGAUUAGUAAGGAUGUUUUGUUAAUCUUGUAGUGCUCUAUCCAUCCAUGUCUUUGUUUGCAAUUAUGGAGCACCCUAGCUUGAGUCAAUCGAGCUCUACUUUUGCUAUUUCGUGAAUCUGGGCAGAUUGUCUACUUGUUAGCGAUUUUGCCGAUGAUGUUGUAGUUGAUCCAUGCACGCUAUGCUAUUGUUCUUGCCAUGUAUAGCUUGUAUUUUGUGUAUUCUUGAUGGUUGUAUGCUUAGUUUGUCAUGACAUGCUUUGUAGUGAGUGCAGCGAGCUCGUAAACAUGCCUACUUGAUAUCUGUUUUCAGCAUGCUCUAGUUUUCACUAAGUCUGAGAACUGAUUAUGUUUUUGCCAUGUUCACAUGCUUGCAAACGUAUUUUCUGAUCCUUUUUGGCUCAAGGUCACUAAGGGACUUUUGUUAAGCUCUUUGAGUAGCUCCAUGCGAUGCUUUACGUUGCCAUGUUCAGGUCCUGUAGCAUAUAGUUUUGUUGCUCCGAAGAGUGCUAUCUGAUCUGAAAUUCCAGACAAGUGUUAAUUUCACUAAGUCUGAGAUCUGUUUACCAUAUGCAUUUUUGCCAUGCUUGUUUGAACCUGUUAAUGGAUGAAUUGGCCGUAGCUCAGUGCUAUACUUUUGUUAAGCAUCAUGAAUGCAUCCCGGCCAUGUAUUUUUAUGCCAUGUUUGAGUGCUGUAGCAUGUUCAUCUUGUUGCAUUUGGAGGGCUACUUGCUGUAAAUCGCAGAACGUGGUCAUAUUUAAAUCGCUUGCCAUUUCCAAACCGUAACUCCGAUUCCGGCGUUCUUUAUAUAGUUUUCAAGCGAUUUCAUCUCAUCUUUCCAGUGGCACACUUGGAUUUCCAAGUUGAGGCCAGGUUCAUGCAUUCCUUGUCACAUCUUGCAUAUGCAUCCCGCAUCGCAUCCCGCAUAGCAUACUAUGUUUGCAUCAUAUUGUUUGAUCCUUGCACGUGGUUGAUUGUGUCCUUGUUGCUUGUUUGUCUUGUUUGGGUAGAGCCGAGAGACGAGUUCGAUAACGAGGAGCCCGUUGAGUUUGCUUUUGAGGAUCCAGUCAACUCUGACAACUUUGCAGGCAAGAUGAUCAUACCCUCGAAAUCACUACUAUCUUUGCUAUGCUAGAUGCUCGCUCUUUUGCUAUGCCAAUGCUACGAUGCCUACCACUUGCUUUCAAGCCUCCCAAAUUGCCAUGUCAAACCUCUAACCCACCAUGUCCUAGCAAACCGUUGAUUGGCUAUGUUACCGCUCUGCUCAACCCCUCUUACAGCGUUGCUAGUUGCAUGUGAAGAUUGGAGGCCGUUCCUUGUUGGAACAUUUAUUUACUUGUUGGGAUAUCAUUAUAUUGCCAUGUUAUAUUAAUGCAUCUAUAUACUUGGUAAAGGGCGGAAGGCUCGGCCUCUCGCCUAGUGUUUUGUUCCACUCUUGCCGCCCUAGUUUCCGUCAUAUCGGUGUUAUGUUCCUGGAUUUUGCGUUCCUUACGCGGUUGGGUUAUAAUGGGAACCACUUGAUAGUUCGCCUUGAUUAAAGCUUUUCCAACAAUGCCCAACCUUGGUUUUACCAUUUGCCACCUAGCCUUUUUUCCCUUGGGUUUCCGGAGCCCGAGGGUCAUCUUAUUUAAACCCCCCNNNNNNNNNNNNNNNNNNNNNNNNNNNNNNNNNNNNNNNNNNNNNNNNNNNNNNNNNNNNNNNNNNNNNNNNNNNNNNNNNNNNNNNNNNNNNNNNNNNNNNNNNNNNNNNNNNNNNNNNNNNNNNNNNNNNNNNNNNNNNNNNNNNNNNNNNNNNNNNNNNNNNNNNNNNNNNNNNNNNNNNNNNNNNNNNNNNNNNNNNNNNNNNNNNNNNNNNNNNNNNNNNNNNNNNNNNNNNNNNNNNNNNNNNNNNNNNNNNNNNNNNNNNNNNNNNNNNNNNNNNNNNNNAUAGAGCCACUUGCAGCGCCACCUCGGGGCAACUCGAGGGUUGGUUUUAGUUGUACGUAGUGUUCAUCUGAGUGUGCCCUGAGAACGAGAUAUGUGCAGCUCCUAUCGGGAUUUGUCGGCACAUUCGAGCGGUGUUGCUGGUCUUGUUUUAACUUGUCGAAGUGUCUUGAAGAACCGGGAUACCGAGUCUAAUCGGAACGUCUCGGGAGGAGGUCUAUUCCUUCAUUGACCGUGAGAGCUUGUCAUGGGCUAAGUUGGGACUCCCUUGCAGGGAUUUGAACUUUCGAAAGCCGUGCCCACGGUUAUGGGCAGAUGGGAAUUUGUUAAUGUCCGGUUGUAGAUAACUUGAAUCUUAACUUAAUUAAAAUGAAUCAACAGUGUGAGUUACCGUGAUGGUCUCUUCUUGGCGGGGUCCGGGAAGUGAACACGGUGUUGGAGUAAUGCUUGCGCAGGUUGCCCUCUAGUUUCUCGCUCGCGCUUUGCCUCCUCUUCUCGCUCUCUUUUGUGAACAGGAUAGCCACCAAAUAUGCUAGUCGCUUGCUGCAGCUCCACAUAUUUUACCUUGCCUUACCUUUAAGCUUAAAUAGUCUUGAUCGCGAGGGUGCGAGAUUGCUGAGUCCCUGUGGCUCACAGAUUACUAUUAAACCGUAUGCAAGGCCUGAUGAUUCCGCUCCAGGUGACGCGCUCGAGCUCAAGUGGGAGUUCGACGAGGACUCUCAACGAUACUACAUGUCUUUUCCUGAUGAUCAGUAGUGGUGCCUAGUUGGGGGUGAUCGGGACCGUGUCGCAUGUUGGGUUAUCUUUUAUUUUGGCGCCGUAGUCGGGCCAUGAGUGUUUGGAUGAUGUAAUGUUAUUUAUGUACUUGAUUGACGUGGCGAGUGUAAGCCAACUAUGUUAUCUCCCCUUUUAUUAUCUAUAUAUUACACAGGAUGUUGUGAAGAUUGCCUAACUUGCGACAUAUGCCUUCAAUGCGAUUAUGCCUCUAAGUCGUGCCUCGACACGUGGGAGAUAUAGUCGCAUCGAGGGUGUUACAUUUGAUCAACUUAUCAAAGCGUAUAUUCCAACUCCGAGAUGCUUGCACCAGUCCAUAGAUGGAUCGCUGGAGCUUGCAUAUUUUUGAGCACCUUUAGGAUUGACAAAACCUUCUGGUUCCAUCAUAUACAACUCUUCUUUAAUAAAUCCAUUAAGGAAUGCAGUUUUGUUUAUCCAUUUGCCAGAUUUCAUAAAAUGCGGCAAUUGUUAACAUGAUUCGGACAAACUUAAGCAUAGAUACGAGUGAGAAACUCUCAUCGUAGUCAACACCUUGAACUUGUCGAAAACCUUUUUGCGGCAAUUCUAGCUUUGUAGAUAGUAACACUACUAUUAGCAUCCGUCUUCCUCUUGAAGAUCCAUUUAAUCUCAAUGGCUCGCUGAUCAAUGGGCAAGUCAAUCAAAGUCCAUACUUUGUUCUCAUACAUGGAUCUCAUCUCAGAUUUCAUGGCCUCAAGCCAUUUCGCGGAAUCUGGGCUCAUCAUCGCUUCCUCAUAGUUCAUAGGUUCGUCAUGGUCAAGUAACAUGACCUCUAGAAUAGGAUUACUGUACCACACUGGUGUGGAUCUCACUCUGGUUUACCUACGAGGUUCGGUAGUAACUUGAUCUGAAGUUACAUGAUCAUCAUCAUUAGCUUCCUCACUAAUUGGUGUAGGAGUCACAGGAACAUAUUUCUGUGAUGAACUACUUUCCAAUAAGGGAGCAGGUACAGUUACCUCAUCAAGUUCUACUUUCCUCCCACUCACUUCUUUCUAGAGAAACUCCUUCUCCAGAAAGGAUCCAUUCUCAGCAACAAAUGUCUUUCCUUCGGAUCUGUGAUAGAAGGUGUACCCAACAAUUACUUUUGGUAUCCUACGAAGACACACUUCUCCGACCUGGGUUUGAGCUUAUCAAGAUGAAACUUUUUCACAUAAGCAUCGCAACCUCAAACUUUAAGAAACAACAACUUUGGUUUCUUGCCAAACCAUAGUUCAUACUGUGUCGUCUCAACGGAUUUAGAUGGUGCCCUAUUUAACGUGAAUGUAGCUAUCUCUAAUGCAUAACCCCAAAACGAUAGUGGUAAAUCGGUAAGAGACAUCAUAGAUCGCACCAUAUCUAAUAAAGUACGGUUACGACGUUCGGAUACACCAUUACACUGUGGUGUUCCAGGUGGCGUGAGUAGUGAAACUAUUUCACAUUGUUUUAACUGAAGGCCAAACUCGUAACUCAAAUAUUCUCCUCCACGAUCAGAUCGUAGAAACUUUAUUUUCUUGUUACGAUGAUUUUCCACUUCACUCUGAAAUUAUAUGAACUUUUCAAAUAUUUCAGACUUUUGUUUCAUCAAGUAGAUAUACUCAUAUCUGCUCAAAUCAUCUGUGAAGAUCAGAAAAUAAUGAUACCUGUCGUGAGCUUCAAUAUUCAUCGGACCACAUACAUCAGUAUGUAUGAUUUCCAACAAAUCUAUUGCUCGCUCCAUUGUUCCAGAGAACGGAGUCUUAGUCAUCUUGCCCAUGAGGCAUGGUUCGCAAGCAUCAACUGAUUCAUAAUCAAGUGAUUCCAAAAGCCCAUCAGCAUGGAUUUUCUUCAUGCGCUUUACACCAAUAUGACCUAAACAGUAGUGCCACAAAUAAGUUGCACUAUCAUCAUUAACUUUGCAUCUUUUUGGCUUGAAUAUUAUGAAUAUGUGUAUCACUACGAUCAAGAUCCAACAAACCAUUUUUGUUGGUGUGUAUGAACAUCGAAGGUUCUAUUCAUGUAAACAGAACAACAAUUGUUCUCUAACUUAAAUGAAUAACCGUAUUGCAAUAAACAUGAUCAAAUCAUAUUUAUGCUCGACGUAAACACCAAAUAACACUUAUUUAGGUUCAACACUAAUCCCGUAAGUAUAGGGAGUGUGCGAUGAUGAUCAUAUCAAUCUCGGAACCAGUUCCAACACACAUCGUCACUUCACCCUUAACUAGUCUCUGUUCAUUCUGUAACUCCUGUUUUGAGUUGCUAAUUUCAGCAACCGAACAAGUAUCAAAUACUCAGGGGCUACUAUAAACACUAGUAAGGCACACAUCAAUAACCUGUAUAUCAAAUAUACCCUUUGUUCACUUUGCCAUCUUUCUUAUCCACCAAAUAUUCAGGGAAUUUCCGCUUCCAGUGAUCAUUUCCUUUGCAGUAGAAGCACUCAGUUUCAGGCUUUGGUCCAGCUUUGGGCUUCUUCACGGGAGUGACAACUUGCUUGUCAUUCUACUUGAAGUUCCCUUUCUUUCCCUUUGCCCUUUUCUUGAAACUAGUGUUCUUGUCAAUCAUCAACACUUGAUGCUCUUUCUUGAUUUCUACCUUUGUCGAGUUCAACAUCACGAAGAGCUCGGGAAUCGUUUUCGUCAUCCCUUGCAUACUAUAGUUCAUCACGAAGUUCUAGUAACUUGGUGAUGGUGCCUAGAGAACUCUGUCAAUCACUAUCUUAUCUGUAAGAUUAACUCCCACUUGAUUCAAGCGUUUGUAGUACCCAGACAAUCUGAGCAUAUGCUCACUGCGUGAGCUAUUCUCCUCCAUCUUUUAGCUAUAGAACUUGUUGGAGACUUCAUAUCUCUCAACUCGGGUAUUUGCUUGAAAUAUUUAACUUCAACUCCUAGAACAUCUCAUAUGGUCCAUGACGUUCAAAACGUCUUUGAACUCCCGAUUAUAAGCCGUUAAGCAUGGUGCACUAAACUAUCAAGUAGUCAUCAUAUUGAGCUAGCCAAACGUUCAUAACAUCUGCAUCUGCUCCUGCAAUAGGUCUGUCACCUAGCGGUGCAUCAAGGACAUAAUUCUUUUGUGCAGCAAUGAGGUUAAUCCUCAGAUCACGGAUCCAAUCCGCAUCAUUGCUACUAUUUUUCAACAUAGUUUUCUCUAGGAAUAUAUAAAAAAUUAAACGGGGAGCAAUAUCGCGAGCAAUUGAACUACAACAUAGAUAUGCUAAUACUAUCAGGACUAAGUUCAUGAUAAAUUAAAGUUCAAUUAAUCAUAUUACUUAAGAACUCCCACUUAGAUAGACAUCCCUCUAAUCCUCUAAGUGAUCACGUGAUCCAAAUCAACUAAACGAUGUCCGAUCAUCACGUGAGAUGGAGUAGUUUCAAUGGUGAACAUCACUAUGUUGAUCAUAUCUACUAUAUGAUUCACGCUUGACCUUUCGGUCUCCGUGUUCUGAGGCCAUAUCUGUUAUAUGCUAGGCUCGUCAAGUUUAACCUGAGUAUUCCGCGUGUGCAACUGUUUUGCACCCGUUGUAUUUGAAUGUAGAGCCUAUCACACCCGAUCAUCAUGUGGUGUCUUAGCACGAAGAACAUUCGCAACGGUGCAUACUCAGGGAGAACACUUAUACUUUGAUAAUUUAGUGAGGGAUCAUCUUAUGAUGCUACCGUCAAUCAAAGCAAGAUAAGAUGCAUAAAAGAUAAACAUCACAUGCAAUCAAUAUAAGUGAUAUGAAUGGCCAUCAUCAUCUUGUGCUUGUGAUCACCAUCUCCGAAGCACCUCCAUGAUCACCAUCGUCACCGGCGCGACACCUUGAUCUCCAUCAUAGCAUCGUUGUCAUUUCGCCAAUCUUAUGCUUCUACGACUAUCACUACCGCUUAGUGAUAAAGUAAAGCAUUACAGGGCGAUUGCAUUGCAUACAAUAAAGCGACAACCAUAUGGCUCCUGCCAGUUGCCGAUAACUCAGUUACAAAACAUGAUCAUCUCAUACAAUAAAAUUUAGCAUCAUGUCUGGACCAUAUCACAUCACAACAUGCCCUGCAAAAAUAAGUUAGACGUCCUCUACUUUGUUGUUGCAAGUUUUACGUGGUUGCUACGGGCUUAGCAAGAACCGUUCUUACCUACGCAUCAAAACCACAACGAUAGUUUGUCAAGUUGGUGCUGUUUUAACCUUCGCAAGGACAGGGCAUAGCCACACUCGGUUCAACUAAAGUUGGAGAAACUGACACCCGCCAGCCACCUAUGUGCAAAGCACGUCGGUAGAACCAGUCUCGCGUAAGCGUACGCGUAAUGUCGGUCCGGGCCGCUUGUCACAGCCCUAGCUUCAGCCUUGUUGUGGUCUAGUCUUGGUUGUUGCAUCAUUUUUAAAUUUUCUUAAACUUGAAAUGGGGAUGUCCAAACCCUAGCAGCAAAUGAAAUGCAACUAGGAUCAAAAUAAAAAUAUUUUCAAUGAACCCAAAAUGCUCUUUAUAAAUGCCCAUCAUUUUUGAAUUGGUCAACCCCUUCCAAAAAUGAUGCACAUAUUUCUAGGCCAUUCUGGAUUUUUGAAUUAACUCAUAUUGUAUUUGAAUUGGGGCAUUUAAAUACUAUAAAUAUUUUUAAAUGCUCCAACAAUUGUGGAAUUAGUUGAGGGCCUCUGGAAUAAUUCAUUUAGUGCUCAUAACUAUUUUCAGAUUUUUUAAAAGUGAUUUGGUUUGAAAACCAAAUUUAAACAAAUUUGCAUAAAUAGAAAAACAGAACAAAAUUAGAAAACAGAGAGGGAGGGAUGCUUACCUAGGCCUCACCUAUGCUGGCCCAGCCCACCUGGCUCGGUGCUAGUCGUCCCUAACCUCUGCUAGUAGGCAAAGGAGGGACAGCGCACGGUGCGCCCGCAGGCGCCACGCCACCAGGCUGCCUGCCUGCGUCGCUUGGCCACUGGGACGCCUCACGUCCUCUCCUCGGCGCCGCCUCGACCCCCCGUUCGUUCCCCUCUCCCUCUGGACGCGCUUCCCCCCUCUCUGCUCUCUCCCUGAGUGGAGCUCGCCGACAAGCACCGUCGUGGCCACAACCACUGCCUCGCCUCGCUAAUGCUCUCAGAGGCUCCGCCGCAACCUCUUCUCCCUCCUCGCCGAGCUACACGAGCCAUGAUGGCCCCAAGACGACGCAUGUGGCCUUCUUCCCCGACCACGGCUUUCGGAUGCCGCCGUCUGAGUCACCGUCUCUGCCGCCUCCCCGAGCACCCUGAGGUGCUCUACGACCUCGCCGUGAGCCCUUGCUCCUGCUCCCCCUCUCCGUUUUCCCCCUCAUGCACCGUAGCCAUCGCUUCGUCUGCAACCGAACGCGCCGCCGCCCGCGCUCGUCUCCGGUGAUGCUCUGUUGACCAUUUGGUCUUGGGCAUGCGCCCAUCGAAGUCACCGCACCACGUAGAUGCCGUAGGUGCUAAGUGCACAUCGCCACGGCCACCACAACCGCAUCCCCGCUCGAGCCCGAACUCCGACGACCGCAACCGAGCUCGCCGCCGUUGACUCCGACCACCCCACGCCCGGAGACCACCCCCAUCCAAUGCGCUAUCGCGCCAGCUCUCCGUAGGGCCAAAGGGCGCACCGAACGGUGCACCAUAGGCAAAACCCGAGCCCCUCCAGUGUGCCUUCGCCGCGUUUUUGGUCGCCGCCGGCGUAACUCCGGUGACGCUGACGUGGUGCUGUCAAGAGCCACCAAUGACCCAGCUAACUAACCCCCCUCUCUCACCGACUAUGGGCCCCACGCCUUAAUUAACCCCGGGAUUUAUUCCCUGUUUACUUUAGGUUAAUAUAGCCGGCCCCACAUGUUAUUUUGACCAUGCCACGUUAACAUUGACCCGGACACACUGGUCAGCCUCUGUCCCUUCCCUAUUACACUGACGUGCGGGUCCCACUGGUCAGGUUUGACCUCGACCGUGCCCCGUUGACCUGCUGACGUCCUGAUGAUGUCAGGCUGAUGUAGUAAUCCUUUUCUGGAAUUUAAAUAAAUCUUAAAUGAUUUAUUUAUUUCAAAAAAUACCCAAAACUUCUAAAAAUCAUAGAUAUUCAACCGUAGCUCAGAAUGAAAUAAAUUAUAUAUGAAAAAUGAUCAGAAAAAUCCAAUCUAUCCAUAUGUACCAUUCUCAUGCAUGUGUGAACAACUUACAGCCACUGUAUAUGACAAUUUGAAUUAAUGGCAUUUAAGAAAGCACAUAUGGAGUUUGAAUUUGAACCUAGUGUUCAAACCAACUCCAUUUAACUUGUUGCUAGUUGCAUUAGCUCAAUCAACAGCAUAUUGCCAUGUCAUGAUCAUGCAUCAUAUUUUUGCAUCGCAUUGAUUGUGUUCUUCCUUGUUUGCCGGUAAUUGUCCCCUCUCAGUAGACGACGUUCCGACGAUGUGAUCGAUGACACCGAUGAAGAACUAUACUAUCUUCAGAAGUGCCAGGCAAGCAAAACCCCCUUGUUCAUUCCGAUACAAUCCCACUCUCUCGCUCCUGCUCUCUUUUACUGCAUUAGGACAACAACGAUUCAACUGUUACAUGCUGCGGUAGUUGAACCCCUUUCCUUUGCAUGACCUGUCAUUGCCAUAGUAAAUAGAUGAAACCCACUAGCAUGAGUAGGAGUUGUUUGAGCCCUGGUGUGCCUACUCAUUCAUGCUUGUUUGUCAUGCCUGCGAUUGCUUAGAGUUGAGUCAGGUCUGAUUCAUCAGGAAUGAAUUGGAAUGGUGAUGAACAUGUCAUACUGUGUGUGAGCUAGGUGUGUGAACACGAUUUGGUAAAGGUAGCGGUGAGAGGCCAUGUAGGAGUACAUGGUGGGUUGUCUCAUUGCAGCCGUCCUCAGGAACUGAGUUCUGUGUUGGUGAUCCAUGAACAGUUACUACCACACAUUGGGUUCCGGUAACUCGACUCCUCUCGACUUAUUAAUCAACUCGAUCUCUAUCCAGGAGUUGCAACUAGUUUUUGGUGUUUGUAGGUAGUGUUAGUAGUCUACCAAGUGGCACCCGGUAUAGGUAGGCUUGGGACAAACUAGGCACAGUGGCACGGUGUACCAAGUGGCACCCGGAUGGUGGGCUUGGGAACCCUGCACACAUCGUUUGGGGCCGUGAGCGACACCCCAGCCGGAUCUCCUUGCGGAUGGAACCCGAAUAGUCAAAAAACCUGGACUAGAGACUUGUUGGUUAGUCAGGUCGUGGUCGACUCCCUCACCAGGCUUCCGCUUGAAGGUUGCCGAGAUACACGACGUGUACAUGGUGGUAAGUGGCGAGAGCGUGUGUGAAGAAGUACACCCCUGCAGGGUUAUCAUUAUCUAUUCGAAUAGCCGGAUUCCUCGGAUAUGGAAACUUGGACCCCUUGCAUAGUUCAUAGACAAGUGAAAGUGGAUACUCUAAAAUGCGCAAGAUAAGUGUGAGUGCUAUGGAUGGCCUUCUCUUAGGGAGACGGGAGCGGAUCCAUAGUGGUGUAUUGAUAUGGUGAAUAUGUGGACUCGUGUGCGCCACCUCAAAAGAGUUACUUGCAGUCGUAGUUCAAGAUAGCCACCGGGUCAAAGCUGGCUUGCUGCAGUUAAACUCCACCACCCUUUCUUGAUACUGAUGCAUAUGUAGCUAGUUCUGAUGUAAGUCUUGCUGGGUACAUUUGUACUCACGUUUGCCUAUUUUAUGUUUUGUAGAGAGACGUCAGUCUCGCUACUAGUUCCGUGUGGACUUCGACAUUUAGCUUGAUACCUCAGCUACGAUCUUGUACCCUUGGGAGGGUCUUGUAGAUAGUCAGGAUUCUGAGCCUUCUUCAUUUAUAACUGUCUGUACUCAGACAAGUUAAGGUUCCGCAUGUGCUUUGACUUGUAUGCUCCGAAUGUUGGGCCAUGAGACCCAUGUUUGUAAUAUCUUGCUCCUCGGAGCCUAAUGAAUAAAUACUUGAGUCGUAGAGUUAUGUUGUGAUGCCAUGUUGUAUUUACACAUAUCGAGCAUAUUGUGUGUAUGAUUGAAAUGCUUGGUAUGUGUGGGAUCCGACAACCUAGUUGUUUAUCCUUGGUAGUCUCUCUUAUGGGGAAAUGUAGUCUUGUGCUUUCAUGAGCCAUAGUAGUCCGCUACAGCCCGGUUCACCGGAGUCCUGCUAGCCCAGCACUAUUGCUCUGGAAUACUUGACUGGCCGGCAUGUGAUUCACUUCGUUCCUGUGUCUGUCCCUUCGGGGAAAUGUCAAGCGGUGACAUCCGGAGUCCUGCCUAGCCUGCUACAGCCCGGUUCAUCAGAGUCCUGUUAGCCUAGUGCUGCAACCCGGAUUCACAUGCUGCUGACCGACAUGCUCGAUGUUGAUUCAUGUAUGCCUGUCCCCGUAAGUUAGUGCCACUUUAGGUUCACGACUAGUCAUGUCGGCCCGGGUUCUCUGUCAUAUGGAUGCUAGCGACACUAUCAUAUACGUGAGCCAAAAGGCGCAAACGGUCCCGACCAUGGUAAGGCGACACCUGUGGGAAUACUGUGCGUGAGGCCGCAAAGUGAUAUGAGGUGUUACCGGCUAGAUCGAUGUGACUUGGAAUCGGGGUCCUGACAUUGUUGGUAUCAGAGCCUGACUGCCUGUAGGAUUACCAAGCCAAGCUGGUCGAAGUCGUGUCUAGAAAUGCUUUAGUUAUAUAAGGGAAUUGAUUGUGGAAGGAAAUGUAAGGCUCUUUUUACUCCUUAUCCUCAUGACCUUCUGAUCUGAGUCAUCUUACCUUUUCUACGGGGUUAAGAACUAGGCUUCUCUUCUAUCUCUCAGGAUGACGUGUUACUAAACCGUAGUUGCCUAGGAUUGUUGAGUUCAAGCCUCAGUUCAGUUCCUACUACUUCCAUAUGUUCAUAGCUGGCCUCAGAACCUUGAUAUUGCGAUGUUGAGUGGUUAUGCCACCAUUUUUGCAGGAUGUCCCAAAUCUUUUGAGCAUUUACAGCCGUUAUGUUGUCCGAGUCAUCCCAGGUUUCUAAACAAUCUGAUGCAUUUGCAAAUCCCUUUCUCCUAUGUUCGAUGUCUUUUUGGGCCAGUCUAACCACACUAUCCGGUGCGUUGAGGUAAUUUAUUGCCUCGACAUAUAUGUUGGAGUUAUUAUUACGACCCUAGGUGUCUUAGAAGAUUACCUAGUAAUCUAGCCUUGUUUUGUGUUCCCAGUGUGAUCAUUCUGGCCACCAACCUCGAAGGCAUCCCGUGAUGUUAUUUCGUAUGUAGGUAUUCUAAUUCUGUGUUUUUGAACCUGAGAUUCACUCUACUUAUCUCGUGUUGAUAGUGUUUGCUAGUUCCUUUAGGAUAUUAGUAACCUUUGCGAUAGUCCUUGAGGUCCGUGGUAUUUCCUUAUUCCAAGUACCAUGAACUGCUUAUGGCAGAAGUUCUUUUGAACCAAAAGGUCACAAUAAGAGUGUUCUUGAGGAGUUCUCCAUUCAUAAUUGUGACUCUGCCAGUCCCACCUCUCUGCAUGGGUUAUCCGGAAGAAACAUGUUGAACUUGGUUCGACAUACUAAUCUAUGCAUCCACAACUCAGAAAGUUAUAUGUUCCUUGAGUUGACCUUCCUCUACUGUAUUCUGACCCUAGUCUAUCAAUUGAUAGUCAGGAAUAGUUGUGCAUUCGUGUUCAUCGAUGCCUAUUAUUCUUGUGGUUCGUCAAGCCAUUCUGUUCCGGAAUGACUAGGACAAACAAACUCCAGUACCUCGUCCACUUCUAGGAUUGGGUCAAAGUAGUUGUAUUCCACAUAUCAAAAUGCCAAUCUAGUUUUUGUUCUAUUCUACCUUGGGGUAUUACCAUCUUUAUAUCAAGAAUGUCAUGGGAAUUGCACCACCACUUAUGAAUUCUUGAUGCAGUAAUACUUCUUGCCAUCAUUGUUCAUUCCUCGGUUCCGUGUUAUUGUAACCGGAAUGCUGACAAGUGUACUGUGAUGUGCGAAAUCAAUACUCCUAGCAACUCCGUUGCUUGGUAGUUAAUGGACAAUACUCUCAUUCUUAGCGUGCUGGUUAUUGAAUCAUCAUCCUAAGAUUGAUCGUGCUACCUAGUCCAUAUUUCUGGGUGCACUCAUCGACCAAUGAGUUAGGAUUGUGACAAUCCCUUGCUCCUUGAUCAUAUCAUCCUGCCCUGAAAAGCAAGAUUGUUCUCGAGCUUAAUAACAUAUCGGUGGUUCAUGAUUUUCUGGAUAUCUUCACAGAAGUAUCACCAGGUCGUCCCCUGGCCGAUAUGUUGAGUUCGUGAUCAAGAUGGAUUUCCAAUAAACCACUCUUUCUCCAAGAAUCCGUGUUAGAUACCCCUGAAAUAGUUGGUUAAGCUAAAUGACAACUUGGAGAGUUGGAAUAUGAUAGCUUUUCCGACUUACUUCAUCCCAAAGGGAUAUCCUUGUGUUUUGAUAGUUGUUGAAGCAAGAUGAUAUCUUCAUCAAUUGGUCCUCAUGAUCAGUUUCUGGGUCUAUCAUCUUGUCAAAACUUUGACUUGAGUAUGGGCUAUCGUCAAGUCAAAUCUGAACCAACGAUGUUUGUAAUGUUGUCUUACUCGUGGUUGAUCCCUCGAGCAUACACCAUUACAUCUUUUGGUCUGACCAAUGCUAUCACUGUGUUCACAUGAUGGUGGAAGUCCAGUGAUAUGGAAAUUCCGAUGAGUUGCUGUUGAGUCCAUCAGCAGCAUUUUGUCCCCCCCCAUGAUUCAUGUUGAACAUUACACUAGUAUUGGAAACUUUGUAAGCAUUGCCUUCAUGUUCCGCUCAUGAGGUAUACGUAUGGAUGAAAGGAGUGACUUCCUCUAACUCGCGUGCAUUUGAUGAAAGAUGCCGCCGUGAAUUCAAGAAAGCUUGUUUUUGCUUCCUUCGGAACCAUCCCAAGUGAGUCAUGCAUAUGCGAAGUAUUCUAUGGUUUGAAGACUUGCAACCUUCAGCCCAUAUGUAUUCCUAGCACGCGAAGCCACUGAUUGAUUUGUUCAAGGAAAAUAAGUUCCUUCUUAAGAGCAAGACUUAUACAAGGACUUCGAUAUCCUCGAUGACGGUUCCCCAUCUGAACUCGGUAGUGUUUAUUAUAACACUACCAUGUGGUCAUGCUUGUCUAGGACAGUGUGUUCAUAGGUGUGUAGCAGAACCAGCUCAUAUUUUGGAGCUUGCUAUCGUAGUUCACUCCCCGAGAAUCUCGCAAUGUCAUCUCGUUGAUUUGUGUUGCAAACUUUCAUUUUCUUUUUGGACUCGAUGAGUGUGGAAUUUCCUGACACCAACCAGAUCUGAAUCUCAGGCAGAUGUGAUGGUUGGGAUGUUUUCCCAAGAACUAUAAUAUUGGUCUCUCGGUAACCGGUAAAGUGGAUGAUGUGGCCAACACACCCAACCGGAAGACCUAUUAAUGUAGUAUCUUGUUUGAAGAAGUUGGCCACUUCCCAUAAGGAUCUUGUAGAAUUUAUUCCAAUAGUAGUUCCUUAUGGAUUUUUUCUGUUCCCGAAGUUCGAUCUUUUACUUGAUGUCCUAGAUACCAAACCAUAUCAAUAAAUGGGUUAUGCUAGCACCUCAAGGAGAACAUUAGAAGCGGAGUGCUAAAUGUCUCUCGGUCGAUCAUCCAGAUUUUGUUUCCUUGGCCUCGCUAAGGUGAAAUCUGAGAAGGCGUUAUCUUCCUUUGCAUCUGCAUCCUCCACCGAUAUUCAUCAUGGAAGUACGAGGUGUCACCAAUAUCUUGGCACAGAUGUUGGCAAACCUUGAUGGAUAUGGAAAUGCUCAAGUUCUUGAGAGCACACCUAGUCACCGGGUUAUAUCCUCGGCAUCAUCUGGAAUGUGCUUUCCAUUUGCUGGAUUGUCUUAUAAGUCUAGUUCUCUAUCCAAACUGAGUAUGCCAUUUCUCCGAACUCCUUUGACAGAUUGUCUGUAAUUUUUCCUUAGGCUGGUUUAGAGAGUUUCAAUGAUCUAUGUAUCAAAAGUAAUUCUUUUUGCCACUUAAGGGAAUAAUUCUACGAGUCACAUUCCCCGAGGUGCCCCGUUAUGGUAUCAUGGGCAACUUAACUCCCCGCUACUUUGAAACCCCCCUCACCAUCUAUUUAAGCGUCGAAUUGUUGCUUACCAAUUUGAACCUUUGUUAUAUGUUUCUCGUCCAUCAUCUCUGAUGUGUGUUUUGCGUCUCAGCUCGAGGGAUGUUUAUAUGUCUCAUCCCGCGAGUUGAUCUUGAAUUGCUCAAUCUUUGAGAAGAUCGAUUUCUGAAGAGUUUCUUUCUGUCGUCAUAGUUGGAUGAAGAUCUCGAAAGCAAGGAUGUCAAGACCAACAGGAUGCAAUGUAUCAACAUCUUUGGGAAAGGCAGUUGGAUCAUGAAGAUUGUGAUAGUUCGAGUCCCCUCUUCCUUUUUUCCUAUGCUUGAAUCUCGGGACGAGAUUCUUGUUUAGUGGGGGCGAGUUGUCACAGCCCUAGCUUCAGCCUUGUUGUGGUCUAGUCUUGGUUGUUGCAUCAUGUUUAAAUUUUCUUAAACUUGAAAUGGGGAUGUCCAAACCCUAGCACCAAAUGAAAUGCAACUAGGAUCAAAAUAAAAAUAUUUUCAAUGAACCCAAAAUGCCCUUCAUAAAUGCCCAUCAUUUUUGAAUUGGUCUAGAACCCCAUCCAAAAAUGAUGCACAUAUUUCUAGGCCAUUCUGGAUUUUUGAAUUAACUCAUACUGUAUUUGAAUUGGGGCAUUUAAAUACUAUAAAUAUUUUUAAAUGCUCCAACAAUUUUGGAAUUAGUUGAGGGUCUCUGGAAUAAUUCAUUUAGUGCCCAUAACUAUUUUCAGAAUUUUUAAAAGUGAUUUGGUUUGAAAACCAAAUUUAAACAAAUUUGCAUAAAUAGAAAAACAGAACAAAAUUAGAGAACAGAGAGGGAGGGAUGCUUACCUGGGCCUCACCUGUGCUGGCCCAGCCCACCUGGCUCGGUGCCAGUCAUCCCUAACCUCUGCCAGUAGGCAGAGGAGGGACAGCGCACGACGCGCCCGCGGGCGCCACGCCACCAGGCUGCCUGCCUGCAUCGCCUGGCCACCGCGACGCCUCGCGUCCUCUCCUCGGUGCCGCCUUGACCCCCCGUUCAUUACCCUCUCCCCCUGGACGCGCUUCUCCCCUCUCUGCUCUCUCCCCGAGCGAAGCUCGCCGACGAGCACCAUCGUGGCCACAACCACUGCCUCGCCUCGCCGAUGCUCUCAGAGGCUCCGCCGCAACCUCUUCUCCCUCCUCGCCGAGCUACACGAGCCAGGACGGCCCCAAGACGACGCAUGUGGCCUUCUUCCCCGACCACGCCCGCCGGAUGCCGCCGUCUGAUUCGCCGUCUCUGCCGCCUCCCCGAGCACCCUGAGCUGCUCUACGACCUCGCCGUGAGCCCCUGUUCCUGCUCCCCCUCUCCGUUUUCCCCCUCACACGCCGUAGCCAUCGCCUGUCUGCAACCGAACACGCCACCGCCCACGCUCGUCUCCGGUGAUGCUCCGGUGACCAUUUGGUCUUGGGCAUGCGCCCAUCAAACUCACCGCACCACGUAGAUGCCGUAGGUGCUAAGUGCACAUCGCCACGACCACCACAACCGCGUCCCCGCUCGCGCCCGAACUCCGGCGACCGCAACCGAGCUCGCCGCCAUUGACUCCGGCCACCCCAGGCCCGGAGACCACCCCCAUCCAACGCGCUAUCGCGCCAGCUCUCCGUAGGGCCAAAGGGCGCACCGAACGGUGCACCGUAGGCGAAACCCGAGCCCCUCCAGUGUGCCUCCGCCGCGUUUUUGGUCGCCGCCGGCGUAACUCUGGUGACGUUGACGUGGCGCUGUUAAUAGCCACUAAUGACCUAGCUAACUAACCCCCCUCUCGCACUGACUAUGGGCCCCACGCCUUAAUUAACCCCGGGAUUUAUUCCCUGUUUAGUUUAGGUUAAUAUAGCCGGCCCCACAUGUCAUUUUGACCAUGCCACGUUAACGUUGACCCGGACCCACUGGUCAGCCUUUGUCCCUUCCCUAUUACACUGACGUGCGGGUCCCACUGGUCAGGUUUGACCUCGACCGUGCCCCGUUGACCUGCUGACGUCAUGAUGAUGUCAGGCUCACGUAGUAAUCCUUUUCUGGAAUUUAAAUAAAUCUUAAAUGAUUUAUUUAUUUCAGAAAAUACCCAAAACUUCUAAAAAUCAUAGAUAUUCAACCGUAGCUCAGAAUGAAAUAAAUUAUAUAUGAAAAAUGAUCAGAAAAAUCCAAUCUAUCCAUAUGUACCAUUCUCAUGCAUGUGUGAACAACUUACAGCCAUUGUAUAUGACAAUUUGAAUUAAUGGCAUUUAAGGAAGCACAUAUGGAGUUUGAAUUUGAACCUAGUGUUCAAACCAACUCCAUUUAACUUGUUGCUAGUUGCAUUAGCUCAAUCAACAGCAUAUUGCCAUGUCAUGAUCAUGCAUCAUAUUGUUGCAUCGCAUUGAUUGUGUUCUUCCUUGUUUGCCGGUAAUUGUCCCCUCUCAGUAGAUGAUGUUCCGACGAUGUGAUUGAUGACACCGAUGAAGAACUAUACUAUCUUCAGAAGUGCCAGGCAAGCAAACCCCCCUUGUUCAUUCCGAUACAAUCCCACUCUCUCGCUCCUGCUCUCUUUUACUACAUUAGGACAACAACGAUUCAACUGUUACAUGCUGCGGUAGUUGAACCCCUUUCCUUUGCAUGACCUGUCAUUGCCAUAGUAAAUAGAUGAAACCCACUAGCAUGAGUAGGAGUUGUUUGAGCCCUGGUGUGCCUACUCAUUCAUGCUUGUUUGUCAUGCCUGCGAUUGCUUAGAGUUGAGUCAGGUCUGAUUCAUCGGGAAUGAAUUGGAAUGGUGAUGAACAUGUUCUACUAUGUGUGAGCUAAGUGUGUGAACACGAUUUGGUAAAGGUAGCGGUGAGAGGCCAUGUAGGAGUACAUGGUGGGUUGUCUCAUUGCAGCCGUCCUCAGGAACUAAGUUCUGUGUUUGUGAUCCAUGAACAGUUACUACCACACAUUGGGUUCCAGUAACUUGACCCCUCUCGACUUAUUAAUGAACUCGAUCUCUGUCCAGGAGUUGCAACUAGUUUCUGGUGUUUGUAGGUAGUGUUAGUAGUCUACCAAGUGGCACCCGGUAUAGGUGGGCUUGGGACAGACUAGGCACAGUGGCACGGUGUACCAAGUGGCACCCAGAUGGUGGGCUUGGGAACCCUGCACACAUCAUUUGGGGCUGUGAGCGACACCCCGGCCGGAUCUCCUUGCGGAUGGAACCCGAAUAGGUGAUAAACCUGGACUAGAGACUUGUUGGUUAGUCAGGUCGUGGCCGACUCCCUCACCAGGCUUCCGCUUGAAGGUUGCCGAGAUACACGACGUGUACAUGGUGGUAGGUGGCGAGAGCGUGUGUGAAGAAGUACACCCCUGCAGGGUUAUCAUUAUCUAUUCGAAUAGCCGGAUUCCUCGGAUAUGGAAACUUGGACCCCUUGCAUAGUUCAUAGACAAGUGAAAGUGGAUACUCAAAAAUGCGCAAGAUAAGUGUGAGUGCUAUGGAUGGCCUUCUCUUAGGGAGACGGGAGCGGAUCCAUAGUGGUGUAUUGAUAUGGUGAAUAUGUGGACUCGUGUGCGCCACCUCAAAAGAGUUACUUGCAGUCGUAGUUCAGGAUAGCCACCGGGUCAAAGCUGGCUUGCUACAGUUAAACUCCACCACCCCUUUCUUGAUACUGAUGCAUAUGUAGCUAGUUCCAAUGUAAGUCUUGCUGGGUACAUUUGUACUCACGUUUGCCUAUUUUAUCUUUUGCAGAGAGACAUCAGUCUCGCUACUAGUUCUGUGUGGACUUCAACGUUUAGCUUGAUACCUUAGCUACGAUCUUGUACCCUUGGGAGGGUCUUGUAGAUAGUCAGGCUUCUGAGCCUUCUUCAUUUAUAACCGUCUGUACUCAGACAAGUUAAGGUUCCGCAUGUGCUUUGACUUGUAUGCUCUGAAUGUUGGGCCAUGAGACCCAUGUUUGUAAUAUCUUGCUCCUCGGAGCCUAAUGAAUAAAUACUUGAGUGAUAGAGUUAUGUUGUGAUGCCAUGUUGUAUUUACACAUAUCGAGCAUAUUGUGUGUAUGAUUGAAAUGCUUGGUAUGUGUGGGAUCCGACAACCUAGUUGUUUAUACUUGGUAGUCUCUCUUAUGGGGAAAUGUAGUCUUGUGCUUCCAUGAGCCAUAGUAGUCCGCUACAGCCCGGUUCACCGGAGUCCUGCUAGCCCAGCACUACUGCUCUGGAACACUUGACUGGCCGGCAUGUGAUUCACUUCGUUCCUGUGUCUGUCCCUUCGGGGAAAUGUCACGCGGAGACAUCCGGAGUCCUGCCUAGCCUGCUACAGCCCGGUUCACCGGAGUCCUGUUAGCCUAGUGCUGCAACCCAGAUUCGCACGCUGCUGACCGACAUGCUCGAUGUUGAUUCAUGUAUGCCUGUCCCCGUAAGUUAGUGCCACUUUAGGUUCACGACUAGUCAUGUCGGCCCGGGUUCUCUGUCAUAUGGAUGCUAGCGACACUAUCAUAUACGUGAACCAAAAGGCGCAAACGGUCCCGGCCAUGGUAAGGCGACACCCGUGGGAAUACCGUGCGUGAGGCACCAAAGUGAUAUGAGGUGUUACCAGCUAGAUCGAUGUGACUUGGAAUCGGGGUCCUGACAUCGUUGGUAUCAGAGCCUGACUGCCUGUAGGAUUACCAAGCCAAGCUGGUCAAAGUCGUGUCUAGAAAUGCUUUAGUUAUAUAAGGGAAUUGAUUGUGGAAGGAAAUGUAAGGCUCUUUUUACUCCUUAUCCUCAUGACCUUCUGAUCUGAGUCAUCUUACCUUUUCUACGGGGUUAAGAACUAGGCUUCUCUUCUAUCUCUCAGGAUGACGUGUUACUAAACCGUAGUUGCCUAGGAUUGUUGAGUUCAAGCCUCAGUUCAGUUCCUACUACUUCCAUAUGUUCAUAGCUUGCCUCAGAACCUUGAUAUUGCGAUGUUGAGUGGUUAUGCCACCAUUUUUGUAGGAUGUCCCAAAUCUUUUGAGCAUUUACAGCCGUUAUGUUGUCCGAGUCAUCACAGGUUUCUAAACAAUCUGAUGCAUUUGCAAAUCCCUUUCUCCUAUGUUCGAUGUCUUUUUGGGCCAGUCUAACCACACUAUCCGGUGCGUUGAGGUAAUUUAUUGGCUCGACAUAUAUGUUGGAGUUAUUAUUACGACCCUAGGUGUCUUAGAAGAUUACCUAGUAAUCUAGCCUUGUUUUGUGUUCCUAGUGUGAUCAUUCUGGCCACCAUCCUCAAAGGCAUCCCAUGAUGUUAUUUCUUAUGUAGGUAUUCUAUUUCUGGGUUUUUGAACCCGAGAUUCACUCUACUUAUCUCGUGUUGAUAGUGUUUGCUAGUUCCUUUAGGAUAUUAGUAACCUUUGCGAUAGUCCUCGUGGUCCGUGGUAUUUCCUUCUUCCAAGUACCAUGAACUGCUUAUGGCAGAAGUUCUUUUGAACCAAAAGGUCACAACAAGAGUGUUCUUGAGGAGUUCUCCAUUCAUAAUUGUGACUUUGCCAGUCCCACCUCUCUGCAUGGGUUAUCCGGAAGAAACAUGUUGAACUUGGUUCGACAUACUAAUCUAUGCAUCCACAACUCAGAAAGUUAUAUGUUCCUUGAGUUGACCUUCCUCAGCUGUAUUCCGACCCUAGUCUAUCAAUUGAUAGUCAGGAAUAGUUGUGCAUUCGUGUUCAUCGAUGCCUAUUAUUCUAGUGGUCCGUCAAGCCAUUCUGUUCCGGAAUGACUAGGAGAAACAAACUCCAGUACCUCGUCCACUUCUAGGAUUGGGUCAAAGUAGUUGUAUUCCACAAAUCAAAAUGCCAAUCUAGUUUUGUUCUGUUCUACCUUGGGGUAUUACCAUCUUUAUAUCAUGAAUGUCAUGGGAAUUGCACCACCUCUUAUGAAUUCUUGAUGCAGUAAUACUUCUUGCCAUCAUUGUUCAUUCCUCGGUUCCAUGUUAUUGUAACCGGAAUGCUGACAAGUGUACUGUGAUGUGCGAAAUCAAUACUCCUAGCAACUCCGUUGCUUGGUAGUUAAUGGACAAUACUCUCAUUCUUAGCUUGCUGGUUAUUGAAUCAUCAUCCUAAGAUUGAUCGUGCUACCUAGUCCAUAUUUCUGGGUGCACUCAUCGACCAAUGAGUUAGGAUUGUGACAAUCCCUCGCUCCUUGAUCAUAUCGUCCUGCCCUGAAAAGCAAGAUUGUUCUUGAGCUUAAUAACAUAUCGGUGGUUCAUGAUUUUCUGGAUAUCUUCAUGGAAGUAUCACCAGGUCGUCCCCUGACCGAUAUGUUGAGUUCGUGAUCAAGUUGAAUUUGCAAUAAACCACUCUUUCUCCAAGAAUCCGUGUUAGAUACCCCUGAAAUAGUUGGUUAAGCUAAAUGACAACUUGGAGAGUUGGAAUAUGAUAGCUUUUCCGACUUACUUCAUCCCAAAGGGAUAUCCUUGUGUUUUGAUAGUUAUUGAAGCAAGAUGAUAUCUUCAUCAAUUGGUCCUCAUGAUCAGUUUCCGGGUCUAUCAUCUUGUCAAAACUUUGACUUGAGUAUGGGCUAUCGUCAAGUCAAAUCUGAACCAACGAUGUUUGUAAUGUUGUCUUACUCGUGGUUGAUCCCACGAGCAUACACCAUUACAUCUUUUGUUCUGACCAAUGCUAUCACUGUGUUCACAUGAUGGUGGAAGUCCAGUGAUAUGGAAAUUCCGAUGAGUUGCUGUUGAGCCCAUCAGCAGCAUUUUGUCCCCCCCCCCCCAUGAUUCAGUUUGAACAUUACACUAGUAUUGGAAACUUUGUAAGCAUUGCCUUCAUGUUCCGCUCAUGAGGUAUACGUAUGGAUGAAAGGAGUGACUUCCUCUAACUCACGUGCAUUUGAUGAAAGAUGCCGCCGUGAAUUCAAGAAAGCUUGUUUUUGCUUCCUUCGGAACCAUCCCAAGUGAGUCAUGCAUAUGCGAAGUAUUCUAUGGUUUGAAGACUUGCAACCUUCAGCCCAUAUGUAUUCCUAGCACACGAAGCCACUGAUUGAUUUGUUCAAGGAAAAGAAGUUCCUUCUUAAGAGCAAGACUUAUACAAGGACUUCGAUAUCCUUGAUGACGGUUCCCCAUCUGAACUCAGUAGUGUUUAUUAUAACACUACCAUGUGGUCAUGCUUGUCUAGGAUAGUGUGUUCAUAGGUGUGUAGCAGAACCAGCUCAUAUUUUGGAGCUUGCUAUCGUAGUUCACUCCUCGAGAAUCUCGCAAUGUCAUCUCGUUGAUUUGUGUUGCAAACUUUCAUUUUCUUUCUGGACUCGAUGAGUGUGGAAUAUCCUGACACCAACCAGAUCUGAAUCUCAGGCAGAUUUGAUGGUUGGGAUGUUUUCCCAAGAACUAUAAUAUUGGUCUCUCGGUAACCGGUAAAGUGGAUGAUGUGGCCAACACACCCAACCGGAAGACCUAUUAAUGUAGUAUCUUGUUUGAAGAAGUUGGCCACUUCCCAUAAGGAUCUCGUAGAAUUUAUUCCAAUAGCAGUUCCUUAUGGAUUUUUUCUGUUCCCGAAGUUCGAUCUUUUACUUGAUGUCCUAGAUACCAAACCAUAUCAAUAAAUGGGUUAUGCUAGCACCUCAAGGAGAACAUUAGAAGCGGAGUGCUAAAUGUCUCUCGGUCGAUCAUCCAGAUUUUGUUUCCUUGGCCUCGCUAAGGUGAAAUCUGAGAAGGUGUUAUCUUCCUUUGCAUCUGCAUCCUCCACCGAUAUUCAUCAUGGUAGUACGAGGUGUCACCAAUAUCUUGGCACAGAUGUUGGCAAACCUUGAUGGAUAUGGAAAUGCUCAAGUUCUUGAGAGCAUGCCCAGUCACCGGGUUAUAUCCUCGGCAUCAUCUGGAAUGUGCUUUCCAUUUGCUGGGUUGUCUUAUAACUCUAGUUCUCUAUCCAAACUGAGUAUGCCAUUUCUCCGAACUCCUUUGACAGAUUGUCUGUAAUUUUUCCUUACGCUGGUUUAGAGAGUUUCAAUGAUCUAUGUAUCAAAAGUAAUUCUUUUUGCCACUUAAGGGAAUAAUUCUACGAGUGACAUUCCCCGAGGUGCCCCGUUAUGGUAUCAUGGGCAACUUAACUCCCCGCUACUUUGGAACCCCCUCACCAUCUAUUUAAGCGUCGAAUUGUUGCCUACCAAUUUGAACCUUUGUUAUAUGUUUCUCGUCCAUCAUCUCUGAUGUGUGUUUUGCGUCUCAGCUCGAGGGAUGUUUAUAUGUCUCAUCCCGCGAGUUGAUCUUGAAUUGCUCGAUCUUUGAGAAGAUCGAUUUCUGAAGAGUUUCUUUCUGUCGUCAUAGUUGGAUGAAGAUCUCGAAAGCAAGGAUGUCAAGACCAAUAGGAUGCAAUGGAUCAACAUCUUCGGGAAAGGCAGUUGGAUCAUGAAGAUUGUGAUAGUUCGAGUCCCCUCUUCCUUUUUUCCAACGCUUGAAUCUUGGGAUGAGAUUCUUGUUUAGUGGGGGCAAGUUGUCACAGUCCUAGCUUCAGCCUUGUUGUGGUCUAGUCUUGGUUGUUGCAUCAUGUUUAAAUUUUCUUAAACUUGAAAUGGGGAUGUCCAAACCCUAGCACCAAAUGAAAUGCAACUAGGAUCAAAAUAAAAAUAUUUUCAAUGAACCCAAAAUGCCCUUCAUAAAUGCCCAUCAUUUUUGAAUUGGUCUAGAACCCCUUCCAAAAAUGAUGCACAUAUUUCUAGGCCAUUCUCGAUAUUUUUAGUUAACUCAUAUUGUAUUUGAAUUGGGGCAUUUAAAUACUAUAAAUAUUUUUAAAUGCUCCAACAAUUAUGGAAUUAGUUGAGGGUCUCUGGAAUAAUUCAUUUAGUGCCCAUAACUAUUUUCAGAAUUUUUAAAAGUGAUUUGGUUUGAAAACCAAAUUUAAACAAAUUUGCAUAAAUAGAAAAAUAGAACAAAAUUAGAAAACAGAGAGGGAGGGAUGCUUACCUGGGCCUCACCUGUGCUGGCCCAGCCCACCUGGCUCGGUGCCAGUCAUCCCUAACCUCUGCUAGUAGGCAGAGGAGGGACAGCGCACGACGCGCCCGCGGGCGCCACGCCACCAGGCUGCCUGCCUGCGUUGCCUGGCCACCGCGACGCCUCGUGUCCUCUCCUCGGCGCCGCCUCGACCCCCCGUUCGUUCCCCUCUCCCCCUGGACGCGCUUCCCCCCUCUCUGCUCUCUCCCCGAGCGAAGCUCGCCGACGAGCACCAUCGUGGCAACAACCACUGCCUCGCCUCGUCGAUGCUCUCAGAGGCUCCGCCGCAACCUCUUCUCCCUCCUCGCCGAGCUACACGAGCUAGGACGGCCCCAAGACGACGCAUGUGGCCUUCUUCCCCGACCACGCCCGCCGGAUGCCGCCGUCUGAUUUGCCGUCUCUGCCGCCUCCCCGAGCACCCUGAGCUGCUCUAUGACCUCGCCGUGAGCCCCGGCUCCUGCUCCCCCUCUCCGUUUUCCCCCUCACGCGCCGUAGCCAUCGCCUCGUCUGCAACCGAACACGCCGCCGCCCACGCUCGUCUUCAGUGAUGCUCCGGUGACCAUUUGGUCUUGGGCAUGCGCCCAUCGAACUCACCGCACCACGUAGAUGCCGUAGGUGCUAAGUGCACAUCACCACGACCACCACAACCGCGUCCCCGCUCGCGCCCGAACUCCGGCGACCGCAACUGAGCUCGUCGCCAUUGACUUCGGCCACCCCAGGCCUGGAGACCACCCCCAUCCAACGCGCUAUCGCGCCAGCUCUCCGUAGGGCCAAAGGGCGCACCGAAUGGUGCACCGUAGGCGAAACCCGAGCCCCUCCAGUGUGCCUCCGCUGCGUUUUUGGUCACCGCUGGCGUAACUCCGGUGAUGCUGACAUGGCGCUGUCAAUAGCCACUAAUGACCCAGCUAACUAACCCGCCUCUCUCACUGACUAUGGGCCCCACGCCUUAAUUAACACCGGGAUUUAUUCCCUGUUUAGUUCAGGUUAAUAUAGCCGGCCCCACAUGUCAUUUUGACCAUGCCACGUUAACGUUGACCCUGACCCACUGGUCAGCCUCUGUCCCUGCCCUAUUACACUGACGUGCGGGUCCCACUGGUCAAGUUUGACCUCGACCGUGCCCCGUUGACCUGCUGACGUCAUGAUGAUGUCAGGCUGACGUAGUAAUCCUUUUCUGGAAUUUAAAUAAAUCUUAAAUGAUUUAUUUAUUUCAGAAAAUACCCAAAACUUCUAAAAAUCAUAGAUAUUCAACCGUAGCUCAGAAUGAAAUAAAUUAUAUAUGAAAAAUGAUCAGAAAAAUCCAAUCUAUCCAUAUGUACCAUUCUCAUGCAUCUGUGAACAACUUACAGCCAUUGUAUAUGACAAUUUGAAUUAAUGGCAUUUAAGAAAGCACAUAUGGAGUUUGAAUUUGAACCUAGUGUUCAAACCAACUCCAUUUAACUUGUUGCUAGUUGCAUUAGCUCAAUCAACAGCAUAUUCCCAUGUCAUGAUCAUGCAUCAUAUUGUUGCAUCACAUUGAUUGUGUUCUUCCUUGUUUGCCGGUAAUUGUCCCCUCUCAGUAGACGACGUUCCGACGAUGUGAUUGAUGACACCGAUGAAGAACUAUACUAUCUUCAGAAGUGCCAGGCAAGCAAAACCCCCUUGUUCAUUCCGAUACAAUCCCACUCUCUCGCUCCCGCUCUCUUUUACUGCAUUAGGACAACAACGAUUCAACUGUUACAUGCUGCGGUAGUUGAACCCCUUUCCUUUGCAUGACCUGUCGUUGCCACAGUAAAUAGAUGAAACCCACUAGCAUGAGUAGGAGUUGUUUGAGCCCUGCUGUGCCUACUCAUUCAUGCUUGUUUGUCAUGCCUGCGAUUGCUUAGAGUUGAGUCAGGUAUGAUUCAUCGGGAAUGAAUUGGAAUGGUGAUGAACAUGUCCUACUGUGUGUGAGCUAAGUGUGUGAACACGAUUUGGUAAAGGUAGCGGUGAGAGGCCAUGUAGGAGUACAUGGUGGGUUGUCUCAUUGCAGCCGUCCUCAGGAGCUGAAUUCUGUGUUUGUGAUCCAUGAACAGUUACUACCACACAUUGGGUUCCGGUAACUCGACCCCCCUUGACUUAUUAAUCAACUCGAUCUCUGUCCAGGAGUUGCAACUAGUUUCUGGUGUUUGUAGGUAGUGUUAGUAGUCUACCAAGUGGCACCCAGUACAGGUGGGCUUGGGAAAGACUAGGCACAGUGGCACGGUGUACCAAGUGGCACCCGAAUGGUGGGCUUGGAAACCCUGCACACAUUGUUUGGGGCCGUGAGCGACACCCCGGCCGGAUCUCCUUGCGGAUGGAACCCGAAUAGGCGAUAAACCUGGACUAGAGACUUGUUGGUUAGUCAGGUCGUGGCCGACUCCCACACCAGGCUUCCGCUUGAAGGUUGCCGAGAUACACGACGUGUACAUGGUGGUAAGUGGCGAGAGCGUGUGUGAAGAAGUACACCCCUGCAGGGUUAUCAUUAUCUAUUCGAAUAGCCGGAUUCCUCGGAUAUGGAAACUUGGACCCCUUGCAUAGUUCAUAGACAAAGUGAAAGUGGAUACUCUAAAAUGCGCAAGAUAAGUGUGAGUGCUAUGGAUGGCCUUCUCGUAGGGAGACGGGAGCGGAUCCAUAGUGGUGUAUUGAUAUGGUGAAUAUGUGGACUCGUGCGCGCCACCUCAAAAGAGUUACUUGCAGUCGUAGUUCAGGAUAGCCACCGGGUCAAAGCUGGCUUGCUGCAGUUAAACUCCACCACCCCUUUCUUGAUACUGAUGCAUAUGUAGCUAGUUCUGAUGUAAGUCUUGCUGGGUACAUUUGUACUCACGUUUGCCUAUUUUAUGUUUUGCAGAGAGACGUCAAUCUCGCUACUAGUUCUGUGUGGACUUCGACGUUUAGCUUGAUACCUCAGCUACGAUCUUGUACCCUUGGGAGGGUCUUGUAGAUAGUCAGGCUUUUGAGCCUUCUUCAUUUAUAACUAUCUAUACUUAGACAAGUUAAGGUUCCGCAUGUGCUUUGACUUGUAUGCUCUGAAUGUUGGGCCAUGAGACCCAUGUUUGUAAUAUCUUGCUCCUCGGAGCCUAAUGAAUAAAUACUUGAGUCGUAGAGUUAUGUUGUGAUGCCAUGUUGUAUUUACACAUAUCGAGCAUAUUGUGUGUAUGAUUGAAAUGCUUGGUAUGUGUGGGAUCCGACAACCUAGUUGUUUAUCCUUGGUAGUCUCUCUUAUGGGGAAAUGUAGUCUUGUGCUUCCAUGAGCGAUAGUAGUCCGCUAUAGCCCGGUUCACCGGAGUCCUGCUAGCCCAGCACUACUGCUCUGGAACACUUGACUGGCCGGCAUGUGAUUCACUUCGUUCCUGUGUCUGUCCCUUCGGGGAAAUGUCACGCGGUGACAUCCGAAGUCCUUCCUAGCCUGCUACAGCCCGGUUCACCGGAGUCCUGUUAGCCUAGUGCUGCAACCCAGAUUCGCACGCUGCUGACCGACAUGCUCGAUGUUGAUUCAUGUAUGCCUGUCCCCGUAAGUUAGUGCCACUUUAGGUUCACGACUAGUCAUGUCGGCCCGGGUUCUCUGUCAUAUGGAUGCUAGCAACACUAUCAUAUACGUGAGCCAAAAGGCGCAAACGGUCCCGGCCAUGGUAAGGCGACACCCGUGGGAAUACCAUGCGUGAGGCCGCAAAGUGAUAUGAGGUGUUAACGGCUAGAUCGAUGUGACUUGGAAUUGGGGUCCUGACAUCGUUGGUAUCAGAGCCUGACUGCCUGUAGGAUUACCAAGCCAAGCUGGUCGAAGUCGUGUCUAGAAAUGCUUUAGUUAUAUAAGGGAAUUGAUUGUGGAAGGAAAUGUAAGGCUCUUUUUACUCCUUAUCCUCGUGACCUUCUGAUCUGAGUCAUCUUACCUUUUCUACGGGGUUAAGAACUAGGCUUCUCUUCUAUCUCUCAGGAUGACGUGUUACUAAACCGUAGUUGCCUAGGAUUGUUGAGUUCAAGCCUCAGUUCAGUUCCUACUACUUCCAUAUGUUCAUAGCUGGCCUCAGAACCUUGAUAUUGCGAUGUUGAGUGGUUAUGCCACCAUUUUUGCAGGAUGUCCCAAAUCUUUUGAGCAUUUACAGCCGUUAUGUUGUCCGAGUCAUCCCAGGUUUCUAAACAAUCUGAUGCAUUUGCAAAUCCCUUUCUCCUGUGUUCGAUGUCUUUUUGGGCCAGUCUAACCACACUAUCCGGUGCGUUGAGGUAAUUUAUUGCCUCGACAUAUAUGUUGGAGUUAUUAUUACGACCCUAGGUGUCUUAGAAGAUUACCUAGUAAUCUAGCCUUGUUUUGUGUUCCUAGUGUGAUCAUUCUGGCCACCAUCCUCGAACGCAUCCCGUGAUGUUAUUUCGUAUGUAGGUAUUCUAUUUCUGGGUUUUUGAACCCGAGAUUCACUCUACUUAUCUCGUGUUGAUAGUGUUUGCUAGUUCCUUUAGGAUAUUAGUAACCUUUGCGAUAGUCCUCGAGGUCCAUGGUAUUUCCUUCAUCCAAGUACCAUGAACUGCUUAUGGCAGAAGUUCUUUUGAACCAAAAGGUCACAAUAAGAGUGUUCUUGAGGAGUUCUCCAUUCAUAAUUGUGACUCUGCCAGUCCCACCUCUCUGCAUGGGUUAUCCGGAAGAAACAUGUUGAACUUGGUUCGACAUACUAAUCUAUGCAUCCACAACUCAGAAAGUUAUAUGUUCCUUGAGUUGACCUUCCUCAGUUGUAUUCCGACCCUAGUCUAUCAAUUGAUAGUCAGGAAUAGUUGUGCAUUCGUGUUCAUCGAUGCCUAUUAUUCUAGUGGUCCGUCAAGCCAUUCUAUUCCAGAAUGACUAGGAGAAACAAACUCCAGUACCUCGUCCACUUCUAGGAUUGGGUCAAAGUAGUUGUAUUCCACAGAUCAAAAUUCGAAUCUAGUUUUUGUUCUGUUCUACCUUGGGGUAUUACCAUCUUUAUAUCAGGAAUGUCAUGGGAAUUGCACCACCUCUUAUGAAUUCUUGAUGCAGUAAUACUUCUUGCCAUCAUUGUUCAUUCCUCGGUUCUGUGUUAUUGUAACCGGAAUGCUGACAAGUGUACUGUGAUGUGCGAAAUCAAUACUCCUAGCAACUCCGUUGCUUGGUAGUUAAUGGACAAUACUCUCAACUUAGCGUGCUGGUUAUUGAAUCAUCAUCCUAAGAUUGAUCGUGCUACCUAGUCCAUAUUUCUGGGUGCACUCAUCGACCAAUGAGUUAGGAUUGUGACAAUCCCUCGCUCCUUGAUCAUAUCGUCCUGCCCUGAAAAGCAAGAUUGUUCUCAAGCUUAAUAACAUAUCGGUGGUUCAUGAUUUUCUGGAUAUCUUCACGGAAGUAUCACCAGGUCGUCCACUGACCGAUAUGUUGAGUUCGUGAUCAAGUUGGAUUUCCAAUAAACCACUCUUUCUCCAAGAAUCUGUGUUAGAUACCCCUGAAAUAGUUGGUUAAGCUAAAUGACAACUUGGAGAGUUGGAAUAUGAUAGCUUUUUCGACUUACUUCAUCCCAAAGGGAUAUCCUUGUGUUUUGAUAGUUGUUGAAGCAAGAUGAUAUCUUCAUCAAUUGGUCCUCGUGAUCAGUUUCUGGGUCUAUCAUCUUGUCAAAACUUUGACUUGAGUAUGGGCUAUCGUCAAGUCAAAUCUAAACCAACGAUGUUUGUAAUGUUGUCUUACUCGUGGUUGAUCCCUCGAGCAUACACCAUUACAUCUUUUGGUCUGACCAAUGCUAUCACUGUGUUCCAUGAUGGUGGAAGUCCAGUGAUAUGGAAAUUCCGAUGAGUUGCUGUUGAGCCCAUCAGUAGCAUUUUGUUCCCCCCCCCCAUGAUUCAUGUUGAACAUUACACUAGUAUUGGAAACUUUGUAAGCAUUGCCUUCAUGUUUCGCUCAUGAGGUAUACGUAUGGAUGAAAGGAGUGACUUCCUCUAACUCACGUGCAUUUGAUGAAAGAUGCCGCCGUGAAUUCAAGAAAGCUUGUUUUUUCUUCCUUCGGAACCAUCCCAAGUGAGUCAUGCAUAUGCGAAGUAUUCUAUGGUUCGAAGACUUGCAACCUUCAGCCCAUAUGUAUUCCUAGCACACGAAGCCACUGAUUGAUUUGUUCAAGGAAAAGAAGUUCCUUCUUAAGAGCAAGACUUAUACAAGGACUUCGAUAUCCUCGAUGACGGUUCCCCAUCUGAACUCGGUAGUGUUUAUUAUAACACUACCAUGUGGUCAUGCUUGUCUAGGACAGUGUGUUCAUAGGUGUGUAACAGAACCAGCUCAUAUUUUGGAGCUUGCUAUCAUAGUUCACUCCCCGAGAAUCUCGCAAUGUCAUCUCGUUGAUUUGUGUUGCAAACUUUCAUUUUCUUUCUGGACUCGAUGAGUGUGGAAUAUCCUGACACCAACCAUAUCUGAAUCUCAGGCAGAUGUGAUGGUUGGGAUGUUUUCCCAAGAACUAUAAUAUUGGUCUCUCGGUAACCGGUAAAGUGGAUGAUGUGGCCAACACAGCCAAACCGGAAGACCUAUUAAUGUAGUAUCUUAUUUGAAGAAGUUGGCCACUUCCCAUAAGGAUCUCGUAGAAUUUAUUCUAAUAGUAGUUCCUUAUGGAUUUUUUCUGUUCCCGAAGUUCGAUCUUUUACUUGAUGUCCUAGAUACCAAACCAUAUAAUAAAUGGGUUAUGCUAGCACCUCAAGGAGAACAUUAGAAGCGGAGUGCUAAAUGUCUCUCGGUCGAUCAUCCAGAUUUUGUUUCCUUGGCCUCGCUAAGGUGAAAUCUGAGAAGGUGUUAUCUUCCUUUGCAUCUGCAUCCUCCACCGAUAUUCAUCAUGGUAGUACGAGGUGUCACCAAUAUCUUGGCAUAGAUGUUGGCAAACCUUGAUGGAUAUGGAAAUGCUCAAGUUAUUGAGAGCACGCCCAGUCACCGGGUUAUAUCCUCGGCAUCAUCUGGAAUGUGCUUUCCAUUUGCUGGGUUGUCUUAUAACUCUAGUUCUCUAUCCAAACUGAGUAUGCCAUUUCUCCGAACUCCUUUGAUAGAUUGUCUGUAAUUUUUCCUUAGGCUGGUUUAGAGAGUUUCAAUGAUCUAUGUAUCAAAAGUAAUUCUUUUUGCCACUUAAGGGAAUAAUUCUAUGAGUCACAUUCCCCGAGGUGCCCCAUUAUGGUAUCAUGGGCAACUUAACUCCCGGCUACUUUGAAACCCCCCUCACCAUCUAUUGAAGCGUCGAAUUGUUUCCUACCAAUUUGAACCUUUGUUAUAUGUUUCUCAUCCAUCAUCUCUGAUGUGUGUUUUGCGUCUCAGCUCGAGGGAUGUUUAUAUGUCUCAUCCCGCGAGUUGAUCUUGAAUUGCUCGAUCUUUGAGAAGAUCGAUUUCUGAAGAGUUUCUUCUGUCGUCAUAGUUGGAUGAAGAUCUCGAAAGCAAGGACGUCAAGACCAACAAGAUGCAAUGGAUCAACAUCUUCGGGAAAGGCAGUUGGAUCAUGAAGAUUGUGAUAGUUCGAGUCCCCUCUUCCUUUUUUCCUAUGCUUGAAUCUCGGGACGAGAUUCUUGUUUAGUGGGGGCGAGUUGUCACAGCCCUAGCUUCAGCCUUGUUGUGGUCUAGUCUUGGUUGUUGCAUCAUGUUUAAAUUUUCUUAAACUUGAAAUGGGGAUGUCCAAACCCUAGCACCAAAUGAAAUGCAACUAGGAUCAAAAUAAAAAUAUUUUCAAUGAACCCAAAAUGCCCUUCAUAAAUGCCCAUCAUUUUUGAAUUGGUCUAGAACCCCUUCCAAAAAUGAUGCACAUAUUUCUAGGCCAUUCUGGAUUUUUUAAUUAACUCAUAUUGUAUUUGAAUUGGGGCAUUUAAAUACUAUAAAUAUUUUUAAAUGCUCCAACAAUUAUGGAAUUAGUUGAGGGUCUCUGGAAUAAUUCAUUUAGUGCCCAUAACUAUUUUCAGAAUUUUUAAAAGUGAUUUGGUUUGAAAACCAAAUUUAAACAAAUUUGCAUAAAUAGAAAAACAGAACAAAAUUAGAAAACAGAGAGGGAGGGAUGCUUACCUGGGCCUCACCUGUGCUGGCCCAGCCCACCUGGCUCGGUGCCAGUCAUCUCUAACCUCUGCCAGUAGGCAGAGGAGGGACAGUGCAUGACGCGCCCGCGGGCGCCACGCCACCAGGCUGCCUGCCUGCGUCGCCUGGCCACCGCGACGCCUCGCGUCCUCUCCUCGGCGCCGCCUCGACCCCCCGUUCGUUCCCCUCUCCCUCUGGACGCGCUUCCCCCCUCUUUGCUCUCUCCCCGAGCGAAGCUCACCGACGAGCACCAUCGUGGCCACAACCACUGCCUCGCCUCGCCGAUGCUCUCAGAGGCUCCACCGCAAACUCUUCUCCCUCCUCGCCGAGCUACACGAGCCAGGACGUCCCCAAGACGACGCAUGUGGCCUUCUUCCCCGACCACGCCCGCCGGAUGCCGCUGUCUGAUUCGCCGUCUCUGCUGCCUCCCCGAGCACCCUGAGCUGCUCUACGACCUCGCCGUGAGCCCUUGCUCCCCCUCUCCGUUUCCCCCUCACGCGCCGUAGCCAUCGCCUCGUCUGCAACCGAACACGCCGCCGCCCGCGCUCGUCUCCGGUGAUGCUCCGGUGACCAUUUGGUCUUGGGCAUGCGCCCAUCGAACUCACCGCACCACGUAGAUGCCGUAGGUGCUAAGUGCACAUCGCCACGACCAUCACAACCGCGUCCCCGCUCGCGCCCGAACUCCGGCGACCGCAACCGAGCUCGCCGCCAUUGACUCCGGCCACCCCAGGCCCGAAGACCACCCCCAUCCAACGCGCUAUCGCGCCAGCUCUCCGUAGGGCCAAAGGGCGCACCGAACGGUGCACCGUAGGCGAAACCCGAGCCCCUCUAGUGUGCCUCCGCCGCGUUUUUGGUCACCGCCGGCGUAACUCCGGUGGCGCUGACGUGGCGCUGUCAAUAGCCACUAAUGACCCAGCUAACUAACCCCCCUCUCUCCCUGACUAUGGGCCCCAUGCCUUAAUUAACCCCGGGAUUUAUUCCCUGUUUAGUUUAGGUUAAUAUAGCCGGCCCCACAUGUCAUUUUGACCAUGCCACGUUAACGUUGACCCGGACCCACUGGUCAGCCUCUGUCCCUUCCCUAUUACACUGACGUGCGGGUCCCACUGGUCAGGUUUGACCUCGACCGUGCCCCGUUGACCUGCUGACGUCAUGAUGAUGUCAUGCUGAUGUAGUAAUCCUUUUCUGGAAUUUAAAUAAAUCUUAAAUGAUUUAUUUAUUUCAAAAAAUACCCAAAACUUCUAAAAAUCAUAGAUAUUCAACCGUAGCUCAGAAUGAAAUAAAUUAUAUAUGAAAAAUGAUCAGAAAAAUCCAAUCUAUCUAUAUGUACCAUUCUCAUGCAUGUGUGAACAACUUACAGCCAUUGUAUAUGACAAUUUGAAUUAAUGGCAUUUAAGAAAGCACAUAUGGAGUUUGAAUUUGAACCUAGUGUUCAAACCAACUCCAUUUAACUUGUUGCUAGUUGCAUUAGCUCAAUCAACAGCAUAUUGCCAUGUCAUGAUCAUGCAUCAUAUUGUUGCAUCACAUUGAUUGUGUUCUUCCUUGUUUGCCGGUAAUUGUCCCCUCUCAGUAGACGACGUUCCGACGAUGUGAUUGAUGACACCGAUGAAGAACUAUACUAUCUUCAGAAGUGCCAGGCAAGCAAAACCCCCUUGUUCAUUCCGAUACAAUCCCACUCUCUCACUCCUGCUCUCUUUUACUGCAUUAGGACAACAACGAUUCAACUGUUACAUGCUGCGGUAGUUGAACCCCUUUCCUUUGCAUGACCUGUCGUUGCCACAGUAAAUAGAUGAAACCCACUAGCAUGAGUAGGAGUUGUUUGAGCCCUGGUGUGCCUACUCAUUCAUGCUUGUUUGUCAUGCCUGCGAUUGCUUAGAGUUGAGUCAGGUCCGAUUCAUCGGGAAUGAAUUGGAAUGGUGAUGAACAUGUCCUACUGUGUGUGAGCUAAGUGUGUGAACACGAUUUGGUAAAGGUAGCGGUGAGAGGCCAUGUAGGAGUACAUGGUGGGUUGUCUCAUUGCCGCCGUCCUCAGGAGCUGAUUUCUGUGUUUGUGAUCCAUGAACAGUUACUACCACACAUUGGGUUCCGGUAACUCGACCCCCCUUGACUUAUUAAUCAACUCGAUCUCUGUCCAGGAGUUGCAACUAGUUUCUGGUGUUUGUAGGUAGUGUUAGUAGUCUACUAAGUGGCACCCAGUACAGGUGGGCUUGGGAAAGACUAGGCACAGUGGCACGGUGUACCAAGUGGCACCCGAAUGGUGGGCUUGGAAACCCUGCACACAUUGUUUUGGGCCGUGAGCGACACCCCGGCCGGAUCUCCUUGCGGAUGGAACCCGAAUAGGCGAUAAACCUGGACUAGAGACUUGUUGGUUAGUCAGGUCGUGCCCGAGUCCCUCACCAGGCUUCCGCUUGAAGGUUGCCGAGAUACACGACGUGUACAUGGUGGUAAGUGGCGAGAGCGUGUGUGAAGAAGUACACCCCUACAGGGCUAUCAUUAUCUAUUCGAAUAGCCGGAUUCCUCGGAUAUGGAAACUUGGACCCCUUGCAUAGUUCAUAGACAAGUGAAAAUGGAUACUCGAAAAUGCGCAAGAUAAGUGUGAGUGCUAUGGAUGGCCUUCUCGUAGGGAGACGGGAGUGGAUCCAUAGUGGUGUAUUGAUAUGGUGAAUAUGUGGACUCGUGUGCGCCACCUCAAAAGAGUUACUUGCAGUCGUAGUUCAGGAUAGCCACCGGGUCAAAGCUGGCUUGCUGCAGUUAAACUCCACCACCCCUUUCUUGAUACUGAUGCAUAUGUAGCUAGUUCUGAUGUAAGUCUUGCUGGGUACAUUUGUACUCACGUUUGCCUAUUUUAUGUUUUGCAGAGAGACGUCAGUCUCGCUAGUAGUUUCGUGUGGACUUCGACGUUUAGCUUCAUACCUCAGCUACGAUCUUCUACCCUUGGAAGGGUCUUGUAGAUAGUCAGGCUUCUAAGCCUUCUUCAUUUGUAGCUGUCUGUACUCAGACAAGUUAAGCUUCCGCAUGUGCUUUGAUUUGUAUGCUCUGAAUGUUGGGCCAUGAGACCCAUGUUUGUAAUAUCUCGCUCCUCGUAGCCUAAUGAAUAAAUACUUGAGUCGUAGAGUUAUGUUGUCAUGCCAUGUUGUAUUUACACAUAUCGAGCAUAUUGUGUGUAUGAUUGAAAUGCUUGGUAUGUGUGGGAUCCGACAACCUAGUUGUUUAUCCUUGGUAGUCUCUCUUAUGUGGAAAUGUAGUCUUGUGCUUCCAUGAGCCAUAGUAGUCCCCUACAGCCCAGUUCACCGGAGUCCUGCUAGCCCAGCACUACUGCUCCAGAACACUUGACUGGCCGGCAUGUGAUUCACUUCGUUCCUGUGUCUGUCCCUUCGGGGAAAUGUCACGCGGUGACAUCCGGAGUCCUGCCUAGCCUGCUACAGCCCGGUUCACCGGAGUCCUGUUAGCCCAGUGCUGUAGCCCGGAUUCGCACGCUGCUGACCGACAUGCUCGAUGUUGAUUCAUGUAUGCCUGUCCCCGUAAGUUAGUGCCACUUUGGGUUCACGACUAGUCAUGUCGGCCCGGGUUCUCUGUCAUAUACCAAGCGUGCGGACCCUACGGGUUCGAGAACUAUGUAGACAUGACCGAGACACGUCUCCAGUGAAUAACCAAUAGCGGAAGCUGGAUGCUCAUAUUGGCUCCUGCAUAUUCUACGAAGAUCUUUAUUGGUCAAACCGCAUAACAACGUACGUUGUUCCCUUUGUCAUCGGUAUGUUACUUGCCCAAGAUUCGAUCGUCGGUAUCUCAAUACCUAGUUCAAUCUCGUUACCGGCAAGUCUCUUUACUCGUUCCGUAAUACAUCAUCCCGCAACUAACUCAUUAGUUGCAAUGCUUGCAAGGCUUAAGUGAUGUGCAUUACCGAGAGGGCCCAGAGAUACCUCUCCGACAAUCGGAGUGACAAACCCUAAUCUCGAAAUACGCCAACCCAACAAGUACCUUUGGAGACACCUGUAGAGCACCUUUAUAAUCACCCAGUUACGUUGUGACUUUUGGUAGCACACAAAGUGUUCCUCCGGUAAACGGGAGUUGCAUAAUCUCAUAGUCAUAGGAACAUGUAUAAGUCAUGAAGAAAGCAAUAGCAACAUACUAAACGACCGAGUGCUAAGCUAACGGAAUGGGUCAAGUCAAUCACAACAUUCUCCUAAUGAUGUGAUCCCGUUAAUCAAAUGAAAACUCAUGUCUAUGGUUAGGAAACAUAACCAUCUUUGAUCAACGAGCUAGUCAAGUAGAGGCAUACUAGUGACACUCUGUUUGUCUAUGUAUUCACACAUGUAUUAUGUUUCCGGUUAAUACAAUUCUAGCAUGAAUAAUAAACAUUUAUCAUGAUAUAAGGAAAUAAAUAAUAACUUUAUUAUUGCCUCUCGGGCAUAUUUCCUUCAUAAAAUUCAACGGAACAACAGUACGGGCCAUCUAUCUACAAUAACAUAGACAAGAAAAAUACUAUCAGGUACUAAGUUCAUGAUAAAUUUAAGUUCAAUUAAUCAUAUUACUUAAGAACUCCCACUUAGAUAGACAUCCCUCUAAUCAUCUAAGUGAUCACGUGAUCCAUAUCAACUAAACCAUAACCGACCAUCACGUGAAAUGGAGUAGUUUUCAAUGGUGAACAUCACUAUGUUGAUCAUAUCUACUAUAUGAUUCAUGCUCGACCUUUCGGUCUCAGUGUUCCGAGGCCAUAUAUGCAUAUGCUAGGCUCGUCAAGUUUAACCCGAGUAUUCUGCGUGUGUAAAACUGUCUUACAUCCAUUGUAGAUGAACAUUGAGCUUAUCACACCCGAUCAUCACGUGGUGUCUCGGCACGACGAACUUUGGCAACGGUCCAUACUCAGGGAGAACACUUUUACCUUGAAAUUUAGUGAGAGAUCAUCUUAUAAUGCUACAUCCAAACAAAGCAGAAUAAGAUGCAUAAGGAUAAACAUCACAUGCAAUCAAUAUAAGUGAUAUGAUAUGGCCAUCAUCAUCUUUUGCCUUUGAUCUCCAUCUCCAAAGCACCGUCAUGAUCACCAUCAUCACCGGCGUGACACCUUGAUCUCCAUCGUAGCAUCAUUGUCGUCUCACCAACUAUUGCUUCUACGACUAUCGCUACCGCUUGGUGAUAAAGUAAAGCAAUUACAGGGCGAUUGCAUUGCAUAUAAUAAAUCGACAACCAUAUGGCUCCUGCCAGUUGCCGAUAACUCCGUUACAAAACAUGAUCAUCUCAUACAAUAUAGAAUCAUGUCUUGACCAUAUCACAUCACAACAUGCCCUGCAAAAACAAGUUAGACGUCCUCUACUUUGUUGUUGCAAGUUUUACGACGCUGCUACGGGCUGAGCAAGAACUAUUCUUACCUACGCAUUAAAACCACAAUGAUAGUUCGUCAAGUUAGUGUUGUUUUAACCUUCACAAGGACCGGGCGUAGUCACACUCGGUUCAACUAAAGUUGGAGAAACUGACACCCGCCAGCCACCUGUGUGCAAAGCACGUUGGUAGAACCAGUCUCGCGUAAGCGUACGCGUAAUGUCGGUCCGGGCCGCUUCAUCCAACAAUACCGCCGAACCAACGUAUGACAUGCUGGUAAGAAGUAUGACUUGUAUAGCCCACAACUCACUUGUGUUCUACUCAUGCAUAUAACAUCUACGUAAUAACCUGGCUCGGAUGCCACUGUUGGGGAAUGUAGUAAUUUCAAAAAAAUUCCUACGCACAUACAGGAUCAUGGUGAUGCAUAGCAACGGGAGGGGAGAGUGUGUCUGCGUACCCUCGUAGACUGAAUGCGGAAGCGUUAGCACAACGCGGUUGAUGUAGUCGUACGUCUUCACGAUCCGACCAAUCCAAGUACCAAACGCACGACACCUCCGAGUUCUGCACAUGUUCAACUUGAUGACGUCCCGCGAGCUCCGAUCCAGCAAAGCUUCACAGGAGAGUUUCGUCAGCACGACGGCGUGGUGACGGUGAUGAUGAUGCUACCGACGCAGGGCUUCGCCUAAGCACCACUAUGAUAUGAUCGAGGUGGAUUAUGGUGGAGGGGGGCACCGCACAUGGCUAAGAGAUCAAUGAUCAAUUGUUGUGUCUAUGGGGUGCCCCUGUCCCCGUAUAUAAAGGAGCAAGGGGGAGGAGGCGGCCGGCCAGGGAGAGGCGCGCAAAGAGGGGGAGUCCUACUCCCACUAGGAGUUGGACUCCUCCUUUUCCUAGUAGGAGUAGGAGAGGGGGAAGGAAAGGGAGAGGAGGAGAAGGAAAGAGGGGGAUGGCCCCCUUGCCCUAAACCAUUUUGGUUUGGGCCUUGGGGGGGGGGGCGUGCCCCACACUCCCCUUGCUGCCCUCUAUUUCCACUAAGGCCCAUGUAGGGCCAUUAAGCCCCCCGGGGGGUUCUGGUAACCCCCCGGUACUCCGGUAUAUGUCCAAAACCUUUCGGAACCUCUCCGGUGUCCGCACAUAGUCGUCCAAUAUAUCGAUCUUUACUUCUCGACCAUUUCGAGACUCCUCUUCAUGUCCGUGAUCAUAUACGGGACUCCGAACAACCUAAGGUACAUCAAAACACAAAAACUCAUAAUACCGAUCGUCACCGAACUUUAAGCGUGCGGACCCUACGGGUUCGAGAACUAUGUAGAUAACCAUAUUUGAUCAACGAGCUAGUCUAGUAGAGGCAUACUGGUGCCACUCUGUUUGUCUAUGUAUUCACACAUGUAUCAUGUUUCCGGUUAAUACAAUUCUAGCAUGAAUGAUAAACAUUUAUCAUGAUAUAAGGAAAUAAAUAAUAACUUUAUUAUUGCCUCUAGGGUAUAUUUCCUUCAAGGGGGCAUCCCAUAGACACACGAGUUGAUCAUUGAUCUUUUAGCCAUGUGCGGUGCCCCCUCCACCAUAAUCCACCUUGGUUAUAUCGUAGCGGUGCUUAGGCAAAGCCCUGUUCCGGUAGCAUCAUCAUCACCGUCAUCACGCCGUCGUGCUGACGAAACUCUCCCUCAAAGCUCUACUGGAUCAUGAGUUCGCGGGACAUCACCGAGCUGAACGUGUGCAGAUCACGGACGUGCCGUCGGUCGAUCGUGAAGACGUACGACUACAUCAACCACGUUGUAAUAACGCUUAGGCGAAGCCCUGUUCCGGUUAAUAAGGAAAUAAAUAAUAACUUUAUUAUUGCCUCUAGGGUAUAUUUCCUUCAAGGGGGCACCCCAUAGACACACGAGUUGAUCAUUGAUCUUUUAGCCAUGUGUGGUGCCCCCUCCACCAUAAUCCACCUUGGUUAUAUCGUAGCGGUGCUUAGGCGAAGCCCUGUUCCGGUAGCAUCAUCAUCACCGUCAUCACGCCGUCGUGCUGAUGAAACUCUCCCUCAAAGCUCUACUGGAUCAUGAGUUCGCGGGACAUCACCGAGCUGAACGUGUGCAGAUCACGGAGGUGCCCUCGGUCGAUCGUGAAGACGUACGACUACAUCAACCACGUUGUAAUAACGCUUCCGCUUACGGUCUUCGAGGGUACGUAGACGAUACUCUCCCCUCUUGUUGCUAUGCAUCAUCAUGAUCUUGCGUGUGCGUAGGAUUUUUUUUGAAAUUACUACGUUCUCCAACAGCGGCAUCCGAGCUAGGUUUAUGCAUAGAUGUUAUAUGCAUGAGUAGAACACAAAGGAGUUGUGGGCGUGGUUAUAUACAUAUUGCUUGCUGUCACUAGUUGAUUCUAGAUUCAGAGGCAUUGUUGGAUGAAGCGGCCCGACCGACAUUACGCGUAUGCUUACGCGAGACUGGUUCUACCGACGUGCUUCACACAGGUGGCUAGUGGGUGUCUAUUUCUCCAGCUUUAGUUGAAUUGGAUUCAGUGAUCAGGGUUCUUUCUGAAGAUCAAAAAGCAAUCACUAUACCGCGUUGUGGUUUUUGAUGUGUAGGUAAGAACAGUUCUUGCUCAGCCCGUAGCAGCCAUGUAAAACUUGCAAAAACAAAGUAGAGGACGUAUAACUUGUUUUUGCAGGGCAUGUUGUGAUGCGAUAUGGUGAAGACAUGAUGCCAAAUUUUAUUGUAUGAGAUUAUCAUGUUUUGUAACACUGUUAUCGGCAACUGGCAGGAGCCAUAUGGUUGUCGCUUUAUUGUAUGAAAUGCAAUCGCCAUGUAAUUGCUUUACUUUAUCACUAAGCGGUAGAGAUAGUCGUAGAAGAAACAGUUGGCGAGACGACAACGAUGCUUCGAUGGAGAUCAAGGUGUCAAGCCGGUGACGAUGGUGAUCAUGACGGUGCUUUGGAGAUGAAGAUCAAAGGCACAAGAUGAUGAUGG
rnacentral:lncRNA from 1 species